rnacentral:lncRNA from 1 species
AUUAUACAAUAUCCUAGCUUAGCAACCAAAUUCACCUAGCCAACAUCUUAGCUAAUCAUGUCUGACAUUUCCCUCUACCAACCUCAUUUCUUAACAUAAAUAAAUGUGUAUGCUUUACCUUGGGAGUAUCGAUCACAAGACACAUGGACUCUUACCCCAACAGGUAUAUGAGUAAACAUGUAGUCUUGUUCUAGUUUCUUUUACUCUAUAUCUCCCUUCUCUGAAUCCUUUUUAUCUCAAUUCCAAUGAACAAAGAUGUUGAUUCAGUCCAUCUUAUUCACCUUCUUUUCGAUUUUUUUAUUAUUUUUAUUUUUUUUUCUUCUUUUUUUUCUUUUUCUAUUCUUGACAAAGUGUAGGCGAAUAGUGGGGUCAUCAGUAAUGUACCUACCCCUCGCUUCCAACAAUGUGUGAUCAUUCUAUUAGAGUAGAAUAAUGGGGUCAUCGGUAAUGUACCUACCCCUCUAAACCGCAAGAAAUCAUCUCAAUCUUUUAUUUUAUUUUAUUAAGAUGCCAAAAGGAGGAGAGAAGGAAACCAAAAUCACUCAGACUUUUACCUUUCAGACCUGAAGGAGGAAUCCGAUCCAGUGUAUACCAAGCCCCAAGACAAGCAGUUAAGUAAAGUAGGUUGGAGGUCAGCUUCGGUUCCUUCAAACAAUCUCAGCAAGUGUGAACAUAGUUGACAGGUUGAUCCACUUUAGUAUCUUUAGUACUAUCUGCAAUCAGUAAGUCUAGAAUGGUGCUAAAGAGUGGUUAGAUAACAAGCAUGAAUCUAAUAAGUUCAUUAUCCCCUUCUUGACUCAAUAAAACAGUUUUGAAAACAUUUUAUAAAACUCAAUAGAUAAGCAAAUAUCAGUAAACAUCCCCCCAGAUUUAAAUUACACUGUCCCCAGUGUAUAUCUAGUCAGAGUUAUGGUUAGAACAUAAAUAAUAAGUAGACAAUUUAACAAGUAAGAACGAUUACGUGCUCGACAUCAGUGUCGAUCGACACAAUGAAUAGACAAUCGAUCGAUGUUGAUGAAGUGCUGUCGAUUGAUAGUGACAUGGUCUCAUCGGUCGAUGGCUAGAGCAAUCAUUCGACACAAUGAAGAGAUAAUCGAUUGUUAGAUAUGAAGCGCUGUCGAUCGAUAUCGAGCUGGUGUCAUCGGUCGAUGUGCUGAGCAAUCGUCUACUAGGAUCUGUUUUUUUUUUUUAACUCACUAAAACACAAUAUUAGUAGAACCUCCCCAGACCUAAACAACACUAUCACUAGCGCUAUCCAGUCUAAGAUUGGUUGGAAAAUAAAUCAUAAGGACAAUAUUUAACAAGGAAAAACGGUAUACCUGCUUGGAUGUGAGUGUCGAGCAACACAGUUAAGUGGCGAUCGAUACUUUUGAUGCUCUGUCGAUCGAUGCUACGUAGCCAUCAUCGAUUCUCCUGCAAUCUCGUCUUCCUCGGAUCUUGUCCUUUUACUUAACAUAAACAAAACAUUUAAUACAAUUAAUAAAUAAAUAAUAAAACCAAUAAUCAAUAAAAAUAAUAAUAAUAAUAUUUUUUUUCGAUGAACAGUGCUUUGCUACAGUGUCGCUCGAUGUUGCUGCUACAGUAUCUCUGCUACAGUACUGUCGUUACUGUUCAUCUUUUUUUUUUUUUUUACCUGAAAUCUUUAGAAAACAAAGAAUCAGUAAUAAAUGAAAAAUAAACCAUAUUUAAAAUUACUUAACAAUGGGUUGCCUCCCACUCAGCGCUUAUUUUUAGUCAUUAGCUUGACUUCUGGAGAUCUGAUUAAGUCCGCAUAAGAAUGAGAACUUGCUCCAAAUCAAGUCUUAAUGUCUACUCUUUGAAGCUUUAUCAUUCUUGUGUGAAAGCCUCCUCCAUAUACCCUUCUCCUUUGUCUAUCAUUUCAGCAAUAAGGAGUGCUUUGAGCUUUGCAAAAGGCUGUGAGAAGCAUCUGCUGCGCACUCUGGGUUUUCUGACACCAUCUGAGAAGUGGGGAAUCAAUAAUAAGUGAGGAUCUCCCUUGAUCAGCGUGUGCGUGCUCGGUCGCUACGUAGCGACCGAGAAGCGUGUGUGUGCUCGGUUGCUACGUAGCGACCGAGCAACCUGUGCGUGCCCAGUCGCUACGUAGCAACCGAGCUAGGUAAUCGUUUUGUUGUGUUUCCUUUUUCCGCGAUUAACCUAGGGUUUUUCAGCGGUUUUUGGGAGAACAAGUUUUAUCCUUCCGAAAUAUCAACAGAAAACAUGUUUUGGUAAAACCCUUACGCAUCGAAAUUUCUUUUGUUCGGUAAUGAGUCAAACUUAUGGGGUUUGAUAAGAUUUAUCGUUUCCCUUUACAUUUAGAAAGAGAAAUCGCGAGCUUGUUUUAGUGCUCUUCCUGUGGCGGAAGGUCGCAGCAAGGCUUUCAAUUUUGUUGAACAUAGGAGCAGUCAGUGCUGUGAGUUUGUCUUUCAUAUAUCCAGACAUAGUUUCGAUCAAGCGUUUUGUGGCCAUGAGUAAGAGUAAUCCGUAACCCCCCCUCCUUCUAGCGCCAAACUGUGGGAACCAAAAUUCGCACUGUCGAUUUCCGUUUAAAUAAGGAAACUAGGGAAACCCUUAUUUCCCAGAGGUCCCGGAUCUCUGCGAGAGCCAACGACAAGUGACCAAAUAUAUGCGGAAAUUAUGAAAAGAUAACAAACGAGUUUAGAGAAAACAGCUGAUCUUAUUUCGAAUCUGCGUAAGAUCGUUGCGAUCAUUACAAGAGAUCAUAAAAGCUUUGGCCGCAAAGGCUGUCAGUGAGUUACCUAGUUCUAGCGGCCUAAAAGCUCAAACCUAGUUAAGUCGCAGCUCGAAAACAAAAGACGUAAAAGAUACAAAAAAAAUUUUUGAUUGAUUUUGGAUUGAACCUUGUUAAAGGCUGCCUACGUACCCCUUUUGAGGAUCAAGCCGAACGUAGUUCAAUUGAUAGAGCUGGACAAGAGAUCGAACUGCCUGGGCGAGUUCGUCUAGUAAUUGAGUGCCAGUCAUAGAAACCGAACUUGUCCAGAAUAAAGCCUAAAGUUUCUAAGUGCAGAGAAUUCCAAAUCUAAAAAGUUCUCCCCCAUGCCUCUCGCCUAGGACUCCUUAUAUACUAGCUCCAAGGUCGGUUUACACUUUUACUCUUCUGCCCUUAAGCCGUCAUAGCAUAAAAUGGAGAUAUUCCAUUUUUUCCGAUCUUCGUAUUUAUCCUCAAAAUUUCGUAUUUAUCCGCGGAAACUUUGACAUUUAUCCUUCCUUGCGCGCCAAGCGUAAACCGUCAUAUGGUUUAUGGGCUUUUGGUUAAGAAAUCAUAAGUUGGACCUCGAGUCGUGUCUUAGGUCCCUUUGGGCCGUCUUCCGACUCGAAACGUUUAUUACGACUUCUUUCGAUAAAGAACGAACUUUCCGCGGUUUUUACCGCAAAGUUUGAUUGAUGUCUUAGAAUGGUCGGAAGACAUGAACUGAGUUCGCUACGGUCUUCGGGAGAUAGCAUCAUAGGAUAGACGAGAAUGCAUGAAUUGGUGUAGUAUCGAUGUUUCGGAAGAGUUUGGUCGCUACGUAACGACCGAACAGCAUGCACGCUCGGUCGCUACGUAGCGACCGAGCGGGACGGACGCUCGGUCGCUACGUAGCGACCGAGCUGUGUGCAUGCUUGGUCGCCGCGUAUCGAUCGAGCUUGGCUUGUCCGUGAUCCGAUUGCCGUACUCGAGCUUGUCCGCGGCCGAAUUGGAUACAUGUUUGUUUCCUUCGUAUAAUCGGUAUUGAGAUUUGAUUGAGGUUUGAACAAGAUUUUACCGCAAGGCUCUUUGUAAAGAUAUCUUUACGAAGAUUACUUUUUCGUAAAAACGUUCAUGCUGACUUUUACGGACUUUCAGGCAUUGAUUCCGUCGUGACCGAUUUUGACCCCAACAUCGAUCGACACCAAGAGAUGCCUCGACAGAUGAAGAUUAAUAUCGAUCGAUGUACACAAGUACCAUCGAUCGAUGUCGAGACAUUGGACACACAAAAUUUUGGAUCCAGCGCACUUAAAACCCAAGUCCAAGCCAAAUUACAAAAAUGCCCUAACGAGUUUUUAACCUAGUAGAUUAUACACUGCCUAAGUGUUUUGUCGGCAUGAGAGAAAGCUUUUUGUUACAGUUUCACUUUGAGAGAGAAGAGAGAGUUUUGGAGAGAAGAUCACUUGUGAUUGGAACUCCUUGUUUUCAUUUCUUUUCAUCUAUACUAUGAAUUUCCAUUUCUUCAUUGUUAUGAAUUGCUUUGCUAUGUCUGAGUAGUUCAUUUAUUAGAUCCAGGGUUCAGAUAGGUUUGUGGGAUUAGCCCCAAACUAUAGAUCUGCCUUGUUGUGAUAUUCAUGAUAGAUUUGUAUUCAUUGCUUGUUUUAGCCUUGCUAACUAGAACUUGAUCAUAGGAUUGCAUAGUCAAGCACCCUUGUUAUCCCAUAUUGACAUCUAUCUAUCAUAUUAGGACUGCUAGAGAGGGCUAACCGCCAAUUUAGUAUCUUAAUAGGACAUAUCAUACUCGCGCAUAGGACUGGCUAGAACUCGUCGAUCGAUGUCCUCAACUGACUAUCGGUCGACGUAGGGAAAGGUGUAUCGGUCGACGUCCCAAUAUGACCAUCGAUCGACACUCUUUUAUUGUCAACAUACUAACCGUUGAGACACGAGAUCUAGCUUGUUAACCAGUGAAACAUGCGACAGCUGAUCACUGAGUUAAGCGGUUGAGUCCUAACACAUCAUGCAUGCAACAAAUAGGCAUCUAUAGAUAUUAUAAUCACCAACACCUGAAUAGUGGCCCUGCAUCUAAUAUCAUUUCCAACCAAGUUACAUUUACUAUUUACUUCGCUUGUUACUAUUGCUAUUCCAUUUAAACAUUUACAACUCUUAGAAUUAAUAAACACUAGAUUUAAUUGUUCCCUAGCUCCUUGUGGAUUCGAUCUCUAAGUACUACAUCUGAACCUCUUUUGAUGAGAGUAACACUCCUUAGGGUAAUUUGAGUGGUAUCAGUUCCAUUCAGGUACAUGAGAACCCUCUUCACCAUGCGCCAGUGAUGCUCUUUUGGAGCUUGCAUAUGUUGGCUCACGUGAUUCACAGCAAAACAAAUGUAUGGCCUAGUGAUGGUCAAGUAUAUCAGCUUCCCCACAAGCUUUCUAUAAAGCUUUGGAUCAUGGAACAACUUGCUGUCUUCAAUCUCCCCCUCACGUGGAACCUUGUACCCAUCCUCCAUGGGAUUUUGGCUGUUCUUCCUCCAUACGCACCAGCAUCCUUCAAGAGAUCCAAUGCAUACUUCCUUUGAGAGAUAAACAACCCUUCCUUGGAUCUGCAUAGCUCAAUCCCAAGAAAGUACUUCAUCUCUCCCAAAUCCUUUAUAUCAAAUACUGAUUUCAUAAACUCUUUGGUGGCUCGGAUUCCUUCCUUAUCACUGCCUGUUAUGAUGAUGUCAUCCACAUACACAAGCAAAACAAUGAUACCUGAUGGAGUAUUGAGAGUAAAGAGAGUGUGAUCAAGCUCGGACUUCCUGAAGCCUCUACCAUUCAGUGUUGUGCUUAGCUUAUUGUAGCAUGCUCUAGGUGAUUGUUUCAAUCCAUAGAUGGCUUUCUUCAGUCUAAGAACGUUUCCUGGCUUCACCAUUCCUUCAAGACCCGGAUGUGGUAGCAUAUAGACUUCAUCUUCUAGCUCUCCUUGGAGGAAAGCAUUCUUCAUAUCCACUUGCCAAAGAUCCCACCCAAGGUUGGUUGCAACUGAUAGUACAAUCCUAAUGGUAUGAAGCUUUGCAACAGGUGCAAAAGUAUCAAUGUAAUCCUCUCCAUAGGUUUGUGUGAAACCUCUUGCUACCAGCCUUGUCUUACGCCUAUCAAUCUUCCCAUUAGGUAAAUACUUGAUGGUGAAGAUCCACUUGCAUGACACAGCUCUCUUCCCCUUAGGCAGCUCACUCUCAUACCAUGUAUCAUUUCUAAUCAUGGACUCAGCCUCAUCAUUGACUGAAUCCCUCCACUCUUGAAUCAGCAUUGCUUCUUCAUAGCUUCUUGGCACAUAGCUUUCAUCUAAGCUUACUAUAAAGGAGUAGUGAUCUUCUGGAAACUCAGCAAAGGAGCACACCGCUUGGGAAGAAUGUUCCACAGCCUCGGCAUUGUAUAACACUCUCGUGUUUACCCAAUUUCUUGUGUUUGCCCACUCAGAAGCAUCCCUCCUUACCCAUGUGCUUCUUCUCAAAGGAACUUCUACUUGUUCCUCAACAACUUCCUCUUGUGUCUGGAUUUCUUCUCCAGCUUCCUGACCUUCAUUCUGAACUUCUCUUCCUGAUUCAUCUCUACUUUGGACUGGAGAAUCUGAGCCUUGAUCUUCUAGACCUCCAGCUUCUUCUGAGCAUUGAUCUUUUAACCCUUCAGCUUCAGAUUCACUUCCCCCUCAUGUUCAAAGUGGGUUGUUUCUUCAGCGGCCACUUGAGUAGGCUCUUCACGCCUGCUCUGAUCCUGGGACAUGCCAAUACCGAGUUCUUCUAAUAUGUUUCUCAAACUAGCAGCUCUAUCUGAUGGUUGAGAAAGCCCUUCAAGCUCCUCCCAAUUCUUGUCUUCAUAAUACCCUUUAUCUUCCAUGAACUUCACAUCCCUAGACACCAAGACUAUUCUAGCAGUGGGAUCAAAGCACUUGUAUCCCUUUUGAGAUGCGGAAUAGCCAAUAAGCAUAGCCUUGGUGCUCUUUGCUUCAAGUUUGUUUCUCAUCUCUCCUGGCACCAGUACAUAGCACACACACCCAAAUGUCCUCAAGUGAUCUAGAACUGGUCGACUCUUGUUGAGUACCUCAAAUAGAGACUGAUCCUCUAGGAUUCUGGUUGGUAUCCUGUUGAUUAGAUAGCAAGCAGUCAUCACAGCAUAACUCCAAAAUCUCUUAGGGACACUCUUGUGGAACAUCAUUAAACGAGCCAUUUCCAUGAGGUGUAUGUUCUUCCUUUCAGCAACUCCAUUCUGUUGUGGAGUGUAAGGACAGCUAGUCUGAUGUAGAAUCCCAUGUUGAGCUAGGUGAUCUUUGAAUGUGUGGCCUAUGUAUUCCCCACCAUUAUCUGACCUGAAAAUCUUAAUCUUGGCAUGAUUAUAAUGGUUAGUAACAUAGCUUUGAAAAUUUUUAAAUGCAUCAAGAACCCUAUCUUUUGUUUUGAUGAGUGUUAACCAGGUGUAUUUGGAUUUUUCAUCAAUGAAUGUGACAUAAUACUUAUAAUCAUCCCUAGAUAAAUAAGGCGCAGUCCAAACAUCAGAGUGAAUCAAAUCAAAGCAAUUCUCAUAAAUAGUGGAUGAUCUUUGAAACACUGUCCUACAAUGUUUGCCUAAAUCUAUGCCUCACAAUCAUUAUUUUUAAACAUGACACCUGGUAACAUAAUGCUUAAAGCCCAAACAUGUGGAUGUCCAAGUCUAGGAUGCCACAAUGCAUCUUUACUUAAGGAAGAAACAUAACUAAAAGAGAAACAAGAACUAGAGUGGGACUAAGAUCUUCAAGCAUAUAAAGGUCUCCUUUGGUUGCUCCUUGUCCAAUCAACUUACUGCUAUUAAUAUCCUGAAACUUAACAUCAUCAGAACUAAAGAUAACCUUGCAUUGAAAAUCAGUGGUGCAUCUUUUGACAGAUAAAAGAUUAGAAGUAAACUCAGGCAUAAAAAAUGCUUUUGAAUCCUUAUCAAACAGUUUUAGUUUCCCAAUUCCUCUAAUAAAAAUUCUAUCACCAUUAACAAUCAUAACAUGUCCAUGAGCCGGUUCUAUGUCUCUAAUCAGGUUAUUAUCACUAAUCAUAUGAUGAGAUGCACCAAAAUCAAUAAUCAAAGGUUUAUGCAUGUUUCUAGUAAUCUCAGUUCUUGAUGGUUCAUUUUGUUUAAUCAGGUUUUCUAGUAAUCCUAACAGUUUACUAGUUAUACUAGGCUCACUAGCAACAGUAUAGGCGCUUUUAAAAAUGUCUAGUAACUUAUCAGUAUUACUAGGAUUACUAGCAAUAGUGUAAGAGCUUUUAAAAAUGUCUAGUAAUUUAUCAGUAUUACUAGGCAAUGUAUGAGCAGCAUAUGAGUAUCCAAGGGUGUUUCCGAGGGUGUUACCAGACUCCUUAAGAGCUUUGAAGAAGGCUUCAAGGUCAGCUCUCUUGAACACCUCCUGAUCCAUACCCUUUCCAAUCAGUUGAUGAGACGUCAAGGCUCUACUUUCACUUUCAUCCACCUUAGCGCCUGAGCUAGCUUUGGAUGAACCAGCACCAUUUGCUUCAGCAGAAAGAUGAGCCUUUGCUUCCCUAUCCCUGUUGACCCCGCGUGGCCUGAGGUUAGGAUGUAGGAUCCAACACUCACUCUUCUUGUGACCGGUCCUCUUGCAAUGCUCACAGCUUCCCUCAUACUUUUCACACUUCCUUCCUGAGCCUCUGUAUGCAGCCUUGUUUGCUUGCAUUCCUUCAGCUUAAUGAGCCAUAGUAAGCUCACCCUUGCCUCCAAACAGGCCAAGAUAUCCCUCCUCCUUCUGAAGUUGCGCGCAUACUUCCUCCAUGGAUGGUAGGUUAGGCGAUCUCAAGAUGUGUUUGAUGACAUCCUUGUAGCAAGGAUCCAAUGUCAUCAACAACCCAAACACUUGAUCUUGUUCUCUUCUUUCCAUAAGAGUUGCUUGAUCAGUGGUGUUAGGUCUUAGACUUUCAAGUUCAGACCAUAAUGAUCCAAACUUUCCCAUGUGUUUGGUGAGCUCUCCUCCAUCUUGCUUCAUGGAGUUAAUGACUCUCUUCAGCUCAAGCACACGGCUGAUGUUGGAGACGUUUCCAAACGUCUUUGAGAGGGUCUCCCACAAGUGUUUGAGAGUCUCACAGUAGCUGUAAGCUUCAAGAAGAGGAACAUCAAGAGAUCCUUGCAGCACGGAGAGCACCAUCAAGUCUUCUUGUACCCACUUCUUGGAUUCAGUUUUGGUGAGAGUCUAUUCCUCUUCACCUUCUUCAGUUUCUUUGGCCACUGGCUUCGGACCAUCAUCAGUGAUGUGGGUCCACAGCCCUAGCCUUCAAAUGGCAGUCUUCACCAAUCUAGACCACAAGAGGUAGUUUGAACCACCCUUCAACGCAACCGGGACAAUAACUAGCUUGCUGAAGUUGUUUCCUUCCAUCUUCUCUUGCUUGAACCAGAAAUGACCAUAAAGCUUCAAACUUGCAACUCAGCUGAAGAACACACAGUACCAGACUUCAAAAACACACAAACUCAAAGCACAGCACCACAGAACUCAACUUUAUCAUACAGCUUCACGGAACCCUCAAGAACACAAGAGCAAGAACACAAGGACACAAGAGCUAGAGAAAGAAAGAAAUGGAACGAGGUUUCUCAAUACCAAAGCCAACCUUGCUUUGAUACCAUAUGAUUUUAGAGAGUAGAGUAGGUAUUGAGAGAUUAAAGGUAGAUUAGAGAAUGUUAAUGGGAGAUUUGUAGAGAGAUUAGGUAGUAAUUAUGUUUAAGAGUAUUUAAGAAGAAUCAUGAACAAGAAAGAGAGUCUAGAGAGAUAAUCUCAUACUUCUUAUUAUUAAACUGAUCAGAGUUUACAAUAUAUAUGAGGAGGCAACACUAGGAUGAGGGUUUCAUAAAGUGAUACUAUUACAAGAGAUAAGUUUGCUUUAUAUCAAACCAUCCAAUGAGCUUCUUCCUUGUGCAUAAAGCUCCUUUUGCUUUAUCUAGCUCUUCUCCAGCCUGUCACACACGCCUCCUCUUCCCUUACAACGGACUGAUGCCUUAGCUAAGGGAAUAGGGCUUCUCUUCUUCUUCCAAAGUUACCCGGGUAACUAGUAUAACUAGUAUACUAAUAUUACAAGGGUAACUUUGGUUUACCCUUUGUAAGCUACUCGGGUAACUAGUAUUACUACGGCCUCUUCAUCAUACUCAACUCCUCAUGACUUUCUCAUCCUAUAUAUUGAUCUCAUCUCAACAGCCAGAACCAACUCUCCUAAGCUUUUAUCAUUCUUACCAAAGAGAUUUGUUGUUAAAGGUGUUAUGAUGGCUAUUGGACUUGAUAUUAACGAUUGCUUAGAUAAUAUUCAACCAAAGUGACUAGGCCUAAGGUUGAUAGAUUGAUUGAAAGCUGCCACCUUUAGAUUGAAACUUGAUCGCCCAAGGUCAAUUCUCUUAGCCCAUGAGUUCUUCCAUCUCAUUAAAAGAGAAAGCUUUGUUCUUUAUUGCAUUUUAGUAGUAUUCUAGCUCAAAAUCAUCUCACCAAUUGAUAGCAUUUAGAUUAAGCAUGGUCUUGCAUUUCCUUUGCUUUAGAAUCACUUAGAACUCAUUUGAUAUCCUUUAUACUAUAACAUUUGAUUAAGAGCCUUGAAAACUCUUAACAUCAAAUUGGCGCCGUUGCCACAUUCUAAGUUGAUUGUGAUAUUGGGAUUUAGUCACUUUCUUGAGACUAAGUGAUACCACUCAAAUUACCCUAAGGAGUGUUACUCUCAUCAAAAGAGGUUCAGAUGUAGUACUUAGGGAUCGAAUCCACAAGGAGCUAGGGAACAAUUAAAUCUAGUGUUUAUUAAUUCUAAAGGUUGUAAUGUUUUAAAUAAAAUAGCAAUAGUAACUAGCGAGUAAAUGAUAUAUGUAACUUAGGUUGGAAAUGAUAUUAGAUGCAGGGUCACUAUUCAGGUGUUGGAGAUUAUAAUUCCUAUAGAUGCAUAACUGUUGCAUGCAUGAUAUAUUAGAGCUCAUUCGCUUAACUCAGUGAUCAGCUGUCGCAUGUACCACUGGUUAACAGACUAGAUCUUGUGUCUCACCGGUUAGAUGCAAACACAAGAGAGUGUCGAUCGAUAAUCUAUUAAGACGUCGACUGAUACACUUUUGCCAACAUCGAUCGAUUGUCACUUGAGGACAUCGAUCGACGCUUUCUAGCCAGGCCUAUGCGCGAGUAUGAAAAUGCUCUACUAAGACUCUAAAUUGGCGGUUAGCCCUCUCUAGCAAUCCUAAUAUGAUAGAUAGAUUUCAGGAUGGGAUAACAAGGGGGCUUGAAUAUGCAAUCCUAUGAUCAAGUUCUAGUUAGCUAGGCUAAAACAAGCAAUGAAUACAAAUCUAUCAUGAAUAUCACGACAAGGCAUAUCUAUAGUUUGGGGCUAAUCCCACAAACCUAUCUGAACCCUGGAUCUAACAGUUGAACUACUCAGACAUAGCAAAGCAAUUCAUAUCAAUAGAUAAAUAGAAACUCAUAGAAUAGUGUGGGAACGGAAAUUCGCACUGUCGAUUUCCGUUUAAAUAAGGAAACUAGGAAAAACCUAAUUUACCAGAGGACCCGGAUAUCUGCUAAUUACCACACGUCAAGCAAUCAGAACACGAGAAUAACAACGAUAAAGUAUAAGAAAUCGAAAAAGAGAGCAAAGAAGAUCUUAUUUCCGAAUUUGCGUAUGAGCGCUUACAACAAGGUAUAAGCCUGGGCUCGAGAGCUGUCGGCGAGAUUCCUAGUUCUAGCAACCCUAAGACGGCUAAACCUAAUUGAGUCGCAGCUCGAAAUAACAAAAACGGAAAAAUGCCUAAAUCGCUCUAAGUGCUAAGUUUGCUCUGAAAAAGUUCUCCCUCACGCUCCUCGCCUAGGACUCCUGAUAUACUAGCUCCAAGGUCGGUUUACGCUUUUACUCUUCUGCCCUUAAGCCAUCAUAGCAUAAAAAUGGAGAUAUUCCAUUUUUCCCGAUCUUCACAAUUAUCUUCAAAACUUCCGUAUUUAUCCGCGGAAACUUGACAUUUAUCCUUCCAUGUGGACCAAGCGUAUGUGGGAACCGAAAUUCGCACUGUCGAUUUCCGUUUAAAUAAGGAAACUAGGAAAACCCUAAUUUCCCAGAGGUCCCGGAUCUCUGCGAGAGCCAACGACAAGUGAUCGAAUAUAUGCGGAAAUCAUGAAAAGAUAACAAACGAGUUUAGAGAAAACAGUAGAUCUUAUUUCGAGUCCGCGUAAGAGAGUUGCGAUCAUUACAAGAGAAUACAAAGGCUUUGGCCGCAGGGGCCGUCAGCGAGUUACUUAGUUCUAGCAACAUAAAACCCUAAUCCUAGUUGAGUCGCAGCUCGAUAACAAAGGACGACAAAGAUAUCUAAAAGGCUUAGAUUGAUUUCGGACUGAACCUUAUUAAAGGCUGCCUACGUACCCCUUUCGAGGAUCAAGCCGAACGUAGUUCAAUUGAUAGAGCUGGACAAGAGAUCGAACUGCAUGGGCGAGUUCGUCUAGUAAUUGAGUGCCAGUCAUAGAAACCGAACUUGUCGAGAAUAAGCCUAAAGUUUCUAAGUGCAGAGAAUUCCGAGUCUAAAAAGCUCUCCUCUUGCUCCUCGCCUAGGACUCCUUAUAUACUAGCUCCAAGGUCGGUUUACGCUUUUACUCUUCUGCCCUUAAGCCGUCAUAGCAUAAAAAUGGAGAUAUUCCAUUUUUCCCGAUCUUCACAAUUAUCUUCAAAACUUCCGUAUUUAUCCGCGGAAACUUGACAUUUAUCCUUCCUUGUGGACCAAGCGUAAACCAGGCUGUGGUUUACAGGCUUUUGGUUAGGAAAAUCAUAGGAUGGGCCUCGAGUCGUGUUUUAGGUCCCUUUGGGCCGUCUUCCGACUCGACACGUUUACUACGAGUUUUUCGCGGUUUCUAAUCCGCGAAGUUUGAUUGAUGAAUUAGAAUGGCGGGAAACAUGGACUGAGCUUGCUACGGUCUUCGGGAGAUAGCAUUCGAAGGUUUUGACGAGAAUGCAUGAACUGGUGUCGUAUUGACGUUCGGAAAGGUUCAAUCGCUACACAGCAACCGAACUUUGGUCGAGCCCGGUCGCUACGUAGCGACCGAGCGGGACGAUCGCUCGGUCACUACGUAGCGACCGAGCUUGGCUGAGCUCGGUCGCUACGUAGCGACCGAGCGGGACGAUCGCUCGGUCUCUACGUAGCGACCGAGCUUUGGCUCGAGCUCGGUCGCUACGUAGCGACCGAGCGGGACGAUCGCUCGGUCGCUACGUAACGACCGAGCUUUGGCUCGAGCUCGGUCGCUACGUAGCGACCGAGCGGGACGAUCGCUCGGUCACUACGUAGCGACCGAGCUUGGCUGAGCUCGGUCGCUACGUAGUGACCGAGCGGGACGAUCGCUCGGUCGCUACGUAGCGACCGAGCGGGACGAUCGCUCGGUCACUACGUAGCGACCGAGCUUGGUUGAGCUCAGUCGCUACGUAGCGACCGAGCGGGACGAUCGCUCGGUCGCUACGUAGCGACCAAGCGGGACGAUCGCUCGGUCGCUACGUAGCGACCGAGCGGGACGAUCGCUCGGUCGCUACGUAGCGACCGAGCUUGGCUCGAGCUCGGUCGCUACGUAGCGAUCGAGCGGGAUGAUCGCUCGGUCGCUACGUAUCGACCGAGCGGGACGAUCGCUCGGUCGCUAUGUAGCGACCGAGCUUUGGCUCGAGCUUGGUCGCUACGUAGCGACCGAGCGGGACGAUCGCUCGGUCGCUACGUAGCGACCGAGGUUUGGCUCGAGCUCGGUCGCUACGUAGCGACCGAGCGGGACGAUCGCUCGGUCGCUACGUAGCGAUCGAGCGGGACGAUCGCUCGGUUGCUACGUAGCGACCGAGGUUUGGCUCGAGCUCGGUCGCUACGUAGCGACCGAGCGGGACGAUCGCUGAGCUCGGUCGCUACGUAGCGACCGAGCGGGACGAUCGCUGAGCUCGGUCGCUACGUAGCGACCGAGGGACGAUCGCUCGGUCGCUACGUAGCGACCGAGCUUUGGCUCGAGCUCGGUCGCUACGUAGCGACCGAGCUUUGGCUCGAGCUCGGUCGCUACGUAGCGACCGAGCGGGACGAUCGCUCGUCCGCGGCCGAUUUGGAUACAUGUCCGUUGCCUUCGGACAAUCGGUAUUUAGUGGUUCGAUUGAGAUUUGGACGAUAUUUUACUGCAAGGCUGUUCGUAAAGAUAUCUUUACGAAGAUUACUUUUCGUAAAAACGGUUAUGCUGAUUUUUACGGACUUUCAGACAUUGAUUCCGUCGUAACCGAUUUUGACCCCAACAGUUAGCCCCCCAGCUCGUUAGAAUCAUUGAGCUUCUAGCGUGAGGUUCUAGCAAGUGGCUUUAGGCAAGUUAGGUGAGUUAGGCGGAAUUAAUGGUUGAAAAGGUCUGUGGUAAGUGAUCUUCUCGCUCUCCUAAAAGUAGAAAAUGCGAUAAGAUUGGGGCUGCGCCUUAUGACGGCUGCCUACGUACCCUUGUUGAAGGGAUCAAGCCUUUCGUAGUUCAUCUUGGAGUUAAGGUUCUUAUGACUAGUUUUCCAGUAGGACCUUUAUGGUCUAGUUUUUAUGUAGCGGUUAUAAGGCGUGUUGCUGCCGAUGGCGUUUGUAUGGGUGUAGAGGGAAGACUACGAGUUGUCGUCUCGUAAUCUAACUCUGUGUGAAUUGCCAUAUCCAUAAUCUGUUUCGAGAGUUUUCCGCAGUGUGUAAACUUGCGGGAUUUUUCUGAAGACGUUCGAAUAUUGGCAAAGAGACAAAUUUUGGGAUCUCGUAUCAGGGUGUUUGAUACUAUGCCUAGAGAUGUUAGAGACCAGUGCGCUGGGUUUAGGGCAAGACCUAGGUUUACUUUCGGUUUAAGGAUUGUGCGGUGACUGGCCGCUAUCGUUUUUCCGUUGCGAUUUCUUCCUGAUUCGUAUCGAUUUAAAGUCCGCGAUAGGUUCUCGGCUUAUACGACUUGUUGAUACGAAUCGAGCAUCUCUCCGGAAACCGGAAGUGCUAGACCAAAAUUUCGGAUUUCUUUUAUAGCGCUAUUAUCCUUGUGUCGGAUGUAAGAGAGUCAUCUUCUACGAGAUGGCUAAGUCUGUUUAGGACGUUAAGAGUUUGUUGUGAUCAGCAACAAACUUAAUGGUAAAAAUUACUAUUUUGAGUCUUCGCGAAGAAUAUGUUUUGAGAAGAUGUUAGUGCGUAUGACUGUCUGGUCUUCCAUGAAGGUGUUUUUAUCGAGGAAGGAAAUUUCGUCGAAGAACUAAUCUUCAGGCGUCCGCGACGUCUCGCGAUGCUGAAGAUUUGUUAUUCUUUCGUAUGCCACGUUUCGUGCUUGAAAUGUUCGCGGGCUUUGAAGAUAUUUCGCGAUGUUGCGAGGGUUUAGUAUUAGCCCUGUGUUUGAGAAACAUUCUGGUUUGACUAAGAAUGUUCGCAGCCAAAAAUUGUUGUUCCUGCUCGGAUGCUAAUAGUUUUGUUUGCGAUCGAGGAAUUAUGACUGAGGUGUCGUGUAAAUUUGUCCAUGGGAACAAGCGUUUUACUUCAUGGUGCUUUGUGAAGAGUUGGCCUUCCGAGAUGUAUUUCGUGCAUUUUUUAGGAUGUUUCGUAUAGCUCUAGAAGCUUUGUUACGAAUUUUUUCUUACAUGCCGCGUAUUAUGGUUAAAACGUUGCGGGCUUAAAGUGAAUUGUGGAGCGUAUUGGACUUGGUCCAUUUUCUAAAAGUUUAGAUUUUCCGUUAACCGUUUGGUUGUUAGGACUUAGUUUCGUUACGAAGAAUUUAUCAUAUGAUUUCCGACUGUGGGCUAUACGAUAAUUUAUCAUAUCAUAUAACCGAUUUUACGAAGGUCGUAAAUCAGUGAUAUGUAUACAUAUGUCAAAGUAGCAUUGUUUUUGCGGGUUCUACGAGAAACGUUCCCGCUGUGAUUUUGAUCUUAGGUGAAAGUUGCUUGGAGUUACCCAUGGAGUAUUACCGAAGUUUAUUUCAAUACGAUCAAGUAGCGGAACGUUUUUCAUAGAUUUUUCGAGAGGAUUCUCAUGACACAUUCGUUUCUUGAACGAAUUGGUCAACCAGAAGUGGAUCUAGCUAACCAUCGGGAGGAAAGUGCUCCUUUUAAUGUGCACGAUGCUACAUAUAUUCUCGAGUUUUCUUCGUCGCAAACGUUUUCGAUGCUUUUCCGUGACUUACUUGGUACAACGGAAACUGAAAGAAGUUCUUUGGUGAUUGAAGAUUUCUCGUAAAAUUUUUUUAAAACGAAACUGGCUUUCUGAAGCCGGAAAAGGCUUCAAUACUUUGGCUAAUCGUCGAGUUUCAGUUUGAUAUUGGUACAAGUUUUCUGUACGCAUGAUUGCGACAAGAACUGAUGUAUAGUUUUUGAGAUUAUGUACAUGAUCGUCUGGAUAUGUUGCCAGCGUUUAGACGAAUAUUAAGAUUGUCGUUUGCCUAUUCUUGACGAUUUGCAGAAGUUUUUUGAAGUUUGGGAGUAUACGAGUAUAGUAUACGUACCUACUCCCCCUUUUUUUUACGAAAGAAAAAACGGUUGAACCGAUACUUUGAAGGGUUGUGUACGUUUCCUCUCCUGAUGUUUGGAAUGAUCGAUAAUUCGGGACGAUUUAUAGACGACGCUUGGACUGUGAUUUGGUUGUUUCCACGUUGACGACUUGGGAUAUGUCGGUUCCGAGAAAAUUGCCAGAAACGAAUCGGUUUUAAGACGACGUUCAUGUCUCUAACUUUUUCUCUCUUUAGGAAGCGAGCUUGAUAUGCGUGGCGAUCGUUUCUCGACUUUCGGAGAGUUUAGAUCGGUUUGCAAGAUCUGGAUGAACAAUUAUGGAACAAUAUAUCGAGACAGGAAAAAUCGCUUAAAACUUAGUUCGCUAGACUAUCCGCCUAGGUUUUACGUUCCCUAAAGUUCUAUGGCAGCCUCAAAGUAAUUUCCUACGAAAAUUCCAAGUCUGAUUUCAAAAAUUUCAAGUCGGAAAUACCUUAGUUCUCUCGAAGAUGCAGUUUUGUCCCUUCUCAGUUUUGCGUGCUCAUUUCCGUUUCCUAUUCUCGUGUAUGUUCGCCAUUUCCGAUAUUGGUGUUUAUCCUUUGAAACUUGACAUUUAUCUUCCGAACUUGACUGUUAUCUUCUCCUUAGAUAAGACGUCGAUUUUUGUAAAAAGGUUCAACGUAAUCGUAUAGUUAAGGCGGCUAAGGUGUUAAGUUAACCAUUGCCGUUUUAUACGAUUAAUCUGAAUCCAUGCGAGAAAAUAGGUCUUUGCGGUUUUUUUUUUUAUAUCGUAAAGUCCCAAUGGUAACUUCAAUCGAAGCGAAACAAGAGACGUUUCGAUCGAGAUUCGAAAGUGAACGCAAAGAUGGAGGUAGGGUGAGCAGAAACAAGCCAAGGAGUUUAAGAUGACGUUUACUUGUUUUUGUCGUAAAAUCUCAACGGAAACUCCGAUUGAGACGAAACGAAAAGCAUUUCGAUGAGAAUUCAAAGGGGAACGCAAGGGAGGAACCCUUUGAGGACUUACAGGUCGCUAUGUAGCGACUGACAGUCUGACAGGUCGCUACGUAGCGAAUGGAAGCAAGCCGAGAAGCGUCCUACUUGUUUUCGUCGUAAAUUCUCAACGGAAACUCCGAUUGAGACGAAACGAAAAGCGUUUCGAUGAGGAUUCUAAAGUCAACCCAAAGGAGGACCUUUCUGAGGCCUUACGGGUCGCUACGUAGCGACUGACAGUCUGACAGGUCGCUACGUAGCGAGUGGAAGCAAGCCGAGACGAGUCCCACUUGUUUUCGUCGUAAAAUCUCAACGGAAACUCCGAUUGAGACGAAACGAAAAGCGUUUCGACGAGGAUUCAAAAGAGAACCCAAAGGAGGACCUUUCUGAGGCCUUACAGGUCGCUACGUAGCGACUGACAGUCUGACAGGUCGCUACGUAGCGAGUGGAAGCAAGCCGAGAAGAGUCCUACUUGUUUUCGUCGUAAAAUCUCAACGGAAAUUCCGAUUGAGACGAAACGAAAAGCGUUUCGACGAGGAUUCAAAAGAGAACCCAAAGGAGGACCUUUCUGAGGCCUUACAGGUCGCUAUGUAGCGACUGACAGUCUGACAGGUCGCUACGUAGCGAGUGGAAGCAAGCCGAGAAGAGUCCUACUUGUUUUCGUCGUAAAAUCUCAACGGAAACUCCGAUUGAGACGAAACGAAAAGCGUUUCGACGAGGAUUCAAAGAGAACCCAAAGGAGGACCUUUCUGAGGCCUUACAGGUCGCUACGUAGCGACUGACAGUCUGACAGGUCGCUACGUAGCGAGUGGAAGCAAGCCGAGAAGAGUCCCACUUGUUUUCGUCGUAAAAUCUCAACGGAAACUCCGAUUGAGACGAAACGAAAAGCGUUUCGACGAGGAUUCAAAAGAGAACCCAAAGGAGGACCUUUCUGAGGCCUUUCAGGUCGCUACGUAGCGACUGACAGUCUGACAGGUCGCUACGUAGCGAGUGGAAGCAAGCCGAGAAGAGUCCUACUUGUUUUCGUCGUAAAAUCUCAACGGAAACUCCGAUUGAGACGAAACGAAAAGCGUUUCGACGAGGAUUCAAAAGAGAACCCAAAGGAGGACCUUUCUGAGGCCUUAGAGGUCCCUAUGUAGCGACUGACAGUCUGACAGGUCGCUACGUAGCGAGUGGAAGCAAGCCGAGAAGAGUCCUACUUGUUUUCGUCGUAAAAUCUCAACGGAAACUCCGAUUGAGACGAAACGAAAAGCGUUUCGACGAGGAUUCAAAAGAGAACCCAAAGGAGGACCUUUCUGAGGCCUUACAGGUCGCUAUGUAGCGAGUGGAGAGUUGGUUUGAGCUCGGUCACUAUGUAGCGACCGAGCAGUCUGUGUGCUCGCUCGGUCGCUACGUAGCAACCGAGCAGUGUGCGUGCUCGGUCGCUACGUAGCUCCGAGCUGCGUGUGUGUGCUCGGUCGCUACGUACGACCGAGCCGUGUGCGUGCUUCGGUCGCUACGUAGCGACCGACAGCGUGUGCGCUCGGUCGCUACGUAGCGACCGAGCAGCGUGUGCGUGCUCGGUCGCUACGUAGCGACCGAGCCGUGUGCGUGCUUUGGUCGCUACGUAGCGACCGGGAAGCGUGUGUGCUCGGUCGCUACGUAGCGACCGAGCAGCGUGGCUCGGUCGCUACGUAGCGACCGAGCAGCGUGUGUGCUCGGUCGCUACGUAGCGACCGCGAGCAGCGUGUGUGCUCGGUCGCUACGUAGCGACCGAGCAGCGUGUGUGCUCGGUCGCUACGUAGCGACCGAGCCGUGUGCGUGCUCGGUCGCUACGUAGCGACCGAGCAGCGUGUGCGUGCUCGGUCGCUACGUAGCGACCGAGCAGGUGCGUGCUCGGUCGCUACGUUGCGACCGAGCUGUGUAAUCGUUUUGUGUUUCCUUUUUCCGCGAUUAACGUAGGGGUUUUUCAGCGGUUUUUUUUGGGAGAACAAGUUUUAUCCUUCCGAAAUGUUUUCGGAAAACGUGUUUUGGUAAAACCCUUACGCAUCGAGAUUUGUUUACGGGGUUUUGAUAAGAUUUAUCGUUUCCCUUCUUGUUUACAGGGAGAAAUCGCGAGCUUGUUUUAGUGCUCUUCCUGUGGCGGAAGGUCGCGACUAAGUUUUCGAUUUUGUUGAAAACUACGGCGUUUGCGUAAGCGUUGGCCAUAGGAGCAGUCAGUGCUGCGAGUUUGUCUUUCAUAUAUCCAAACAUCGUUUCGAUCAAGCGUUUUGUGGCCAUGAGUAAGAGUAAUCCGUAACCCCCCCCUCCUUCUAGCGCCAAACUGUGGGAACCGAAAUUCGCACUGUCGAUUUCCGUUUAAAUAAGGAAACUAGGAAAACCCUAAUUUCCCAGAGGUCCCGGAUCUCUGCGAGAGCCAACGACAAGUGAUCGAAUAUAUGCGGAAAUCAUGAAAAGAUAACAAACGAGUUUAGAGAAAACAGUAGAUCUUAUUUCGAGUCCGCGUAAGAGCGUUGCGAUCAUUACAAGAGAAUACAAAGGCUUUGGCCGCAGGGGCCGUCAGCGAGUUACCUAGUUCUAGCAACAUAAAACCCUAAUCCUAGUUGAGUCGCAGCUCGAUAACAAAGGACGAAAAAGAUAUCUAAAAGGCUUAGAUUGAUUUCGGACUGAACCUUGUUAAAGGCUGCCUACGUACCCCUUUCGAGGAUCAAGCCGAACGUAGUUCAAUUGAUAGAGCUGGACAAGAGAUCGAACUGCCUGGGCGAGUUCGUCUAGUAAUUGAGUGCCAGUCAUAGAAACCGAACUUGUCGAGAAUAAGCCUAAAGUUUCUAAGUGCAGAGAAUUCCGAAUCUAAAAAGUUCUCCUCUCUUGCUCCUCGCCUAGGACUCCUUAUAUACUAGCUCCAAGGUCGGUUUACGCUUUUACUCUUCUGCCCUUAAGCCGUCAUAGCAUAAAAAUGGAGAUAUUCCAUUUUUCCCGAUCUUCACAAUUAUCUUCAAAACUUCCGUAUUUAUCCGCGGAAACUUGACAUUUAUCCUUCCUUGUGGACCAAGCGUAAACCAGGCUGUGGUUUACGGGCUUUUGGUUAGGAAAAUCAUAGGAUGGGCCUCGAGUCGUGUUUUAGGUCCCUUUGGGCCGUCUUCCGACUCGACACGUUUACUACGAGUUUUCCGCGGUUUCUAAUCCGCGAAGUUUGAUCGAUGAAUUAGAAUGGCGGGAAACAUGGACUGAGCUUGCUACGGUCUUCGGGAGAUAGCAUUCGAAGGUUUUGACGAGAAUGCAAGAACUGGUGUCGUAUUGACGUUCGGAAAGGUUCAAUCGCUACACAGCGACCGAACUUUGGCUCGAGCCCGGUCGCUUCGUAGCGACCGAGCGGGACGAGCGCUCGGUCGCUACGUAGCGACCGAGCUUGGCUGAGCUCGGUCGCUACGUAGCGACCGAGCGGGACGAUCGCUCGGUCGCUACGUAGCGACCGAGCUUUGGCUCGAGCUCGGUCGCUACGUAGCGACCGAGCGGGACGAUCGCUCGGUCGCUACGUAGCGACCGAGCUUGGCUGAGCUCGGUCGCUACGUAGCGACCGAGCGGGACGAUCGCUCGGUCGCUACGUAGCGACCGAGCUUUGGCUCGAGCUCGGUCGCUACGUAGCGACCGAGCGGGACGAUCGCUCGGUCGCUACGUAGCGACCGAGCUUGGCUGAGCUCGGUCGCUACGUAGCGACCGAGCGGGACGAUCGCUCGGUCGCUACGUAGCGACCGAGCUUUGGCUCGAGCUCGGUCGCUACGUAGCGACCGAGCUUUGGCUCGAGCUCGGUCGCUACGUAGCGACCGAGCGGGACGAUCGCUCGGUCUACGUAGCGACCGAGCUUGGCUGAGCUCGGUCGCUACGUAGCGACCGAGCGGGACGAUCGCUCGGUCGCUACGUAGCGACCGAGCUUUGGCUCGAGCUCGGUCGCUACGUAGCGACCGAGCGGGAGAUCGCUCGGUCGCUACGUAGCGACCGAGCGGGACGAUCGCUCGGUCGCUACGUAGCGACCGAGCUUGGCUCGAGCUCGGUCGCUACGUAGCGACCGAGCUGUGUGCAUGCUUGGUCGCCGCGUAUCGAUCGAGCUUGGCUUGUCCGCGGUCUGAUUUCCAUACUCGAGCUUGUCCGCGGCCGAUUUGGAUACAUGUCCGUUGCCUUCGGACAAUCGGUAUUUAGUGGUUCGAUUGAGAUUUGGACGAUAUUUUACUGCAAGGCUGUUCGUAAAGAUAUCUUUACGAAGAUUACUUUUCGUAAAAACGGUUAUGCUGAUUUUUACGGACUUUCAGACAUUGAUUCCGUCGUGACCGAUUUUGACCCCAACAGUUAGCCCCCCAGCUCGUUAGAAUCAUGAGCUUCUAGCGUGAGGUUCUAGCGAGUGGCUUUAGGCAAGUUAGGUGAGUUAGGCGGAAUUAAUGGUUGAAAAGGUCUGUGGUAAGUGAUCUUCUCGCUCUCCUAAAAGUAGAAAACGCGAUAAGAUUGGGGCUGCGCCUUAUGACGGCUGCCUACGUACCCUUGUUGAAGGGAUCAAGCCUUUCGUAGUUCAUCUUGGAGUUAAGGUUCUUAUGACUAGUUUUCCAGUAGGACCUUUAUGGUCUAGUUUUUAUGUAGCGGUUAUAAGGCGUGUUGCUGCCGAUGGCAUUUUGUAUGGGUGUAGAGGGAAGACUACGAGUUGUCGUCUCGUAAUCUAACUCUGUGUGAAUUGCCAUAUCCAUAAUCUGUUUCGAGAGUUUUCCGCAGUGUGUAAACUUGCGGGAUUUUCUGAAGACGUUCGAAUAUUGGCAAAGAGACAAAUUUUGGGAUCUCGUAUCAGGGUGUUUGAUACUAUGCCUAGAGAUGUUAGAGACCAGUGCGCUGGGUUUAGGGCAAGACCUAGGUUUACUCCUGGUUUUAGAGGGUGCGAUGACUAAUUCGACUUACGUAUCCCGUUUCAGUUUCAUCCUGAUUCCAUACCGAUUUAAAGUCCGCGAUAGGUUCUCGGCUUAUACGACUUGUAUGGUUGGAAUCGAGCAUCUCUCCGGAGACCGGAAGUGCUGGACCAAAAUUUCGGAUUUCUUUUAUAGCGCUAUUAUCCUUGUGUCGGAUGUAAGAGAGUCAUCUUCUACGAGAUGGCUAAGUCUGUUUAGGACGUUAAGAGUUUGUUGUGAUCAGCAACAAACUUAAUGGUAAAAAUUACUAUUUUGAGUCUUCGCGAAGAAUAUGUUUUGAGAAGAUGUUAGUGCGUAUGACUGUCUGGUCUUCCAUGAAGGUGUUUUUAUCGAGGAAGGAAAUUUCGUCGAAGAACUAAUCUUCAGGCGUCCGCGACGUCUCGCGAUGCUGAAGAUUUGUUAUUCUUUCGUAUGCCACGUUUCGUGCUUGAAAUGUUCGCGGGCUUUGAAGAUAUUUCGCGAUGUUGCGAGGGUUUAGUAUUAGCCCUGUGUUUGAGAAACAUUCUGGUUUGACUAAGAAUGUUCGCAGCCAAAAAUUGUUGUUCCUGUUCGGAUGCUAAUAGUUUUGUUUGCGAUCGAGGAAUUAUGACUGAGGUGUCGUGUAAAUUUGUCCAUGGGAACAAGCGUUUUCCUUCAUGGUGCUUUGUGAAGAGUUGGCCUUCCGAGAUGUAUUUCGUGCAUUUUUUAGGAUGUUUCGUAUAGCUCUAGAAGCUUUGUUACGAAUUUUUCCUUACAUGCCGCGUAUUAUGGUUAAAACGUUGCGGGCUUAAAGUGAAUUGUGGAGCGUAUUGAACUUGGUCAAUUUUCGAAAAGUUUAGAUUUUCCGUUAACCGUUUGGUUGUUAGGAUUUAGUUUCGUUACGAAGAAUUUAUCAUAUGAUUUCCGACUGUGGGCUAUACGAUAAUUUAUCAUAUCAUAUAACCGAUUUUACGAAGGUCGUAAAUCAGUGAUAUGUAUACAUAUGUCAAAGUAGCAUUGUUUCUGCGGGUUCUACGAGAAACGUUCCCGCUGUGAUUUUGAUCUUAGGUGAAAGUUGCUUGGAGUUACCCAUAGAGUUUUACCAAAGUUUAUUUCAAUACGAUCUAGUCGCGGAACGUUUUUCAUAGGUUUUUCGAGAGGAUACUCAUGACACAUUCGUUUCUUGAACGAAUUGGUCAACCAGAAGUGGAUCUAGCUAACCAUCGGGAGGAAAGUGCUCCUUUUAAUGUGCACGAUGCUACAUAUAUUCUCGAGUUUUCUUCGUCGCAAACGUUUUCGAUGCUUUUCCGUGACUUACUUGGUAAAACGAAAACUGAAAGAAAUGCUUUGGUGAUUGAAGAUUUCUCGUAGAAAUUUUUUAAAACGAAACUGGCUUUCUGAAGCCGGAAAAGGCUUCAAUACUUUGGCUAAUCGUCGAGUUUCAGUUUGAUAUUGGUACAAGUUUUCUGUACGCAUAAUUGCGACAAGAAAUGAUGUAUAGUUUUUGAGAUUAUGUUCAUGAUCGUCUGGAUAUGUUGCUAGCGUUUAGACGAAUAUUAAGAUUGUCGUUUGCCUAUUCUUGACGAUUUGCAGAAGUUUUUUGAAGUUUGGGAGUAUACGAGUAUAGUAUACGUACCUACUCCCCCUUUUUUUUUACGAAAGAAAACGGUUGAACCGAUACUUUGAAGGGUUGUGUACGUUUCCUCUCUGAUGUUUGGAAUGAUCGAUAAUUCGGGACGAUUUAUAGACGACGCUUGGACUGUGAUUUGGUUGUUUCCACGUUGACGACUUGGGAUAUGUCGGUUCCGAGAAAAUUGCCAGAAACGAAUCGGUUUUAAGACGACGUUCAUGUCUCUAACUUUUUCUCUCUUUAGGAAGCGAGCUUGAUAUGCGUGGCGAUCGUUUCUCGACUUUCGGAGAGUUUAGAUCGGUUUGCAAGAUCUGGAUGAACAAUUAUGGAACAAUAUAUCGAGACAGGAAAAAUCGCUUAAAACUUAGUUCGCUAGACUAUCCGCCUAGGUUUUACGUUCCCUAAAGUUCUAUGGCAGCCUCAAAGUAAUUUCCUACGAAAAUUCCAAGUCUGAUUUCAAAAAUUUCAAGUCGGAAAUACCUUAGUUCUCUCGAAGAUGCAGUUUUGUCCCUUCUCAGUUUUGCGUGCUCAUUUCCGUUUCCUAUUCUCGUGUAUGUUCGCCAUUUCCGAUAUUGGUGUUUAUCCUUUGAAACUUGACAUUUAUCUUCCGAACUUGACUGUUAUCUUCUCCUUAGAUAAGACGUCGAUUUUUGUAAAAAGGUUCAACGUAAUCGUAUAGUUAAGGCGGCUAAGGUGUUAAGUUAACCAUUGCCGUUUUAUACGAUUAAUCUGAAUCCAUGCGAGAAAAUAGGUCUUUGCGGUUUUUUUUUUUAUAUCGUAAAGUCUCAAUGGUAACUUCAAUCGAGGCGAAACAAGAGACGUUUCGAUCGAGAUUCGAAAGUGAACGCAAAGAUGGAGGUAGGGUGAGCAGAAACAAGCCAAGGAGUUUAAGAUGAGGUUUACUUGUUUUUGUCGUAAAAUCUCAACGGAAACUCCGAUUGAGACGAAACGAAAAGCGUUUCGAUGAGAAUUCAAAGGAGAACGCAAAGGAGGACCCUUUGAGGCCUGACAGGUCGCUAUAGCGAGUGAGGAUGUCUGACGGUCGCUAUAGCGAGUGGAAGGGAGCCGAGACGAGUCCCACUUGUUUUCGUCGUAAAAUCUCAACGGAAACUCCGAUUGAGACGAAACGAAAAGCGUUUCGAUGAGGAUUCAAAGAGAACCCAAAGGAGGACCUUUGAGGACUUACAGGUCGCUACGUAGCGACUGACAGUCUGACAGGUCGCUACGUAGCGAGUGGAAGCAAGCCGAGAAGAGUCCUACUUGUUUUCGUCGUAAAAUCUCAACGGAAACUCCGAUUGAGACGAAACGAAAAGCGUUUCGAUGAGGAUUCAAAAGAGAACCCAAAGGAGGACCUUUCUGAGGCCUUACAGGUCGCUACGUAGCGACUGACAGUCUGACAGGUCGCUACGUAGCGAGUGGAAGCAAGCCGAGAAGAGUCCUACUUGUUUUCGUCGUAAAAUCUCAACGGAAACUCCGAUUGAGACGAAACGAAAAGCGUUUCGACGAGGAUUCAAAAGAGAACCCAAAGGAGGACCUUUCUGAGGCCUUACAGGUCGCUACGUAGCGACUGACAGUCUGACAGGUCGCUACGUAGCGAGUGGAAGCAAGCCGAGAAGAGUCCUACUUGUUUUCGUCGUAAAAUCUCAACGGAAACUCCGAUUGAGACGAAACGAAAAGCGUUUCGACGAGGAUUCAAAAGAGAACCCAAAGGAGGACCUUUCUGAGGCCUUACAGGUCGCUACGUAGCGACUGACAGUCUGACAGGUCGCUACGUAGCGAGUGGAAGCAAGCCGAGAAGAGUCCUACUUGUUUUCGUCGUAAAAUCUCAACGGAAACUCCGAUUGAGACGAAACGAAAAGCGUUUCGACGAGGAUUCAAAAGAGAACCCAAAGGAGGACCUUUCUGAGGCCUUACAGGUCGCUACGUAGCGACUGACAGUCUGACAGGUCGCUACGUAGCGAGUGGAAGCAAGCCGAGAAGAGUCCCACUUGUUUUCGUCGUAAAAUCUCAACGGAAACUCCGAUUGAGACGAAACGAAAAGCGUUUCGACGAGGAUUCAAAAGAGAACCCAAAGGAGGACCUUUCUGAGGCCUUCAGGUCGCUACGUAGCGACUGACAGUCUGACAGGUCGCUACGUAGCGAGUGGAAGCAAGCCGAGAAGAGUCCUACUUGUUUUCGUCGUAAAAUCUCAACGGAAACUCCGAUUGAGACGAAACGAAAAGCGUUUCGACGAGGAUUCAAAAGAGAACCCAAAGGAGGACCUUUCUGAGGCCUUACAGGUCCCUAUGUAGCGACUGACAGUCUGACAGGUCGCUACGUAGCGAGUGGAAGCAAGCCGAGAAGAGUCCUACUUGUUUUCGUCGUAAAAUCUCAACGGAAACUCCGAUUGAGACGAAACGAAAAGCGUUUCGACGAGGAUUCAAAAGAGAACCCAAAGGAGGACCUUUAUGAGGCCUUUACAGGUCGCUAUGUAGCGAGUGGAGAGUUGGUUUGAGCUCGGUCACUACGUAGCGACCGAGCAGUCUGUGUGCUCGCUCGGUCGCUACGUAGCGACCGAGCCGUGUGCGUGCUUCGGUCGCUACGUAGUGAUCGAGCAGCGUGUGUGCUCGGUCGCUACGUAGCGACCGAGCAGCGUGUGCGUGCUCGGUCGCUACGUAGCGACCGAGCAGCGUGUGUGCUCGGUCGCUAUGUAGCGACCGAGCAGCGUGCGUGCUCGGUCGCUACUUAGCAACCGAGCAGCGUGUGUGCUCGGUCGCUACGUAGCGACCGAGCCGUGUGCGUGCUCGUCGCUACGUAGCGACCGAGCAGCGUGUGCGUGCUCGGUCGCUACGUAGCGACCGAGCAGUGUGCAUGCUCGGUCGCUACGUUGCGACCGAGCUGUGUAAUCGUUUUGUUGGGUCUCCUUUUUCCGCGAUUAACGUAGGGGUUUUUCAGCGGUUUUUUUGGGAGAACAAGUUUUAUCCUUCCGAAAUGUUUUCGGAAAACGUGUUUUGGUAGAACCCUUACGCAUCGAGAUUUCUUUACGGGGUUUUGAUAAGAUUUAUCGUUUCCCUUCUUCUUUACAGGGAGAAAUCGCGAGCUUGUUUUAGUGUUCUUCCUGUGGCGGAAGGUCGCGACUAAGUUUUCGAUUUUGUUGAAAACUACGGCGUUUGCGUAAGCGUUGGCCAUAGGAGCAGUCAGUGCUGCGAGUUUGUCUUUCAUAUAUACAAACAUCGUUUCGAUCAAGCGUUUUGUGGCCAUGAGUAAGAGUAAUCCGUAACCCACCCCUCCUUCUAGCGCCAAACUGUGGGAACCGAAAUUCGCACUGUCGAUUUCCGUUUAAAUAAGGAAACUAGGAAAACCCUAAUUUCCCAGAGGUCCCGGAUCUCUGCGAGAGCCAACGACAAGUGAUCGAAUAUAUGCGGAAAUCAUGAAAAGAUAACAAACGAGUUUAGAGAAAACAGUAGAUCUUAUUUCGAGUCCGCGUAAGAGAGUUGCGAUCAUUACAAGAGAAUACAAAGGCUUUGGCCGCAGGGGCCGUCAGCGAGUUACUUAGUUCUAGCAACAUAAAACCCUAAUCCUAGUUGAGUCGCAGCUCGAUAACAAAGGACGACAAAGAUAUCUAAAAGGCUUAGAUUGAUUUCGGACUGAACCUUAUUAAAGGCUGCCUACGUACCCCUUUCGAGGAUCAAGCCGAACGUAGUUCAAUUGAUAGAGCUGGACAAGAGAUCGAACUGCCUGGGCGAGUUCGUCUAGUAAUUGAGUGCCAGUCAUAGAAACCGAACUUGUCGAGAAUAAGCCUAAAGUUUCUAAGUGCAGAGAAUUCCGAGUCUAAAAAGCUCUCCUCUUGCUCCUCGCCUAGGACUCCUUAUAUACUAGCUCCAAGGUCGGUUUACGCUUUUACUCUUCUGCCCUUAAGCCGUCAUGGCAUAAAAAUGGAGAUAUUCCAUUUUUCUCGAUCUUCACAAUUAUCUUCAAAACUUCCGUAUUUAUCCGCGGAAACUUGACAUUUAUCCUUCCUUGUGGACCAAGCGUAAACCAGGCUGUGGUUUACGGGCUUUUGGUUAGGAAAAUCAUAGGAUGGGCCUCGAGUCGUGUUUUAGGUCCCUUUGGGCCGUCUUCCGACUCGACACGUUUACUACGAGUUUUUCGCGGUUUCUAAUCCGCGAAGUUUGAUCGAUGAAUUAGAACGGCGGGAAACAUGGACUGAGCUUGCUACGGUCUUCGGGAGAUAGCAUUCGAAGGUUUUGACGAGAAUGCAAGAACUGGUGUCGUAUUGACGUUCGGAAAGGUUCAAUCGCUACACAGCGACCGAACUUUGGCUCGAGCCCGGUCGCUUCGUAGCGACCGAGCGGGACGAGCGCUCGGUCGCUACGUAGCGAACGAGCUUGGCUGAGCUCGGUCGCUACGUAGCGACCGAGCGGGACGAUCGCUCGGUCAAUACGUAGCGACCGAGCUUGGCUGAGCUCGGUCGCUACGUAGCGACCGAGAGGAACGAUUGCUCGGUCGCUACGUAGCGACCGAGCGGGACGAUCGCUCGGUCGCUAUGUAGCGACCGAGCGGGACGAUCGCUCGGUCGCUACGUAGCGACCGAGCGGGACGAUCGCUCGGUCGCUACGUAGCGACCGAGCGGGACGAUCGCUCGGUCGCUACUUAGCGACCGAGCGGGACGAUCGCUCGGUCGCUAUGUAGCGACCGAGCUUUGGCUCGAGCUCGGUCGCUACGUAGCGACCGAGCCGUGUGCAUGCUUGGUCGUAUCGAUCGAGCUUGGCUUGUCCGCGGUCUGAUUUCCAUACUCGAGCUUGUCCGCGGCCGAUUUGGAUACAUGUCUGUUGCCUUCGGACAAUCGGUAGUUAGUGGUUCGAUUGAGAUUUAGACGAUAUUUUACUGCAAGGCUGUUCGUAAAGAUAUCUUUACGAAGAUUACUUUUCGUAAAAACGGAUAUGCUGAUUUUUACGGACUUUCAGACAUUGAUUCCGUCGUAACCGAUUUUGACCCCAACAGCGUAAACCGUGCUGCGGUUUACAGGCUUUUGGUUAAGAAAUCGUAGGAUGGGCUGAUAUGAGUUCAGUACACGGAUCAGUACACGGAUCAGUACACGGACAGUCCACGGGAAGGCCUCGAGUCGUGUUUUAGGUUCCUUUGGGCCGUUUUCCGACUCGACACGUUUACUACGAAUUUUCCGCGGUUUCUAAUCCGCGAAGUUUGAUCGAUGAGUUAGAAUAGCGGAAAACAUGGACUGAGCUUGCUACGGUCUUCAGGAGAUAGUAUUCGAAGGUUUGAUGAGAAUGCAUGGAUUGGUGUCGUAUCGAUGUUCGGAAGGGUUCAAUCGCUAGACAGCGACCGAGCUUUGGCUCGAGCUCGGUCGGUACGUAGCGACCGAGCGGGACGAGCGCUCAGUCGCUACGUAGCGACCGAGCUUUGGCUCGAGCUCGGUCACUACGUAGCGACCGAGCGGGACGAGCGCUCGGUCGCUACAUAGCGACCGAGCGGGACGAGCGCUCGGUCGCUACGUAGCGACCGAGUUGGUCGGACGUUCGGUCGCUAUGUAGCGGCCGAUAUCGGCCCGUACUUGGUUGCUACGUAGCGACCGGACGGCGUGUAUGCGCGGUAAUUACGCAACGACCGAGUUUGAUUUGUUUGGUUUGAAUCUUCAAGGAUACUUCUUCGCAAAAACUUUGUAUUGGUUAUAUUUUACGAAAGUUGUAUCCUUCUUUUUACUAUCUCUUUCGGAAAUACGAUCUCUGAGGAUUUUCGGGUGGUAAUUCCGUCGUAACCAUUUUUAACCCCAACAGUUAGCCCCCCAGCCCGUUACGAUCAUGCAUCGUAGGAUCCUAGCGUGCGGUUAGGCAUGUUUGGCAAGUUAGGCGUGUUAGAGGGAAUUAAUAUUCGAAAAUCCGAGCUUGAAUAGUAAAUCCUCAUGCCUAUAAGAAGGGAGGUAACUUGUUUCAUAAUUUUUUCACUUUCUUGUCUUCUCAAAGUUUUUAGAGUGAAGAGAUCCUUUCAACUUUCUCUCUCUUAUUGUUGAGAUUUUUCCUUUUCCUCCUUGUUGAGAAUGUCUCAAGGGAUUUCGGGAAACGCUCGGCCUACUAUCUUCAAUCGCGGAACUGUCCGUGAUGGACGCAGUGAGGUUGUCCGAGAGAUCAAAUUCGUGGCACAUUCCGUUGAUCCCGCCGAGGCCGACGCAUAUUGGGUGGCUAUGUGCAAUGUGGAAGAACCGCCUCCCGAGCCGUGGGUUCCCAUGAGGCCUUUCUCGGAAAGGGUCGUUGGGAGACCGAGCAGGUGUACCCUUCCGUUUCUUGGAGCCGUACGCAGCUUCUGUCACGUUCCAGAAAACGUGGACUUUCGAUUACCCCUCGAGGGGGAGAGGGCUGACGAGCCUCCCGAAGGCUUUUUUACUUUGUACGAGGACCAUCUGAUGCGCGCUCGUUUAUGGUUUCCCAUUCCGUCGGUUUUAGUAGAGUUUCUGAACCGUUUGGACGUUUCGAUAAGUCAGAUUUCUCCCCGCGGUAUAAAGCAUCUCGUCGGGUUGCUAGUUUUGGGAUAUGAGCGAGGCAUGGAGCUCACUGCUGAUUAUCUCGAAGCUUUCCUUACCCUGUCUCGUGUUGGGACCGAUCGUCUGUAUGGUUUUAAACCGCGUAAUUUUAUGGAAGUCCUGAAAGGAUUCCCUCAAGGCGAUCGUGGAUGGAAGAGUUACUUUUUCUACGUUAGAUUGGAUCAAGCCUCGGUCGCCGCGGAGUGCCUUCCCUCGUUUAGGCGACUGUGGGGGGUAGGAGGUAACGUGUUGAAUAAUUGCUCGUUGUUUUCUUACCACCCGUUUUUUUUUUAUUCUUCCAUAUCUGAACUACGUCCAUUUUGCAGUACACAACCCCAUUCCUCCUUUUCCGGAAGAUUUGUGCAUCGUCCGAGACCUUCUCCGUGGUGGUCCGCUGUUUUGGGGUCAUUUCACUCCCGAGAGGGUCCGUGCGGCGGUCGGGGCUCACCAAUCUCAUUUCAGCUCAUCAAUUGAUAAUGUUAUGGGGGCUUCUUUUGAAGAUACCUCCUCGUCCGCUGUCUAUACCACUGGGCAGAGCAGCGGUCGAGGGUCGCUUGACGCUGACAAAGACGGAGAGUCGACCAUAGAGGAUCCUGUUUGGAUGGACUGAUCCUUUGUAUUGAUGGUUGAGUUCGAUUAUCAUUUUAUCUGUUUUCGGCCGAGUGUGGCCUUUUGAAUUUGGAUUUUGCUUAGGCCUAGACGGCCGUAUUUGUAUUUACCGGGACUGGCCGUUGGUGGCUUUGAAUCCCUUGCCGCCUUACGCGGUUUAUUUAUAUGAUGAAUUUUUCGUUUCUCGAAUUUUCCUGAGUAGGUUUGAAGUAAAUAUGAGUUGUCGUCUCAUUUUUAAUUCCGAUGGUACGUUCAAUCUGUUGGUUCGUUCGUGAUUUUCGUAAGAAUUACCUAUCUUUACAAUUUUCGAGAACAUUGAGAUACGAACGGAGAGACAUGGUUUAAGAUCUCGUAUCUUUUAGAUAUCAUGCCUUGAGAUGUUUGAGACCAGAGCGUUGGGUUUAGGGCAAGACCUAGGUUUACUUUCGGUUAAGGUUUGUGCGGUGACUAGCCGGCUAUCGUUUUUCCUGUUGCGAUUUCUUCCUGACUCGCACCGAUUUAAAGUCCGCGAUAUGUUCUCGGCUUAUAUGACUUGUAUGGUACGACUCGAGCAUCUUCUCAGAGUUAUCUGGAAGUGCUAAACCAAAAUUUCGGAUUUUUGUUGUAGCGCGCUUUUGUCCUUGUGCUGGACGUUUUGAAGAUCAAAAGAGUGAUCGAAUUGCGUUUGUUAAAGACGGCUAGCGUGUUCGUCGGGGCCAAUCGACGAACGGGGUGUAAGGUUUUGGUGGUCGCGUUCGGACAAUUUGUUAGUAUUAUCCUCGAAUUUUAACUUUUGCGACGUCUCGCAGUUAUUUCGAGGAUUGUACAUGUAUCUUUGAAUGUUUGAAAUAUGAUGAUUUUACGAUUUUUGGGCCGAAUGAGACCGCAGACAAAAGUCUUAAUGUUUCCAGGCGUGUCCUGAAAGUUUCUUUUAUGUUUUACUGAAGCGUAAGCGUUUUCGAUAAAAGGGACAACGUAUAUUUUAGUAAAAGUUUUUGGAUUUUCUAAAAACUCGAUUACAAUAAUGAAGAGUUUUCUAAGUGGGAGUAUACGAGUAUACGCACCCACUCCCCCCCCCCCUUUUUAGAGAGGGGGAUAGCUGAACUCGUCUUUUGACGAGCUGCCUACGUACCCCUUUCGAGGAUCAAGCCAUCUCGUAGUUCUGUUUCAUGCCGCGAGUGUUCUUACUCGGCGGUAGACGUCACGAUGUCCGCCGUGGCCAUGUCAAUCGUGGCUGGAUCAACGCUAUUUUCCGGAUGUUCCGGUUGAGUUGUAGCGUGGGCUUCGGACUUGUGUCGAGCUUCGACGUCCGAUGCGUUUGCGUCGGUAGACAAUUUUAACUCGUCUUUUCCUGGGGCGCUUUUGGCCGAAGAUCGGUCUAUCUUUGUGCGCUUGCCGUUUACAGCUGCAGAAGUCGUGAUUUGCCUUAACUUGUGCUAUGCGAGGAAGCAUAGCCGCGACUGUUUUUGGCAUCCCCAGAUGGCCGCGACUCCGCUUGGGGUUGGGAAUUUGAGACCCAGGUGGUAAGUUGACGGAACUGCCUGCAUGGCGUUGAGCCAUGGGGUUCCCAUGAUCACGUUGUAGAUAGCAGGAUGAUCGACUACCGCGAACUCGACGAUUUUCGUGAUCUCCUUGUCCAUGACUGGCAAUUGGAUCGAUCCAAGAGUCAUCGAUACUUCGCCUGAAAAACCCGUGAGUGGUUUCGGCGUCGGAAUUACUUCUCUGAGUUUGAUACUCAUCCGCUUGAGAGUGUUGCGGAAGAUUACGUUGACCGUGCUUCCCGUAUCGACGAGUACCCUUCCGACUUCUAAAUCUCGUAUGACGAGAUCUAUGACGAGCGGGUCGCAGUAAGGUUGGUCGAUACCGCCAGCUUCUUCCUUUGUUAAGGUGAUCGAGCAAUUUUGGCCAUCUCGAGGGGGAGACCAUGUAGGCCAAUUUGCACUCGACUCUGCCUUCCGUUGGUAAGCCUUGAUGGCCGACACAGUAUCGCCGCAGUAUUGUGAUCCUCCGAUGAUCAUAUUGACUCUGCGACGAUUGUUAUCGUUUCCCUUGUCGUCUGGCCUCCUACCGCGUUUAUCCCCAGGCUGGUUUCGUUGAUGGGAUUUUUCAGCUGGCGGAUUUCUAUCCGUCUUUGGAGGGCGAUCAUAAUCGACGAUGAGAUCCUUGACGCUAGUUACUUCCGAGAGCUCUCCAGCGAGUAGCUUCGCGGCCAGUCUUGCUCCCAAGACUUUGCAGUUGGUCGUGGAGUGUCCUCGGGAUUGGUGGAACUCUCAGAAGGUGUUUUCGUCAUACCCUUGAUUGCGAGUCCAUGUGUUGCCCGUGGUCCGGCCCUGAUCCGAAUUAAUCGCAUAGUUAUGCGCCCCCUGGAGAUCUUCCCCCUCGUGAUGGACGUACUUGUCGUUACGAGAGUUCUUCUUUUUCCCUUUCGGAUCCACGUCUUUCGAGGAUGGGCUUACCGCCUUAUGUUUUUGUGAUAAGACUUUAGUUUCCUCCUCUACUAUGAUGUAGUCCGUUGCUUUGUGGAGGGCGUCCUGGAUUGUUCGUGGUUUGUCGAGAGUUAUCCACUUUCUGAAUUUCGACUUGUACCAGAGCGUCUUUCUCAGCGCGUCGAUGGCUACUUUGUCGCUUAUCCCACUGACCCUUGACAUUAUCAGCUUGAACCGACUGAUAAACUCUCGGAGGGGUUCGUCUUCCCUCUGGGAGAGACUCCAGAGAUCAACAUUGGAAGUUUCUCUGUCUAUGAAUACAGAGUAUUGUUUGAGAAAUUCCGAUGCGAGCUGUCGGAAACUCCCGAUGGUGUUGCGACGAAGGCGUGCGAACCAUUCGAGCGCUGCUCCUUCAAGAUUUUCGACAAAUAGGCGGCAAUAGCCGGCAUCUUUUUCGCCGUCCUUCAGUCUUGCUCUUCCCAUCGCGAUGUGGAAAGCCUGAAGGUGCGCUUUUGGAUCGGCCGUACCAUCGUACUUCGGUACAUUGAUUUUUCCCGGAUCGGACACCCUCAUGUCUGAAAUGCGACUGGUAAAGGGGGUCUUUCGAGCUCCAUCUAGCAGUCGAUCGAUCUCGGGGGCAGCACAAGUACAUGAUGGAUUUGAAACUUUAGGGCUCUCACUUCUGCCGCAGUCUUGGUGAUGUAGUCGCGAAGAUCGCGGAUAUCCGAUGUCUCGUCAGUGGAUUUCCGAGCUUGUCGGCGUUUACUGCGAGUGAGCUCGGUUUGCUUUUCAGCCAGCUCCUCUUGUUCGUUCCAAUAGGCGACUUCCUCUUCUUCCGUCAUUGGUUUUUCGAACGGGGAGCCUUCCCGAGCGGACCGGCUUCUGGUCCUUCUUGGAUGUUUAUUGACGUCUUCGUCGGUGUCGUUGGAGACAUCGCUAGGAUCCAGGUCAAUGUGCUCGGCUUCGUUAUCCUCCGAGUCCUUUGCAGGGGGCGGAAGACUUUCAGGGUUCACCUUUUCGAUGGGAGAUUUCUCGCUAGGGUUUUGUCCGGAAGGUCGCUCCCGCGCGACUCCUGAUCUGUCGAGUGGGGUAGCGAAGUCGAGCCUCUUUCCGCAGAUUUUGGUGGUUCCGCGGGGACGGAUUGCUUGGGUCCUUGCCGUUAAGGUUUCAACCUGUUUGGUCAUAGUAUUCACGAGCUUAUCCUGUUCUUCCGACCUUUUCUCAUAGGUGGCGAACAUCUUUUUAAACUCCUCGAGAGUUGCGGCGUUGGCUUGUGCGUUGGCCGCGGAUACGUCCACUACUGGAGUGUGGAGAUCGGUGCCGCUGCCUCCGUUAAGAGGGGUUUGCACGUUAUCCGCAUCGUUAUUUGACAUGUAUGAUUGAGAGUAAUGUGGCUUUUGCGGGUUAGAUUGAUCCGUACCCCCCCCCCUCCUUCUAGUGCCAAACUGUGGGAACCGAUAUUCGCACUGUCGAUUUCCGUUUAAAUAAGGAAACUAAGAAAACCCUAAUUUCCCAGAGGACCCGGAUAUCUGCUAAUUACCACACGUCAAGCAAUCUGAACACGAGAAUAACAACGAUAAAGUAUAAGAAAUCGAAAUAGAGAGCAAAGAAGAUCUUAUUUCCAAAUUUGCGUAUGAUCGUUUACAACAAGGUAUAAGCCUGGGCUCGAGAGCUGUCGGCAAGAUUCAUAGUUCUAGCAACCCUAUGACGGCUAAACCUAAUUGAGUCGCAGCUCGAAAUAACAAAAACGGAAAAAUGCCUAAAUCGCUAUAAGUGCUAAGUUUGCUCUGAAAAAGUUCUCCCCCACGCUCCUCGCCUAGGACUCCUUAUAUACUAGCUCCAAGGUCGGUUUACGCUUUUACUCUUCUGCCCUUAAGACGUCAUAGCAUAAAAAUGGAGAUAUUUCAUUAUCCCGAUCUUCACAAUUAUCUUCAAAACUUCCGUAUUUAUCCGUGGAAACUUGACAUUUAUCCUUCCUUGUGGACCAAGCGUAAACCGUGCUGCGGUUUACGGGCUUUUGGUUAAGAAAUCAUAGGAUGGGCCUCGAGUCGUGUUUUAGGUUCCUUUGGGCCGUUUUCUGACUUGACAGUUUACUACGAAUUUUCCGCGGUUUCUAAUCCGCGAAGUUUGAUCGAUGAGUUAGAAUAGCGGAAAACAUGGACUGAUCUUGCUACGGUCUUCGGGAGAUAGUAUUCGAAGGUUUGACGAGAAUGCAUGGAUUGGUGUCGUAUCGAUGUUCGGAAGGGUUCAAUCGCUACACAGCGACCGAGCUUUGGCUCGAGAUCGGUCGGUACGUAAAAAGAAGGAUACAACUUUCGUAAAAUAUAACCAAUACGAAGUUUUUGCGAAGAAGUAUCCUUGAAGAUUCAAACCAAACAAAUCAAGCUCGGUCGUUGCGUAAUUACCGCGCAUACACGCCGUCCUUUCGCUACGUAGCAACCAAGUCCGGGCCGAUAUCGGCCGCUACAUAGCGACCGAACGUCCGACCCACUCGGUCGCUACGUAACGACCGAGCUCGAGCCAAAGCUUGGUCGCUACGUAGCAACCAAGUCCGGGCCGAUAUCGGCCGCUACAUAGCCAAAGCUCGAGCUCGCUCGUUACGUAGCGACCGAGUGGGUCGGACGUUCGGUCGCUAUGUAGCGGCCGAUAUCGGCCCGAACUUGGUUGCUACGUAGCGACCGGACGGCGUGUAUGCGCGUUAAUUACGCAACGACCGAGCUUGAUUUGUUUGGUUUGAAUCUUCAAGGAUACUUCUUCGCAAAAACUUCGUAUUGGUUAUAUUUUACGAAAGUUGUAUUAUUUUUUUACUAUCUCUUUCGGAAAUACGAUCUCUGAGGAUUUUUGAGUGGUAAUUCCAUCGUAACCGUUUUUAACCCCAACAAAUAGAUGAUAAGAAAAUGAAACAAGGAGUUCCAAUCACAAGUGAUCUUCUCUCCAAAUGAAACUUGUAACAAAACUAUGUCUAGAAAAGAAAAAGCUCUCCCUGCCGUCAAACACUUAGGCAGUAUAUAUUCUACUAGGUUAAAAACUUGUCAGGGCACUUUGGUAAUUUAGCUUGGCCUAGGUAUUUAGUCUGCUGAAUCCAAAAUGUCGCGUCUGGUGUCUCGACAUCGAUCGACGGUACUUGUGAACAUCGAUCGAUAUUAAUCUUCAUCUGUCGAGGCAUUUCUUGAUAUCGAUCGUCAGCACUGAUGCGCAUCGAUCGAUUAUUCUUCCUCUCGUCGACCUCUAAGUGGUCAGCUCGGGUGAAAUGUCCUUUAUGCUCCAAAAUGCUCCAAAGUCAUAGCUUUACUCCGAAAUGCACCUGAACCUGAAUACAUACCUAGAAGAGUAGAAAAUAGAGAUAUAUAUAUAGUAAUAUAAUAAUAUACCAUGGAUAAAAAUGGGUCAAAUCCAAGGUAUAUCAACUCCCCCAGACUUACCCUUUUGCUUGUCCUCAAGCAAAACAUACAGGCAGUUUCUCUGAAAGAGGUUUGAAAAUAUUUGGGAACUUAAGAUUUUAAAAACAUAGAAAUCUUUCCUCAACAAUUUUGCAACCACAUUUAAAAAGUCCUAAUCACAAAAGCACACUAUGCAAUAUCCUAGCUUAGCAACCAUUUCUAACAUAACACAACUCAUCAAUUCACGUCUGACAUCUCCUCUACUGAUUUCAUUUCUUAGCAUAAAUAUAAAGUGAAUGCUUUACCUUGGGAGUAUCGAUCACAGGAUGCAAGAAUUUCAGACAGGUAUCUGGAGCUGCAGGUAAAAAAGCUAGUUCCUAGUUUCUCUCUCUCUAAAUUUCUCUCUUGAGUCAAAGUCUGCUUCCAUUGCAGGAUCAGUGACCAAGAUUGGACAGGCUUCCAUGAAUCAAAACUUAAUGGUGGUUGCCACCAAGUAAUGUUCACUUCUUUUUGACCUAUAUCCAAGAGUUCUUUGCGAAAGCGAGGCUUGAAGAUUGCCGCCUCCAAGUCUCGUUUCAAACUCUUUUAUUUGAGUCUUUAUGAAUCAAGCCUUAAUGGUUUUAGCCACCAAGUCCUGUUUAGACUCAUCCUAAUUAAACAAUAGAUCUUGUUGGGGUCAAAAAUGGUUACGACGGAAUUACCACCCGAAAAUCCUCGGAGAUCGUAUUUCCAAAAAAAGAUAGUAAAAGGAGAGAUGUAAUUUUCGUAAAAAUAACCAAUACGAAGUUUUUACGAAGAAGUAUCCUUUGGGUUUCAAACCGAACAAACCAAGCCCGGUCACCACGCAUACACGCCGUCCGAUCGCUAUGCAGCAACCAAACUUGAGCCAAGCUCGGUCGCUACGUAGCGACCGAGCGAUCGUCCCGCUCGGUCACUACGUAGCGACCGAGCUCGAGCCAAAGCUCGGUCGCUACGUAGCGACCGAGCCCGAGCCAAAGCUCGGUCGCUACGUAUCGACCGAGCGAUCGUCCCGCUCGGUCGCUACGUAGCGACCGAGCUCGAGCCAAAGCUCGGUCGCUACGUAGCGACCGAGCGAUCGUGCCGCUAAGUCGCUACGUAGCGACCGAGCGAUCGUCCCGCUCGGUCGCUACGUAGCGACCGAGCGAUCAUCCCGCUCGGUCGCUACGUAGCGAUCGUCCCGCUCGGUCGCUACGUAGCAACCGAGCUCAACCAAGCUCGGUCACUACGUAGCGACCGAGCGAUCGUCCCGCUCGGUCGCUACGUAGUGACCGAGCUCGAGCCGAAGCUCGGUCGCUACGUAGCGACCGAGCGAUCGUCCCGCUUGGUAGGCUACGUAGCGACUGAGCUUUGGCUCGAGCUCGGUCGCUACAUAGUGACCGAGCGAUCAUCCCGCUCGGUCGCUACGUAGCGACCGAGCCCGAGCCAAAGCUCGGUCGCUACGUAGCGACCGAGCGAUCGUCCCGCUCGGUCGCUACGUAGCGACCGAGCUCAGCCAAGCUCGGUCGCUACAUAGCGAUCGAACGAUCGUCCCGCUCGGUCGCUACGUAGCGACCGAGCGAUCGUCCCGCUCGGUCGCUACGUAGCGACCGAGCUCGAGCCAAAGCUCGGUUGCUACGUAGCGACCGAGCGAUCGUCCCGCUCAGUCGCUACGUUGCGACCGAGCUCAAGCCAAAGCUCGGUCGCUACAUAGCGACCGAGCACUCGUCUCGCUCGGUCGCUACGUAGCGACCGGGCUCGAGCCAAAGUUCGGUCGCUGUGUAGCGAUUGAACCUUUCCGAACAUCAAUACGACACCAAUCCUUGCAUUCUCGUCAAACCUUCGAAUGCUAUCUCCCGAAGACUGUAGCAAGCUCAGUCCAUGUUUCCCGCUAUCCUAAUUCAUCGAUCAAACUUCGCGGAUUAGAAACCGCAGAAAAUUCGUAGUAAACGUGUCGAGACGGAAGACGGCCCAAAGAGACCUAAAACACGACUCGAGGCCCAUCCUACGAUUUUCUAACAAAAAGCCCGUAAACCACAGCAUGGUUCAUGCUUGGCCCACAAGGAAGGAUAAAUGUCAAGUUUCCGCGGAUAAAUACGGAAGUUUUGAAGAUAAUUGUGAAGAUCGGGAAAAAUGGAAUAUCUCCAUUUUUAUGCUAUGACGGCUUAAGGGCAGAAGAGUAAAAGCGUAAACCGACCUUGGAGCUAGUAUAUAAGGAGUCCUAGGCGAGAAGCAAGAGAGGAGAACUUUUUCCAGAGCAAACUUAGCACUUAGAGCAAUUUAGGCAAUUUUCCGUUUUUGUUAUUUCGAGCUGCGACUCAAUUAGGUUUAGCCGUCUUAGGGUUGCUAGAACUAGGAAUCUCGCCGACAGCUCUCGAGCCCAGGCUGAUACCUUGUUGUAACGCUCAUACGCAGAUUCGGAAUAAAGAUCUACUUUGCUCUCUUUUCGAUUUUUUAUUUUUAUCGUUGUUAUUCUCGUGUUCUGAUUGUUUGACGUGUGGUAAUUAACAGAUAUCCGGGUCCUCUGGGAAAUUAGGGUUUUCCUAGUUUCCUUACUUAAACGGAAAUCGACAGUGCGAAUUUCGGUUCCCACAGUUUGGCGCUAGAAGGAGGGAGACUUACGGAUCAAUCUAACCCGCAAAAGCCACACACAAUCUGACAUGUCAACCAACGACGCGGAUAACGUGCAAACUCCUCUUAAUGGAGGCAGCGGCACCGAUCUCCACACUCCAAUAGCGGACGUAUCCGCGGCCAACGCGCAAGCCAACGCCGCGACGCUCGAGGAGUUCAAAAAGAUGUUCGCCACCUAUGAGAAAAGGUCGGAAGAACAGGAUAAGCUCGUGAAUACCUUGACCAAACAGGUUGAAACCUUAACGGCAAGGACCCAAGCUAUCCGUCCCCGCGGAACCACCAAAAUCCGCGGGAAGAGGCUCGACUUCGCCACCCCACUCGAUAGAGCAGGACUCGCGCGGGAACGACCUUCCGGUCAAAACCCUAGCGAGAAAUCUCCCGUCGAAAAGGGGAACCCUGAAAAUCUUCCGCCCCCUGCAAAGGACUCGGGGAUAACGAAGCCGAACACAUUGACCUGGAUCCUAGCGAUGUCUCCAACGACACCGACGAGGAUGUCGACAGACAUCCAAGAAGGACCAGAAGCCGAUCCGCUCGGGAAGGCUCCCCGUUCGAAAAACCAAUGACGGAAGAAGAAGAAGUCGCCUAUUGGAACGAACAAGAGGAGCUGGCCGAAAGGCAAACCGAGCUCACUCGCAGUAAACGCCGACAGGCUCGGAAAUCUACUGACGAGACAUCGGAUAUCCGCGAUCUUCGCGACUACAUCACUAAGACUGCGGCAGAAGUGAGAGCCGUAAAGUCUCAAAUCCAUCAUGCUACUAGUGCUGCCCCCGAGAUCGAUCGACUGCUGGAAGGAGCUCGAAAGACCCCCUUUACCAGUCGCAUUUCGGACAUGAGGGUGUCCGAUCCGGGAAAGAUCAAAGUACCAAAGUACGAUGGUACGGCCGAUCCAAAAGCGCACCUUCAGGCUUUCCACAUCGCGAUGGGAAGAGCAAGACUGAAGGACGGCGAAAAAGAUGCCGGCUAUUGCCGCCUGUUCGUCGAAAAUCUCGAAGGAGCAGCGCUCGAAUGGUUCGCACGCCUUCGUCGCAACACCAUCGGGAGUUUUCGACAGCUCGCAUCGGAAUUCCUCAAACAGUACUCUGUAUUCAUAGACAGAGAAACCUCCGAUGUUGACCUCUGGAGUCUCUCCCAGAGGGAAGACGAACCCCUCCGCGAGUUUAUCAGUCGGUUCAAGCUGAUAAUGUCCAGGGUCAGCGGGAUAAGCGACAAAGUGGCCAUCGACGCGCUGAGAAAGACGCUCUGGUACAAGUCGAAAUUCAGAAAAUGGAUAACUCUCGACAAACCGCGAACGAUCCAGGACGCCCUCCACAAAGCAACGGACUACAUCAUAGUCGAGGAAGAAACUAAAGUCUUAUCGCAAAAACAUAAGCCGGCAAGACCAUCCUCGAAAGACGCAGAUCCGAAGGGGAAAAAGAAGAACUCUCGUAACGACAAGUACGUCCAUCACGAGGGGGAAGAUCUCCAAGGGGCGCAUAACUAUGCGAUCAAUUCGGAUCAAGGCCGGACCACGGGCAACACAUGGACUCGCAAUCAAGGGUAUGACGAAAACACCUUCUGCGAGUUCCACCAAUCCCGAGGACACUCCACGACCAAUUGCAAAGUCUUGGGAGCAAGACUGGCCGCGAAGCUACUCGCUGGAGAGCUUUCGGAAGUAACUAGCGUCAAGGAUCUCAUCCUCGAUUCUGAUCGGCCUCCAAAGACGGAUAGAAAUCCGCCCGCUGAAAAAUCCCCUCAACGAAACCAACCUGGGGAUAAACGCGGUAGGAGGCCGGAUGACAAAGGGAACGAUAACAAUCGUCGCAGAGUCAAUAUGAUCAUCGGAGGAUCACAAUACUGCGGCGAUACCGUGUCGGCCAUCAAGGCUUACCAACGGAAGGCAGAAUCAAGUGCAAAUUGGCCUACAUGGUCUCCUCCUCGAGACGGCCAAAGUUGCUCGAUCACCUUCACAGAGGAAGAAGCCGGCGGUAUCGACCAACCUCACUGCGACCCGCUCGUCAUAGAUCUCGUCAUACGAGAUUUAGAAGUCGAAAGGGUACUCGUCGACACGGGAAGCACGGUCAACGUAAUCUUCCGCGACACUCUCAAGCGGAUGAGUAUCGAACUCGGAGAAGUAAUUCCGACGCCAAAACCACUCACGGGUUUUUCAGGCGAAGUGUCGAUGACUCUCGGAUCAAUCCAAUUGCCAGUCAUGGCCAAGGAGAUCACGAAAAUCAUCGAAUUCGCGGUAGUCGAUCAUCCCGCUAUCUACAACGUGAUCAUGGGAACCCCAUGGCUCAACGCCAUGCAGGCAGUUCCGUCAACUUACCACCUGGGUCUCAAGUUCCCAACGCCGAGCGGAGUCGCGGCCAUCUGGGGAUGCCAAAAACAGUCGCGACUAUGUUUCCUCGCGGAGCACAAGUUAAGGCAAAUCAUGGCUUCUGCAACUGCAAACGGCAAACGCGCGAAGAUAGAUCGAUCUUCAGCCAAAAGCGUCCCGGUAAAAGACGAAUUAAAAUCGUCUACCGACGCAAACGCAUCGGACGUCGAAGCUCGACAUAAAUCCGAAGCCCACGCGACAACUCAACCGGAAAAUCCGGAAAAUAGCGUCGACCCAGCCACGAUCGACAAGGUCAAGGCGGACAUCGCGACAUCUACCGCCGAGUAAGAACACUCGUGGCAUGAAACAGAACUACGAGAUGGCUUGAUCCUCGAAAGGGGUACGUAGGCAGCUCGUCAAAAGACGAGUUCAGCUAUCCCCCUCUCUAAAAAGGGGGGGGGAGUGGGUGCGUAUACUCGUAUACUCCCACUUAGAAAAAUCUUCAUUAUUGUAAUCGAGUUUUUAGAAACUUCAAAAACUUUUACAAUAUACGUUGUCCUUUUUAUCGAAAACGCUUACGCUUCAGUAAAACAAAAAGAAACUUUCAGGACACGCCUGAAAACAUUAAGACUCUUAACGCUUGCCUGCGGCCUCAUCCGGCCCAAAAAUCGUAAAGAUUAUCAUCUUUCAAACACGCAAUACAAAAAUACACGUAUAAUCCUCGAAAUAACUGCGAGACGUCGCAAAAGUUAAAAUUCGAGGACAAUGCUAACAAAUUGUCCGAACGCGACCACCAAAAACCUUACACCCCGUUCGUCGAUUGGCCCCGACGAACACGCCAGCCGUCUUAAACAAACGCAAUUCGAUCACUCUUUUGAUCUUUAAAAACGUCCAGCACAAGGACAAAAGCGCGCUACAACAAAAAUCCGAAAUUUUGGUUUAGCACUUCCAGUUGAUUCUGAGAAGAUGCUCGAUUCGUACCACACAAGUCAUAUAAGCCGAGAACAUAUCGCGGACUUUAAAUCGGUGCGAGUCAGGAAGAAAUCGCAACAUGAAAAACGAUAGCCGGCUAGUCACCGCACAAACCUUAACCGAAAGUAAACCCAGGUCUUGCCCUAAACCCAACGCUCUGGUCUCAAACAUCUCAAGGCAUGAGAUCUAAAAGAUACGAGAUCCUAAACCAUGUCUCUCCGUUCGCAUCUCAAUGUUCUCAAAAAUCGUAAAGAUGAGUAAAUUUUUACGAAAAUCAUGAACGAACCAACAGAUUGAACGUCUAAUCAGAACUAAAUAUGAGACGACAACUCGUAUUUACUUCAACCCUACUAAGGAAAACUCGAAACGAAACUUUCAUCAUAUAAAUAAACCGCAUAAAGCGGCAAGGGAUUCAAAGCCACCAACGGCCAGUCCCGGUAAAUACAAAUACGGCCAUCUAGGCCUAAACAAAAUCCAAAUUCAUAGGGCCACACUCCGCCGAAAACAGAUAAAAGGAUAACUAAUCCACCCCUCAUAAUCCAAAGUCAAAGUCCCCGGACAACGAAGCACCGAACGCAUCCGCGGGAUGAUCCCCUUCCUCGCCACCAUCGGGAAACCCGGUCGGAACCUCCUCGGUAUCAGGGGAAACCGGGAUGGAAUCCCAGAACCCUUGAAUCCGCUCGUCGAUCAGAGAGAUAAGCGCCUCAGCAUGGGCACGUUCAUUCAUCCCACUCUUCAUCAAGCUCAUUUCCUCUUCAAACACAUAGUCAUCGGCUCACGUCCUCCAAAGACUUCCGACCGAACCGCGGCACUCGCGAAAGUCACCCACCGAGGUAAAGGCAUUCUUGAGGUUCCCAUACUCAACCUGGAAUUGAGAGGCACGAGUCUUCAUAACCUCGACGAUUUCUCUUUUGCCUUUCCUCUCCGCCUGACGAACAGCCCGCGCAUGAUCACGAGAAAGUUGCGCCUCUCGCUCCAACAUCUCGCCUUGCACGCGAGAGAGAUCCCACUCCGCUUUCUCCGCUUUGAAGCGGUAGACCAUGGCUUCUCUAUGGCCCGCCUCAAUGGCCGAGCCCAGCAAGCUCAGGCCCUGCAAAAUCGAUUGACAUGUUAUAGAUAUAUAUACAUAGGACAAUCACCAAAAAAAAAUAAUUCUCAAAAAACUAACCCCAUUGAUGAUGCGAGAUCCUUCCGCAACGACUCUCGGCCUCGCCGAUUCUUUCGUAGGAGGAGGAGCAUCGAAACCCGGUGGCAGUCCAGCAAAGAAAUCAUCGAAAUCUGGAAUAGGGGCCUCGCUCGAACCACUCCCAUCACCGUAAGCAAGGUUCGGAUCCCAUCCUGGAAGCAUAGAGUCAUCCAUCGAAAAUUCUAUGUCGCCAAGAUCGACGUCUUUUCCCUUCCAAGAGCUCGACUCCGGCACAGCUUUUGGAGCUUCGACGGGAUUCUGGUCGUCAGGUUCGGAGUCGCUUCCCGUGUUCGCAGGCGAAGCAGGACCGGGUUGCACGAAUCUCAAUGCCCUCCGAACCCUCUUCGGCGUAAAAGAAGUCCAGAAGAAAGGACCGUUCCUGAGAAGAUCCCUCACCGCAAUGAUGUCCUCGGGGAACGGAGCAAGAGGGUUGAUGAAGGGACGAUCAUUCGGCAACCUCCGGAACAGUGGAAUGCAACUCUCUUCGACGGACGCAGCGUCUAUACGAACAAAGAAAAAGAACUUCUUCCACGAGUUGAAGUUCGAAAUGAACUUCUUAACCACUGACAUAAAUUUCCGAGGGACCAACCUAUGCUUAUCCGUAUCCGUGACAAGUUGAAGCCUCAAAAGCGCUUCAUAAUGAUCUACGGAAAGGGAAAGGCCAUGCUCGUAGCUUAGGAUCAGGAUCCCAAUAAGAUGCUGAAUGGCAAGGGGAGUCAACUGACUUAUCGCAACUUCGAAACGAUCCAACACUCGGACGAGAAUUUCGGGUAUGGGGAACCAUAGGCGACAACGCACUAUGAACGCCUCAUAGCAAGUAAAGUAACCCUCCGGGGGGCUGUUAGCACAUUCCCCGCGGCGGGGAACCCGGAACUCCACAGCAUCCAGGACAUGGUAGAACGAUCGCAUCAUCGCAAGAAACUCGUCGGUAGUCCUGCUUGCAUCCUCUUCCUCGACUCCACGAUGGACCAGGACCGGGAACGGCUUCUCCUUGGGAGGGGUCAACGAGCCAUAAUGAGCAACCCACCAUGCCUCGUUCUCGGCAGGAUGCACCGAGUGAGGCACGAACUCCAUCUUCGGAACGAUGAGCGUUUCAUAAGGACUCGCGGACGAAGACCCUUUUUUCGCAAUCGUUUUCUUGCUCGACAUCUUUACACUUCUCUUGAGAGAAUAGAGGAAAAGGGUGGAGAGAAAGAUAGAAAGUUUUUCUUAAGAAAGAUCUUAGAGAAAGACAAGAAAGUGAAAAAAUUAUGGAACAAGUUACCUCCCUUCUUAUAGACAUGAGGAUUUACUAUUCAAGCUCGGACUUUCGGAUAUUAAUUCCAUCCAUCACGCAUAACUUGCCAAACAUGCCUAACCGCACGCUAGGAUCCUACGAUGCAUGAUCCUAACGGGCUGGGGGGCUAACUGUUGGGGUCAAAAACGGUUACGACGGAAUUACCACCCGAAAAUCCUCGGAGAUCGUAUUUCCAAAAAAGAUAGUAAAAUGAGAGAUGUAAUUUUUGUAAAAAUAACCAAUACGAAGUUUUUACGAAGAAGUAUCCUUGGGAUUCAAACCGAACUAACCAAGCCCGGUCACCACGCAUACACGCUGUCCGAUCGCUAUGCAGCAACCAAACUUGAGCCAAGCUCGGUCGCUACGUAGCGACCGAGCGCUCGUCCCGCUUGGUCGCUACGUAGCGACCGAACUCGAGCCAAGCUCGGUCGCUACGUAGCGACCGAGCGAUCGUCCCGCUAGGUCGCUACGUAGCGACCGAGCUCGAGCCAAAGCUCGGUCGCUAUGUAGCGACCGAGCGAUCGUCCCGCUCGGUCCGAUCGCUCGGUCGCUACAUAGCGACCGAGCUCGAGCCAAAGCUAGGUCGCUACGUAGCGACCGAGCGAUCGUCCCACUCGGUCGCUACGUAGCGACCGAGCUCAAGCCAAAGCUCGGUCGCUACGUAGCGACCGAGCACUUGUCUCGCUCGGUCGCUACGUAGCGACCGGGCUCGAGCCAAAGUUCGGUCGCUGUGUAGCGAUUGAACCUUUCCGAACAUCGAUACGACACCAAUCCUUGCAUUCUCGUCAAACCUUCGAAUUCUAUCUCCCGAAGACCUUAGCAAGCUCAGUCCAUGUUUCCCGCUAUCCUAAUUCAUCGAUCAAACUUUGCGGAUUAGAAACCGCGAAAAAGUCGUAGUAAACGCGUCGAGACGGAAGACGGCCCAAAGAGACCUAAAACACGACUCGAGGCCCAUCCUAUGAUUUUCCUAACAAAAAGCCCGUAAACCACAGCAUGGUUCACGCUUGGCCCACAAGGAAGGAUAAAUGUCAAGUUUCCGUGGAUAAGUACGGAAGUUUUGAAGAUAAUUGUGAAGAUCGGGAAAAAUGGAAUAUCUUCAUUUUUAUGCUAUGACGGCUUAAGGGCAGAAGAGUAAAAGCGUAAACCGACCUUGGAGCUAGUAUAUAAGGAGUCCUAGGCGAGAAGCAAGAGAGGAGAACUUUUUCCAGAGCAAACUUAGCACUUAGAGCAAUUUAGGCAAUUUUCCAUUUUUGUUAUUUCGAGCUGCGACUCAAUUAGGUUUAGCCGUCUUAGGGUUGCUAGAACUAGGAAUCUCGCCGACAGCUCUCGAGCCCAGGCUGAUACCUUGUUGUAACGCUCAUACGCAGAUUCGGAAUAAAAAUCUACUUUGCUCUCUUUUCGAUUUCUUAUUUUUAUCGUUGUUAUUCUCGUGUUCUGAUUGCUUGACGUGUGGUAAUUAACAGAUAUCCGGGUCCUCUGGGAAAUUAGGGUUUUCCUAGUUUCCUUAUUUAAACGGAAGUCGACAGUGCGAAUUUCGGUUCCCACAGAUCUUAUUUAUUUUUUUUUUAAUAUUAUUUUUUAUUUUUAUUAUUAUUAUUAUAUAUAUAUAUAUUUUUUUUUAGCAGAACUAAUCUAGGGUCGAAAUCUAGAGAGAGAAAAUGUGAUAAAUAAUCUAAACCAGACGUUACCUUCCAGACCUAUCUGAAGAAUCCGAUCCCAUGUAUACAAAACCCCAAGACAAGCGGUUAUGUCAGGUUUAGUGUUGGAAAUCAGCUUUGGUUACUUCAUACGGUUCUAGGCAAGUGUUUAGUUGAUAGGUUGAUCUGCAUUAGCAUCUUUAGUGCUAUCAGUAAAUCUAAAAUGGUGCUACAGAUUGGUUAGAUAUUCAUGUUUAAACCAAUAUAAGAUUAUAGUCCCUAUUUUCAAUAGCUAAGCAUAAUUUAUUUGAAAUUCCUUUUUACGUAAGAAUAAAAUAAGUUAUAUCAGUAAAUCUCCCCCCAGACUUAAAUUACACUGUCCCAGUGUAACUCAGCCGGAGUUAUGAUGAAAAGUGUAUGAUGUACGAAAUGUAACAAGUAGGUAAGAUACAUCUGACCGGAUUAAAUAUCGAUCGAUGGGUAAGUGUUACAUCGAUCGUCGUGUGGUUGCCUAUGUCGAACGAUGUCGACGUCUCGUCGUCGGUCGAUAUUCAAGUCCUCCUACUUGGUUCUCCUAAAUCUGAAAGAGAUAAAACGAAAAAAAAUUAAAUGCUAGCUAAUAAAACCAAAGUAAAAUACCUAAUAGUGGGUUGCCUCCCACUCAGCGCUUGGUUAUAGUCAUUUAGCUUGACUGUGGUAGUGAUUGGCUAUUGGGUGGAGAAGCAGCUGCUUGUUGGAAAGCAAGCAUCCACGUCAUCUCUGCGCAUUCUGGACCAUGAUGCAAUGAAACUUCUUGUGGCCUCAUCAUUUCUUGUCCAUUUGUCAUCCAUCUUCCCAAGUACAUUGGAGAUGUUCUGUAGCCUUUCUUGAAUGUUGUCAAUGCUGACCUGGUGCCACCCUAUGUUGUCAUAGGCGUAUGCUGAAAGAUCUGUCAGUUCCUUUUGCAUUGACUCUACUGCCUUGUGUAUCAGCUGCUCGCCGAUUGGUAUAGACUCGGCAUCGAUCGAUGUGAUUAUGUGGUCGUUGGUCGAUCUCGGUGAGUUGCCGUCGAUCGAUUUUGCUUUUGUCCUGGCGAUCGAUGCUGAUAUCUGAUGUGGAGCUGCGAGUUGCCUCUGAAUGGCUUUGACUUCUUUCUGUAGCCAUUCUGCGUGGUUGUCUAGUCCACUGGUUUUGUUGUCGAAUGGAAAGUAGAUGUCAUCACAGCGUUUGUCAAGUCGUUCCUCCAUGGUGUCUAGAGCAGUGUAGAUCUUGGAUGUGAUCUUGUCAACCUCUGCUGCUGUGUAAGGAAGUAACUCCACAGGUUUCUUGCCAUCGAUCCAGGGUCCUCUUAGCCUGUCGAUCGAUGCUGAUUUUACCUGCAAAAAACUUUGAUUAGUAAUGUUCUCAAUAUCCUUUUGGCAUCAAGUAAUUGACUAGACAAUUUGUUUAAAUCUAUCAUGACUGGUGAUAUAAAACGGUCAUGCAUAUCCUCGUAAGUCCUCAGCCUCUCAUUCAUUGCUGAGACUUUGGCGUCGAGCGAUGUGAAGGUGCACAUGUCGAUCGAUGUGGCUGGAUGUUGGUCCUUCUUGUGAAUGGUGUCCAGAUCUUGCUGUAGUAGCUCGAUUUUAGUGCUUAGCCAGUCCACGUUGUUGUUGAGAGGGCAGUAAACGUCGUUUAUCCUCGUGUCGAUGUAUGAGAUUUCCCAUUCAUCCUUGUGUUGUGUUGAACAUUGCGGUUCUGCAAGGAUCUUAGCUGUAGGAAGACUGACGUCGAUCGAUGUUGCACGUGGUGCGUCGAUCGAUGCUGAGGUCGUAGCUUCCUUCUCAAGUUGCUGACGUAAACUUUCAAUUUCUGUCCUCAUUUCUGCCAUACAUCUGAAAAGCUCAUUGUAGCCUCUAUCCAAAGGCUGAUGUGUUUCAUCUACCAGUGUUUUAAGCUCAUCUCCCAGUUUCUCCUAAGUCCACAAAUACCAAACACCAUUUCAUCGAUUUCUUCUUUGGUGUAGAGUUCUGGUGCCAGUCUUGUGAGUGUGAAGGAAGUGGCAUGUUCUGGAAGAGAGAUGUGGCUCUCUUCAAAAAGAGAUGCUCUUUCCAGUAUUUUCCUGAUGUUGUCCUUUGUGACAGGUAUCAUCUCACCAGCUGCACUUCGUGCGUGUCCACGCUCAUCUCUGUAGACUCCAUAUUCGUCCCUUUGUUCCCAAGUGAACUUUCUGGCUCCAUACAUGUUGAAAGCGCGGCUCCCACAUUUAUAGCGUCUGACGAUCGACGUCGGAUCAUCCAUAUCGAUCGACGUUGGUGUUACUCUGGCGAUCGAUGUCUCCAUUGUACCAUCGAUCGAUGCUUGCCCUUUUGGUUGGCGUGAUAGGUCUGUGUUGAUCUCUGUUGUGGCGACUCCCGCGUGGUUGUUAGGAUCUGUUAGGAUGACGUCUGGAGUGCCACGUUGCUGUGAGAACAGGUUGUCAGGUCUAUUGGCUACUUGAAGGAUGUCUGCUAUGUCCUCUCUGGACACUUGUAAAAUCCUUCCAUCCAUUGCACGUGCGUUGCCAUCUGGAUCCCUGAAAAUACUAAAUUCAUCAGGUGUUAGAAAACCGUAAUCAAUGUUUGCAUAAUUAUUCAUUUUAGAAAUAGAGAGAUUAGGGUUUAGAGUAGUAUCGAUCGAUGUAGAUACAGUUACAUCGAUCGAUGGCAGAGUAAUUUCUGCAGAACUUGUGUUCUUGAGAUGAUUGCUCUUCAUGGAUUUUUCUGUUGAUGUAGAAGGAAGAGUGUUCAUCUUAUUUGCUUGUGUGUUUUCUCUGAUGUGUGUAGGUGGUUUCGGAGGUGCAAAACGAUUUAUAUAGGUAUCUAUAAACCUAGUUAGGGAGGGAAUAUUCUCCUGCUCCUGAAUUUUCGCUGCGGCGCGAAUAUCGAUCGAUGUUCCUUUCGGUGUGUCGAUCGAUGUGAGCGGUUGUUUUGCUGGACGAGGGUGGGUAUCGACCGAUGUGGAGUGCACAGCGUCGAACGAUGUUGGAAACGUGUUGGUGAACUUCUGUAUUUCAAGUCUUUCAUCCUGCAAAGACAUUUCUAUUGCACGUUCUUUCCAGUAAUCCUCAUCGUAUUCCUCGGUAUGUUCCUCAUGAGGUGAAGUAAUUACAGUGUCAACUGCAAAACUUUCACGGAAACCACUGUCUACCCAACUGCCUAUGGAAUAAUCAUCAUGUCCUCUCCUGGUUGGAGAUUGGAAGGAAAAAUGUUGGUAACAAUGAUUAUGUGAAGCGAAAUGGUCAAGUGGGUGCAUUAUGUCGAGUGACGUGUUGUUGUGGUCAUCGGUCACCAUUGACACAUUGGAAUCGAUCGAUGGAAAGGUUGAGGUGUCGAUCGAUUCCGAGUACUCUGUUUCGUACUCCGAUUCAUACUCUGCUCCACAAUGGCAUGCGCCAACGAAGCCAAGUUCUUUCCCAUAAUCCACAUAAUUAAUUACCUUUCUCUUAGGUCGGAUGGGAUCGUAGUGGAUGUUUGGGUCUAUGAGCGUUAGACACAAUUUGUUUUUGUUCAUGUCACAUACAGCUCCUACUGUAGCUAGGAAGGAUCUUCCAAGCAGAAGUGAAGAGUUCCAGUUAAGCUCGAUGUCUAAGACAUGAAAAUAUAUAGGGACAAGGGCAUUACCAAUCAGUACCUCCAGAUCUCUUAUGAUGCCUCCGGAUCGUUUUUCUGAAAGAUCAACGAAGGUGAAAGAUUUUGUUGAUGGUUCGAUGGUCAAACCAAGCUGGUCUGCCAUAAUCCUAGGAAGGAUACUAACUGAUGCUCCUGUGUCACACAUUGAAUGGGGAAAUUCAACACGCUUGACUAUGCAUGGUAUUGCAAACUUCCCAGGAUCACUCUUCUUCGUCAAUGUGAUCCUGUGUUUCAUCUUUCCACUGACUUGAUGAAACAUUCUCCUAAUGUCCUCCUCAGUUACCUUUGUUUCUCUGAAGAACAUCCACAACCGGUGUGUGAAGUAAACUUCAUCAAAAGGUUUUUCGAUUGGGAUUCUGAGGACUCGUUUAGUGAAACCAUCCAUCUCCUUAUCGUUAGCUUCCCUCUUAAGGUUUUUAGGAAUCUUCUCCUUUCUUUUCCUUAACCUUCUCCCUUCAGAUUCUUGUUCUUCUUGAACAGAUUCUGUUGAACUAGUUAAAGGGUUGGGUUUUGGUUCGGGUGGGUUUGCUAAUGGUUUAGGUGGUGGUCUGAGUGCAUUGAUGUAAUCAUUAUCGAUUGAGGGUAACCGCACUCGGUAUGUCAGAGGUGCCUGUCGAUCGAUGGGAGGUGUGUUGUGACGAUCGACGUCGGACUCACUCUGUCGAUCGAUGGUUGAGUUAACCGAUCGAUCGAUUUUUUCAUAGAAAGGGGAGGGUGGGUGAGGAUGCUUAGCUGCGAAUUCUUCAUGAGUUAGAAUUCGAACCGCAUUGCAUUCAGUCGAAUUGGCAGACGACGUCGAUCGAUGACUGGAGUAAUCCGUCCAUCGAUCUUCAUCAUGGUCUGUCAAUCGAUGCGAGUUCAUCGACAUCGGUCGACACCAUUGGGAUCUGCCGAGACUCAUGGAGCUUUCGAUUUCGAAAUCUCCUUCCUCAAGGUUUUCAUUUCUCACCACUUGCCAGAAUUCAUCAUCUAUGAUGGCAUUUACGUGGUGUUUCCCUUUGUCGGCUCCUGCCUCUCUAGCGAAAGCUUCUUGCCUCUUAAUAGUCUCGCCCGUCUAAAUUACUUGGGUUUCAAGUUUUCUCACCUGAGUCCCUAAGGUCUCGAUUUUGGUGUUCAGAUUGUUGUAGGCAGAGUCUAUCUUACCGUUGAAAUCCACGGUGAUUUGUUGUUAUCCCAACAGUACUCGAUCAAGCAUUUCUUCGAUCUUGCUUUCCUGAGUCUGGGCUGGUGGAUUUUGAUAGUAAGAGUUCGAGUAGCUCUUGCUGUUGUUGAAGGGUUUUUGAAAUUGUGAACUUUGGUUACUUCUUUGGCCAUUUCCAAAGAAGUUUCUGUUUCCGCCCUGGUUUUCAAAUUUUUGGAAUCCGGUACCUCCGAUGUAGUUCACAUCUUCUUCUCCUUUUUUAUCUGCUACUUCUCCUUCAGCUGAACAGACUUGCUUUCUAAGAAGCUCGUGCACCACAUCUAACUUAGCUCUUACUUCGUCCAUCUGUUCCUUCCCGAUAGAGGCUACAGACUUCUUCCGUUCAGAGUCAGUGUUUUUGGUGCUGCUGCUGUUAGCAAGGUUUUCGAUAAGUCUCACAGCUUCCAACGGAUUCCGAGUAGUGAAGUUUCCUUCACUCGCCGUAUCAAGAGCCAUUUGAUACUGUAUGGCGAGACCUCGGAAGAAAGUGCUUAGCAGCUGCACUUCAUUAAAUCCGUGGUGUGGACAGUCUCGCUGGAAAAACCUAAAUAUAAUCCACGCAUCUUUGAAGGACUCUCCAGCCUUCUGCGAGAAUGUGGAAAUUUUGUUCCGAAGUUCUUCAGCGCGCGCUUCAUCGAAGAAGUUUCGUAAGAAAGCAUUCUUGAUGUCGCUUCAGGAUGUUAAAGAUCAUGUGGGUUGCUGCCUAAGCCUGUGCAUCGCUUCUCCAUUCAGCGUGUAUCUGAAGAGCUUGCACAGCAGGUAAUCUUCGGGGACUCCUUCCAUCCGAAUGGCAGCGAUUAGAUCCUCGAACCGUUCCAAAUGGUCCAUAGGAUGCUCGUGCGGUAACCCAGAGUAGGGUAUCUGCGACACGAGAGUGUAGUAUUGAGGCUUCAGCUCGAAAUUCUGCUUCUGGAUCUCCGGAAGUCGAAUCGCUGAUCUGUUGGAAUAGUACUCAUCUGGGCGAUUGUAGUCGGCCAGUGGUUUCGAUCGAGCGUCCUCAUCUACAGGUUGAGCAGCUCCUGUAGCAUCAGCAUCAGGGAUUACAGUUCCCUGAGCAUCUAUUUUCUGACCUGUUGCAUUACGCAGAUGACCGGCCUGGUCAUACAGGUUUCCGUUCUCAUCCUGAGUUAGAAUAAUAAUGUUUACCAUUUUUGACGACACGGUAUCGAUCGACGUACGCGGUGUAGUAUCGAUCGUUUCGAACGAUUGGGAUCGAUCGACGAUGACGGUCUGGUGUCGGUCGACGGUUGGUUGUGCGUAUCGAUCGACGACGAAGUGGUUGCGUCGAGCGAUGUGGAACGUUGACCUCUACGGAUGGUUCCAAAUGAGCAGGAUCGUCUGAGAACAGCAAGUCUUUCUCCUUGUUGCGUCUGGUACCGCUGGGCAUGCACCUGAAAAGACAAGAAAAAGAAAGAUUAUUAGAAAAGGGGGUAAAGAAAAGAAUAAGAAUUAAUAAAACUAAAUCUAAUGGCGAUCAAAGCUCCCCGGCAACGGCGCCAAAUUUGAUACCACUCAAAUUACCCUAAGGAGUGUUACUCUCAUCAAAAGAGGUUCAGAUGUAGUACUUAGGGAUUAAAUCCACAAGGAGCUAGGGAACCAUUAAAUCUAGUGUUUAUUAAUUCUAAAGGUUGUAAUGUUUUAAAUAAAAUAGCAAUAGUAACUAGCGAGUAAAUGAUAAAUGUAACUUAGGUUGGAAAUGAUAUUAGAUGCAGGGUCACUAUUCAGGUGUUGGAGAUUAUAAUUCCUCUAGAUGCCUAACUGUUGCAUGCAUGAUAUAUUAGAGCUCAUUCGCUUAACUCAGUGAUCAGCUGUCGCAUGUACCACAGGUUAACAGACUAGAUCUUGUGUCUCACCGGUUAGAUGCAGACACAAGAGAGUGUCGAUCGAUAGUCUAUUAAGACGUCGACCGAUACACUUUUGCCAACAUUGAUCGACUGUCAGUUGAGGACAUCGAUCGACGGGUUCUAGCCAGGCCUAUGCGCGAGUAUAAAAAUGCUCUACUAAGACUCUAAAUUGGCGGUUAGCCCUCUCUAGCAAUCCUAAUAUGAUAGAUAGAUGUCAGGAUGGGAUAACAAGGGUGCCUGAAUAUGCAAUCCUAUGAUCAAGUUCUAGUUAGCUAGGCUAAAACAAGCAAUGAACCCUGGAUCUAACAGUUGAACUACUCAGACAUAGCAAAGCAAUUCAUAUCAAUAGAUAAAUAGAAACUCAUAAAAUAGAUGAUAAGAAAAUGAAACAAGGAGUUCCAAUCACAAGUGAUCUUCUCUCCAAAUGAAACUUGUAACAAAACUAGGUCUAGAAAAGAAAAAGCUCUCCCUGCCGUCAAACACUUAGGCAGUAUAUAUUCUACUAGGUUAAAAACUCGUCAGGGCACUUUGGUAAUUUGGCUUGGCCUUGGUCUUUAGUCUGCUGAAUCCAAAAUGUCAUGUCUGGUGUCUCGACAUCGAUCGACGGUACUUGUGUACAUCGAUCGAUAUUAAUCUUCAUCUGUCGAGGCAUUUCCUGAUAUCGAUCGUCAGCACUGAUGCGCAUCGAUCGAUUAUUCUUCCUCUCGUCGACCUCUAAGUGGUCAGCUCGGGUGAAAUGUCCUUUAUGCUCCAAAAUGCUCCAAAGUCAUAACUUUACUCCGAAAAGCACCUGAACCUGAAAACAUACCUAGAAGAGUAGAAAACAUAGAUAUAUAUGUAGUAAAAUAAUAAUAUACCAUGGAUAAAAAUGGGUCAAAUCCAAGGAAUAUCACUAAGUCAUUUUUCUUUUAUUGUGUUAGUGAUUCUCCUUCUUCUUCUCCCUUUGCUUUUCAGGUGUAUGAUCACAAGAGGCAGAGGUGCAUCCAACUUGGUUCCCACUGUUUAAGAGAUUGCUACACUUGAGCGGGAGAUAGGAAGACAUAGAAGAGCAGUAGAGCACCAGGCUCACUUGCAAAGGUUGGAUUUUGAUAUGGAAAAUCUGCCUCAAGAUGGUGAUGCCCUAGGGGGCAAUGGUCCAAGAGCUGAUCAUCUUAGACCAUAGCGCCAGCCACAACAUCAACCGCGCCAAGCUCGUGCAAUUAGAGCCUAUGAUCAACCUCACACUAAUGGUCAUAGGUUGGGAAUCAGAGCACCAGCAGUGAAGAACAACAACUUUGAGAUCAAGUCAGAGCUGCUCAACACCAUAGAGAACAACAAGUAUCAUGGCCUUGCUGCUGAAGACCCUUUUGAUCACUUGUACAAGUUUCAUAAAUAUUGUGGCUUGUCCAAGACAAAUGGUGGUUCUGAAAAUGCUUUCAAGUUGAAGUUGUUCCCUUUCUCUUUGGGAGACAAAGCACACCAUUGGGAGAAGACUCUCCCAAGUGAGUGACAUGGGAAGAGUGUAAGAUAGCUUUCCUACACAAGUUCUUCUCUACAUCAAGGACAACUAAUAUCAGGAAUGAAAUCUCUGGGUUUCAACAGAAGAAUCUUGAGAGCUUAAGUGAAGCAUGAGAGAAAUUCAAGGGCUAUUGGUCUCAAUGCCCUCAUCAUGCUUUCAACAAGGAGAGUUUGCUUAGCACAUUCUAUAGAGGAGCUCUACCACAGUGCAGAAACAGGCUUGAUACUGUCAGAAAUGGUUUUUUCUCGGAUAUAACUGAGGAAGAGGCAGAGGAACUGGUAGAGAACAUGGCCUAGAGUGACUCAGUCCACAGUGAGGAGCAUGAUAGGGUCAACAUAAGUGAUGAUCAGCAGACAAAUAAAGAGAUCAAGUCCUUGCAAGAGAGGAUGUAUUUGCUUCUUUCCAACCAAGCUAAACAGGAGCAGGUGAACUUUGUGGGUGGUCCUAGUCAAGAGGUUCCUCUUAAAGUCAAUGAGAUUGAUGGUUUGGAAGGCCAAGAAGAGCUAUGCUUCAUCAACAACAAUGGUACUUGGUACAGGAAGGAACCUAACUUUCAGUACAACACCUACCAGCAAAGGUCUUACUCUAACAACCAGCAAGGAGGAUACUAGCCCAAGCAAAACACUCAGCAAAGAGCUAUCAGACUAGGCAAAAAAUCCCUCCUGGUUUCAGAAAUCACGGCAAUCAGUCUACUCAAGCUCAAGGCAGUUCUUCACAAGCUCCAGCUUCACAUACAAGUGUGGAUGUAAUGUUCAAGCAACUCUUGGAUUUCAGGCAAAGAAUGAGAAAACAAUGGGCUAUGAGUUCAAGAACAUUCACUCCAAGAUUGAUGGAAGCUACAAUGAGCUCAACAACAAGAUCAGAGCUUUGGAGAACCAGUUUGCUUCUAUGAACUCUCAGCCAAGUCGCCAACAAGGGUAAUGAGAUCCUAGGAUGAUUCUCUGGAACAGAUGGGAUAAUCCUUGCAGAAACGAAUCAAAAGACUCAAUGUGGAUCGAAUGGUGACACAAGAGGCUGCGAAAAGGCUCCUUGAUACUCCUAGGCAAUAGAUCGGAUAUGACACACCGAACUAGAGCCCUUAGUCUGUGGAUAUUACACACCAUAAGUUGGAUAUUACACACCAACACUCAAUCAACUGGACAAGCAAGAAGAAAAGAGAAAACAAAGGUUUUUGAUAAAAGAUGGAUACUGAUACAAGGGGGCCACGACCACAAUGUAAAGGAGAAGCCUUGUACAUGCACAAGGUCUCGAAAAUACAAGGGAGAUAAAGACAAAGGCUCUCUUGGAAACAUAACAAAAACUAGAGUUUUCGAAACCUAAAUAAUAUAAAAGCAUAGCGUAAAAUAUAACAUAAGGUCUUCAUGUGGACAGACCAAGAUCAAUCAUCUAGGAGAUAGGAGAAGUAGACUUGUGGCCUCGUUAAAAACCUUCCUUUGGAAAACCAAGUGGGACAAAACGAAAGGUUAGGAAAAGAACACACACAAGCUACUUGCCUAGAUGAUGAUCAGCUUGAAGGUGGAGUAGUUUGAAUGAUGGUUAAGGUGUCUUGGAUGAUCAAGCUUCGACCAAGACUAAUGUAUUCUUCUUGCUUCCAAGCAUUCUUCAAUGUUGCAUACUCAGCUACAGUCUCUUCAGGUUCAGGUUUAGACUUCCAUUCCUUGGUGCUUUCCAUGAUCACAUCAAAGGGUCAUUACCUGGAAAGCCAGAGCAAAACCCCAAGGAAACAAUGAAGGCAAUCACCCUAAGGAGUGGUAAAGAGUUUCCUCCAAGAGUUCUCACCAAGGAUGGUGAGAAACAAGGUGGGUAGGUGACCAUCAACAUUGAUGAUGAAGUGGUGAUUGUAGAUGAGAAGGUUGAUGAAGAUAUUCUGGAAAAGAUUGUUGAAGCUAAGGGUAAAGGAAAGGUUGGAGAAGAGAACAGGAAAGUGAAACAUGGUGAAAUUGCUACUCCAACAAAGGAAUGCUCUUUUGUUCCUCCUCCCUAGGAGCCAAGGCUACCAUUCCCUGGAAGAUUCAAGAGACAUCUAUUGGAGAAGUACAAGGCACUCUUUGAGAAACAAAUGAGUGAAGUUCAGGUAACAAUGCCCAUAAUUGAUGCUUUUAUGUUGGUCCCUCAGUACAGCAAGUUCUUAAAAGAUGUUGUAGCUGCAAAGAAGAAAGAGAUGGAAGGCAUGAUGAUUCUUACUCAUGAGUGCAGCACCAUUAUCCAGAGGUUAAAUGUUCCAAGGAAGCUAGAGGAUCCAGGAUGUUUCACCUUACCUUGUGCUCUUGGACCCAUGGUGUUUGAGAGGUGUCUAUGCGAUCUUGGAGCUAGUGUCAGCUUGACGCAUUUGUCUAUUGCAAAGAAGCUUGGAUUUACUCAAUACAAGAAGUGUAGACUCUCUUUGGUGUUGGCUGAUAGAUCAGUGAAGAUUCUUGUUGGUAUCCUAGAAGACCUUCUUGUGAUGGUUGGUAACUUUGAGAUCCCUACUGAUUUUGUUACGUUGGAGAUGGGUGAGGAAGCCAAAGACCCUUUGAUCCUUGGAAGACCAUUCUUAGCCACAGCAGGAGCUACUGGGAAUGUCAGAGAAGGAAAUAUUGAUCUUCAUCUUGGAAAAGGAAACAUCCUCCACUUUGACAUCAACGAAGUGAUGAAGAGGCCAACCAUCCAAAACCAAGUUUUCUACAUAGAUGAAAUAGAUGCUCUAGAUGAUGAGCUUCUAGAGGAGUUGGCACUUGAAGACCCUCUAUAACAUGCUUUGACAAUUGAAAGAGAGGUCCAAGUGGUUGAGAACAAGGAAAGUAAUGCCUAUGUGAGGAUGUUGGAUUCUCACAAGGGGAUUGGUGGUGAAGAUCAGUAUGAGGAGUAGAGGUGUCACCUGGGCAGGCGGACCAUGGGUUAGCCCACUCCAAUUCAUUUUUGGCGGGCUAUGGACGUGCCCAAUUAAUAAAUGGUCCAAGUGGGCAAAAAAACAAUUGGUACAUGGUCAAAUUGGGCGAAGACCAACUGGACAAUGGGUGUCCAUAGGCUUCCUAAAACAUAAUUUCGUGAGUUUAAUAAAAGAAAACAUAGCAAUACAAUUUAAUGAUUUUGACAGAAAACAAUGGCCGAGCCAAGCAAGUUUAGGCCCUGCAAGACCGAUUGACACGUUAUAAGUGGAAAAAGAAAUACUUAAAGCAAAUCGCCAAAAUAUUCUUGAAAACUAAUUCCGUUGAUGAUGUGAGACCCUUCCGCGACGACUUUCGGCCUCCCCGAUUCGUUCGUAGGCGGAGGAGCAUUGAAGCCCGAGGGUAAACCAGCAAAGAAAUCUUCGAAGUCCGGAAUAGGAACCUCUCUCGUACCGCUUCCAUUGCCGUAAGCAAGGUCUGGAUCCCACCUUGGAAGCAUAGAGUCAUCCACCAAAAACUCUAUGUCACCAAGGUCAAUAUCUUUCCCCUUCGAAGAGUUCAACCCCGUCGCAACCGUUGGAGCUGCGUCGGGACCCUGGUCAUCGGGUUCGGAGUCGCUUCCUGUUUCUGUUGGGGUAAAAAUCGGUCACAACGGAAUCAAUGCCUGAAAGUCCGUAAAAAUCAGCAUGAACGUUUUUACGAAAAAGUAAUCUUCGUAAAGAUAUCUUUACAAAGAGUCUUGCGGUAAAAUCUUGUUCAAAUCUCAAUCGAACCAUUAAAUACCGAUUGUCCGAAGGAAACAGACAUGUAUCCAAUUCGGCCACGGAUAAGCUUGACUACGGCAAUCGGACCACGGACAAGCCAAGCUCGAUCGAUACGCGGCGACCAAGCAUGCACACAGCUCGGUCGCUACGUAGCGACCGAGCGUCCGUCCCGCUCGGUCGCUACGUAGCGACCGAGCGUGCGUUCUGUCCGGUCGUUACGUAGCGACCGAACUCUUCCGAAACGUCGAUACGACACCAGUUCAUGCAUUCUCGUCUAUCCUACGAUGCUAUCUCCCAAAGACCGUAGCGAACUCAGUUCAUGUCUUCCGACCAUUCUAAAGACAUCAAUCAAACUUUGCGGUAAAAACCGCAGAAAGUUCCUUCUUUAUCGAAAGAAGUCGUAAUAAAUGUUUCGAGUCGUAAGACGGCCCAAAGGGACCUAAGACACGACUUGAGGCCCAACUUAUGAUUUCUUAACCAAAAGCCCAUAAACCGUAUGACGGUUUAUGCUUGGCGCGCAAGGAAGGAUAAAUGUCAAGUUUCCGCGGAUGAAUACAAAAUUUUGAGGAUAAUUACGAAGAUCGGAAAAAAUGGAAAAUCUCCAUUUUAUGCUAUGACGGCUUAAGGGCAGAAGAGUAAAAGCGUAAACCGACCUUGGAGCUAGUAUAUAAGGAGUCCUAGGCGAGAGGCAUGAGGAGAACUUUUUAGAUUCGGAAUUCUCUGCACUUAGAAACUUUAGGAUUUAUUCUCGACAAGUUCGGUUUCUAUGACUGGCACACAAUUACUAGACGAACACGCCCAGGCAGUUCGAUCUCAUGUUCAGCUCUAUCAAUUGAACUACGUUCGGCUUGAUCCUCGAAAGGGGUAUGUAGGCAGCCUUUAACAAGGUUCAGUCCGAAAUCAAUCAAAAACCUUUUAUGUAUCUUUUUCGUCUUUUGUUAUCGAGCUGCGACUCAACUAGGUUUGAGCUUUUAGGCCGCUAGAACUAAGUAACUCGCUGACAGCCUUUGCGGCCAAAGCUCUUAUGAUCUCUUCUAAUGAUCGCAACGCUCUUAUGCGGACUCGAAAUAAGAUCUACUGUUUUCUCUAAACUCGUUUUUUAUCUUUUCAUGAUUUCCGCAUAUAUUCGGUAACUUGUCGUUGGCUCUCGCAGAGAUCCGGGACCUCUGGGAAAUUAGGGUUUUCCAAGUUUCCUUAUUUAAACGGAAAUCGACAGUGCGAAUUUUGAUUCCCACAGUUUGGCGCUAGAAGGAGGGGGGGGUUACGGAUUACUCUUACUCAUGGCCACAAAACGCUUGAUCGGAACAAUGUCUGGAUAUAUGAAAGACAAACUCGCAGCACUGACUGCUCCUAUGGUUAACGCUUACGCAAACGCCGCAUUGUUCAACAAAAUUGAAAACUUAGUGGCGACCUUCCGCCACAGGAAGAGCACUAAAACAUGCCCGCGAUUUCCCUUUCUAAACAUAAAGGGAAAUGAUAAAUCUUAUCAAACCCCGUAAGUUUGGCUCAUUACCGAACAAAAUAAAUCUCGAUGCGUAAGGGUACCAAAACACGUUUUCCGAAAACAUUUCGGAAGGAUAAAACUUGUUCUCCCAAAAACCGCUGAAAAACCCCUAGGAUAAUCGCGGAAAAAGGAAACACAACAAAACGAUUACACAGCUCGGUCGUUACGUAGCGACCGAGCACGCACAUGCUGCUCGGUCGCUACGUAGCGACCGAGCACACACACGGCUCAGUCGCUACGUAGCGACCGAGCACGCACGCUGCUCGGUCGCUACGUAGCGACCGAGCACGCACACGGCUCGGUCGCUACGUAGCGACCGAGCAUACACACUGCUCGGUCGCUACGUAGCGACCGAGCACACACACUGCUCGGUCGCUACGUAGCGACCGAGCACGCACACGCUGCUCGGUUGCUACGUAGCAACCGAGCACACACGCUCGGUCACUACAUAGCGACCGAGCACGCACACCUCUCGGUCGCUACGUAGUGACCGAGCUCAAGCCAACUCUCCACUCGCUACAUAGAGACCUGUAAGGCCUCAAAAAGUUCCUCCUUCGGGUUCUCUUUUGAAUCCUCAUCGAAACCCUUUUCGUUUCGUCUCAAUCGGAGUUUCCGUUGAGAUUUUAUGAUGAAAACAAGUAGGACUCUUCUUGGCUUGUUUCCGCUCGCUACGUAGCGACCUGUCAGACUGUCAGUCGCUAUGUAGCGACCUGUAAGGCCUCAGAAAGGUCCUCCUUUGGGUUCUCUUUUGAAUCCUCGUCAAAACGCUUUUCGUUUCGUCUCAAUCGGAGUUUCCGUUGAGAUUUUACGACAAAAACAAGUAGGACUCUUCUCGGCUUGCUUCCACUCGCUAAGUAGCGACCUGUCAGUCAGACUGUCAGUCGCUAUGUAGCGACCUGUAAGGCCUCAUAAAGGUCCUCCUUUGGGUUGUCUUUUGAAUCCUCGUCGAAACGCUUUUCGUUUCGUCUCAAUCGGAGUUUCCGUUGAGAUUUUACGACGAAAACAAGUAGGACUCUUCUUGGCUUGCUUCCACUCGCUACGUAGCGACUUGUCAGAUUGUCAGUCGCUACCUAGCGACCUGUAAGGCCUCAGAAAAGUCCUCCUUUGGGUUGUCUUUUGAAUCCUCAUCGAAACGCUUUUCGUUUCGUCUCAUUCGGAGUUUCCGUUGAGAUUUUACGACGAAAACAAGUAGGACUCUUCCUGGCUUGCUUCCACUCGCUACGUAGCGACCUGUCAGACCCCCAGCUCGCUACAUUGCGACCUUUCAGACCCCCAGCUCGCUACAUUGGCUCUCGCAGAGAUUCGGGAUCUCUGGGAAAUUAGGGUUUUCCUAGUUUCCUUAUUUAAACGGAAAUCGAUAGUGCAAAUUUCGGUUCCCACAGUUUCCGUGACCAAAGCAGGACAUGGAUGCACAAACCUCAACGCCUUUCGAACUCUCUUCGGCGUAAAGGAAGUCCAGAAAAACGGACCGUUCCUGAGAAGAUCCCUCACUGCGAUAAUAUCCUUAGGGAACGGAGCAACAGGAUUGAUGAAGGGACGAUCGUUCGGCAACCUCCGGAACAAUGGGAUACAACUCUCUUCGACAGAUGCAGCGUCUAUACGAACAAAGAAGAAAAACUUCUUCCACGAGUUGAAGUUGGAAUUAAACCUUUUAACCACCGACAUGAAGCUCCAAGGGACCAGCCUAUACUUGUCCGUAUCCUUGACGAUUUGUAACCUCAAAAGUGCUUCAAAGUGGUCGACGGUAAGGGAGAGACCAUGCUCGUAGCUCAGGAUCAGGACUCCAAUGAGGUGCUGAAUGGCAAGGGGAUUCAGUUGGCUUAUCGCCACCUCGAAACGAUUCCACACAUGGACGAUAAUUUUGGGAAUUGGGAACCACAAGCGACAGCACACUACGAACGCUUUGUAACAAGUAAAGUAACCCUCCGAGGGAUUACUAGCGCGCUCUCCUUGACGAGGAACCCGGAAUUCCACCGUAUCCGGAAUUUGGAAGAACGACCGCAUUGAUCCCGAGAAACUCGUUAGUAAUCCUGCUUGGAGCCCCUUCCUCGGCUAAACGAUGGGUCAUGACCGGGAAUGCCUUUUCAUUGGGAGGUGUGAUCGAACCAUAACACGCAACCCACCAUGCCUCAUUCUUGGCCGGGCUACCGAAUGAGGCACGAACUCUCUCUUCGGCACAAGGAGCUCUUCAGGAACGUUUCCGGACGAGGGCCCUUUCUUCGAACUCCUUUUCUUACUCGACAUUUCGUAUUUUCCUUUUGAGAAUCAAGAAGAAAAGGAUAGAGAGAAAAAAGAAAAUUUUCAAGUGAACUCUCUAUGAGAAUAAGUAAGUGAAAAGGUUAUGAAGAAGUUACCUCCCUUCUUAUCGGCAUGAGAAAUUUCUAUUUACUUGCGGAUUUUUGGACACGAACUUCGCCCAAAUACACCAAUCUCGUCCGAACUCGCCAUACGAUGCGUUAGAAUGUCACUAGAAAUCCAUGAAAUCAACGGGCUGGGGGGCUAACUGUUGGGGUCGAAAACGGUUACAACGAUGUUAACGUCCAAACCUCCACAAAAUACAAGUAUGUCUUUCCGCAACAAAUCGUGCUCGGUCAAGAAAACAUCACAACGUAUGUUCCCAAGAUAAAGCUUCAUUCAAAUUCUAUUUAGAUCAAACAUAGUCAUCGGAAACAUGCCCAAACCAGCUACGGAUAGGUUCGAGUAUGACGAUCGGAACACUAGUCAUCGGAAACAUGCCCAAACCAGCUACGGAUAGGUUCGAGUAUGACGAUCGGAACACGGACAAACCAAGCUCGGUCAUUAUGCAACUACCGCACAUGCACGCUGUCCGGUCCCUACGUAGCGAGCCAAGCUCGGUCGCUACGUAGCGACCGAGGUUCCGUCCCGCUCGGUCGCUAUCCGUCUCGGUCGGUCGCUACGUAGGGACCGAGCGUCCGUCCCGCUCGGUCGCUACGUAGCGAUCGAGCUCGAGCCAAGCUGGAUGACGGUUUACGCUUGGUUCGCAAGGAAAGAUAAAUGUCAAUUUUCCGCGGAUAAAUACGAAAUUUUGAAGAUAAUUACGAAGAUCGGAAAAAAUGGAAUAUCUCCAUUUUUAUGCUAUGACGGCUUAAGGGCAGAAGAGAAAAAGCGUAAACCGACCUAGGAGCGAGUAUAUAAGGAGUCCUAGGCGAGAGCCAUGGAGAGAGACUUUUUCAGAGCAAACUUAGCAAUUAGAGUGAUUUAGGCAUAUUUCCGUUUUUGUUAUUCGAGCUGCGACUCAAUUAGGUUAUUGUCGUCUUAGGGUUUAAGAACUAGGAAUCUCACCGACAGUUCUCGUAGCCCAGGCUCUUACCUUGUUGUAACGCUCAAACGCGAAUUCGGAAUAAGAUCUACUUUGCUCUCUUUUCGAUUUCUUACUUUUCUCGUCUUUUAUUUCGUGUUCUGAUUGCUUAGCGUGUGGUAUUAACAGAUCGCCGUGACCUCUGGGAAAUUAGGGUUUUCCUAAUUUCCUAAUUUAGACGGAAAUCAACAGUACGAAUUUUGGUUCCCACAGUCCUGUUCACUUCUUUUUGACAUAUAUCCAUAAUGGUCGUUAAUGGUCAUUAAUGGUCGUUCAUGCUUGUCUGAGAAAGUAUCGAUCGACGCUCAGGCCAUAGCAUCGAUCGACACUUGCUCCAAGUCAACAAGUGACAGCGGAGACUGGACUUAGACAUCUGAUUAGCAAUUACAUGCGAAAGCUGGAUUACUUACUUAUUAAAAUCGGGUUCUAGAAUUUAAUCUAUAAACCAUUAGAAUCCUUGAAUUGUAGUUUUGAAUUUCUUGAUUGAUAAAUCCCUAGGUCUGGCUAUUUCUCCUAACUGUUUACAACUUCAAUCAACCAAUCGAACAAAUACUUUGUUCACCUUGCUUUCAUUUAUUUACUGCAUUAUAAACUGUCUGCCUAGCUUAAUCAUGAUUUCUAGUCUAUUGUGUGCCCUAGCUCUCUGUUGAUUUGAUCCUUAAGUACUACAAUUGAACCUCUUAUUUGAGAGAGUAAAAUCACUCCUUAGGGUAAUUUGAGUGAUAUCAAAUUUGGCACCGUUGCCAGAGAACUUUGAUCGCCAUUAGACUUGAAUAAUAGGUUUAGUCUGGGUUUUAUUUACUGUCAUAGUUACUUACAUAAAAAAAUUUCUUGUCUUUCAGGUAAAUGCCUAUAAGUACCAGAAGCAGCAAGGAGGAAAUACUUUUCUUUUCAGACCCAUCACGUUUGGAACGCUCGAUCCGCAAAGAGAACCGCGCAUCAUUGAUCAAAAACACCUCUAAUACGUCCAUCGACACCACCGCAACUACGUCGAUCGACAGUUUAACUCGAACAUCGAUUGAUACCAAUCCGCGAGCAGACAUGGUUGCGACACUUGUGCUAUAGAGGGAUGAGAAUGGAGACCUGCAUGACCCUGGAGGUCAUCUGUGUAAUGCAGCAGGUCAGAGGAUAGAUGGACAAGGGACAGCAAUCCUUGAGCCAUCUGCUGCCACCGAGGAUGCUAAAGUUCUUCUUCAGAGAUCGUUAGCGGAUUUGACCAGGCCUAGUCAGUUCUACACCAACAGGUCUGCGAUUCGACCUCUAGAAAUCCAGGGAUUUCAGAUACACCACACACACUUCUCUCAUGUGGGUCAGCACCCUUAUUGUGGUCUUCUUGAUGAAAAUCCCUCGGAUCAUAUUGAGACACUCGAAGACUUUGUGUCUGGCAUCCAAAAAUAUGAAGCAACCAAAGAUUACAUCAUCUGUAAGCUGUUCAAAUAUUCUCUCUCUGGGAAUGCUAAAAAUUGGCUGAGAAGCCUACCACCAGGAUCUCUCACUACAUGGACUGAUGUCAGGACUGCGUUUAUGACUGAAUUCUUAGAUGAUGCAAGGGCUGAAGAGAUGAGAGAUAAAAUUUGGACAUUCUUUCAGGAACCUACAGGAGCUUUCAAAAGCUCUGGGGAAAGGUUUAGGAGAUACCAAAGGGACUGUCCACAUCAUGGUUUUACGGAGACUCAGUUUUUGAAAAGGUUCUGCAAGGGUAUUGAUGUGCGAUAUCAUGUGAUGCUGGAUACUGCAAGCGAAGGAAACUUCAAGACAAGGGUAUUGAUGUGCGAUAUCGACUCUUUCUAUUGAUCAAUAUAACGAGAGUUGAAAUCAUAGAUCUAGUUAAUUGACAAGUCAAUACAUGCGAAAGCUGAUUGACUAGUUGAUCAAAGUAGUUGAGUUUUACAUUAUCAUGCAUGCAACUAAUUAGGCAUCUGUAGGAUUAUAAUCCCAAUUUCCCUGAAUAAAAACCCUAAGUCUAACUAUUUUCUUUCUAAGCACCAAAACCCCAAACCUGCUAUUGAACAAACACUUGUUCAAUAUAAAACUGCAAUUUACAUUUAAAACUCUAAAAACAAUCUUACUUAACAAAUCAUAUUAGAAAUCCUUAGGUUCCUUAGCUCCCUGUGAAUUUGAUAUCUUGCAUAUUUUCAUUGCUUUAGCAUCCCAUUUUAUGCACUUUGAUCAUAUAAAUUAGGACUUAGACAUCUUUAGGAUCCAUUUUGCAUUCAUUUGUCCCUAUCAGGUGUUGGAGCAUCCUAUGGUGUGAUUUGAGGUGUUUGGGAGCUUUAAAACCCAAAAGAAGUGGAGAAUGAAGUGUGGCCAAGGAAAAACAAAGUAAAAGUGAAGCUGGCUGAGUCCCCACCCGGGUUGGCACACGCGGCCUGAAGCACCCGCAAGGGUUCUGAACAAGGGAGAAUCGAGAGACGUACCCAGCCUGGCACACGCGGCCUGAAGAACCCGCACGGGUUCUGAACAAGGGAGAGACGCUUGACGUACCCGGCAUGGCACACAGGGCCUGAGGCACCCGCACGGGUUCUGAACAAGGGAGAGACGAUUUAUGUACCCGGCCUGAAGCACGCGGCCUGAAGGACCCACACAAUUUACAUACCCGGCCUCGAUCACCCGGCCUGACGCACCCGCACGAUCUACAUACCCGGCCUAGCCACCCGGGUUGGUCGAGCCUCUCUCUUCCCGGGUAUCAGCUUGUCCUGGUCGAGUUCCAUCAUAUUUUAAGGGUUUUUUGGUCAUUUUCCUUGUUAUUUUAAGGGCUUCCAUGCCUAGUACUUUUUGUAACUUAAAAGCAGUCUUUGUGGUGAAAGUUCUCAUCUUAAAUCAAAUCAUCAUCUUGUUCUUGUGUUUUCAUCUGAUUUUAAGUUCUUAUUUUGCUUUCUUCACAUGAUUAAGCUAAAAUCCUUCAUGGGUUUAAUAGUAAUCAUGGUAAUUAGUGAGUAAUUCACUUUUGGAUUCAUGGGUUAGGCAGACUAAGGGUGAUUAAGCUAGAUCUAAGGUUUUCUUAAUAUAGAUCUAUCUUGUUCCUUGCUAGUAGAGUGCUUUUAAUGCUAUUUUAGAGUUGGUCUCUCUAAAGUUGAGCUCUAGGCAUUUUAUACCGAAAGGUAUUUGAUGACAUGCCUGUAUGAUUUUAGAGAAUAUAGUAGGUAUUGAGAGAUUAAAGGUAGAUUAGAGAAGGUUAAUGGGAGAUUUGUAGAGAGAUUAGAUAGUAAUCAUGUUUAAGAGUAUUUAAGAAUCAUCAUGAACAAGGGAGAGAGUCUAGAGAGAUAAUCCCAUACUUCUUAUUAUUAAUCUGAUCAGAGAUUACAAUAUAUAUGAGGCAACACUAGGAUGAGGAUUUCAUAAAAGUGCACUAUUACAAGAGAUAAGGUUUGCUUUAAUUCAAACCAUCCAAUGAGCUUCUUCCUUGUGCAUAAAGCUCCUUUUGCUUUAUCCAGCUCUUCUCAAGCCUGUCACACGCGCCUCCUCUUCCCUUACAACGGACUGAUACCUUAGCUAAGGGAAUAGGGCUUCUCUUCUUCUUCCAAAGUUACCCGGGUAACUAGUAUAACUAGUAUACUAGUAUUACUAGGGUAACUUUGGUUUACCCUUUGUAAGCUACUCGAGUAACUAGUAUUACUACGACCUCUUCAUCGUACUCAACUCCUCAUGUCUUUCUCUUCCUAUAUAUUGAUCUCAUCUCAACACUCCCCCUCAAGCUUAGCUUUGUGAAAGUCUAAGCUUGGAUAGCCAUGAGAUCUUCCUCAUUAAAAACCUCACCAAGGAAAACCCAUUGGGACAAAACCUUGAUGAGGGAAAAAGAGUAAAGACCUCAUGACUUAGGGGAUCAGUUCCUUCUCUUCCCAAGAUCUAUGAGUCCUAAUCUAAUGUGAAUGGACUUCAUAGUCUUUUGUCUUGCUGCCUUGGUGAACACAUCUGCCAACUGAUCUUCACUUCUUGUAUAACAUGGCAAGAUCACUCCCAAGACUAUCGUCUGACUCACCUUGUGGCAAUUUACUUCAAUGUGCUUUGUCCUCUCAUGAAACACUGAGUUUGUAGGAAUGUGAAUAGCCGCCUGAUUGUCACAAUGCAUAAUCAUUGGUGUUGCUUGCUCAAUCUCCAAGUGCCUAAGAAUCCAUUUGAUCCAUACCAACUCGUUGGUAAGCUUUAGCAUAGCUCUAUAUUCAGCUUCAGCACUAGAGCAUGAUACAACUUUCUGCUUCUUACUCUUCCAAGUAACCAUGUUUCCUCCAAUGAAAGUGCAGUAGCCUGUUGUAGACCUUCUGUCUGCUUUAUCACCAGCCCAAUCAGCAUCACAAUAACCCACAACUUCCGUGCUUUUAUUGCAGCCCAUCCAUAUUCCAAGCCCUUGAGUUCCAUUCAGGUACAUGAGAACCCUCUCCACCAUGCGCCAAUGAUGCUCUUUUGGAGCUUGCAUAUGUUGGCUCACGUGAUUCACAGCAAAACAAAUGUCUGGCCUAGUGAUGGUCAAGUAUAUCAGCAUCCCCACAAGCUUUCUAUAAAGCUUUGGAUCAUGGAACAACUUGUUGUCUUCAAUCUCCCCCUCACGUGAAACCUUGUACCCAUCCUCCAUGGGAUCUUGGCUGUUCUUCCUCCAUACGCACCAGCAUCCUUCAAGAGAUCCAAUGCAUACUUCCUUUGAGAGAUAAACAUCCCUUCCUUGGAUUUGCACAGCUCAAUCCCAAGAAAGUACUUCAUCUCUCCCAAAUCCUUUAUAUCAAAUACUGAUUUCAGAAACUCUUUGGUGGCUCGGAUUCCUUCCUUAUCACUGCAUGUUAUGAUGAUGCCAUCCACAUACACAAGCAAAACAAUGAUACCUGAUGGAGUAUUGAGAGUAAAGAGAGUGUGAUCAAGCUCGGACUUCCUGAAGCCUCUACCAUUCAGUGUUGUGCUUAGCUUAUUGUACCAUGCUCUAGGUGAUUGUUUCAAUCCAUAGAUGGCUUUCUGCGGUCUAAGAACGUUAACUGGCUUCACCAUUCCUUCAAGACCCGGAGGUGGUAGCAUAUGGACUUCAUCUUCUAGCUCUCCUUAGAGGAAAGCAUUCUUCACAUCCAUUUGCCAAAGAUCCCACUCAAGGUUGGUUGCAACUGAUAGUACAAUCCUAAUGCUAUGAAGCUUUGCAACAGGUGCAAAAGUAUCAAUGUAAUCCUCUCCAUAGGUUUGUGUGAAACCUCUUGGUACCAGCCUUGUCUUAUGCCUAUCGAUCUUCCCAUUAGGUAAAUACUUGAUGGUGAAGAUCCACUUGCAUGACACAGCUCUCUUCCCCUUAGGCAACUCACUCUCAUACCAUGUAUCAUUUCUAAUCAUGGCAUCAGCCUCAUCAUUGACUGAAUCCCUCCACUCUUGAAUCAGCAUUGCUUCUUCAUAAGUUCUUGGCACAUAGCUUUCAUCUAAGCUUACUAUGAAGGAGUAGUGCUCUUCUGGAAACUCAGCAAAGGAGCACACCGCUUGGGAAGGAUGUUCCACAGCCUGGGCAUUGUAUAACACUCUCGUGUUUACCAAAUUUCUUGUGUUUGCCCACUCAGAAGCAUCCCUCCUUACCCAUGUGCUUCUUCUCAAAGGAACUUCUACUUGUUCCUCAACAACUUCCUUUUGUAUCUGGAUUUCUUCUCCAGCUUCCUGACCUUCAUUCUGAACUUCUCUUCCUGAUUCAUCUCCACUUUGGACUGGAGAAUCUGAGCCUUGAUCUUCUAGACCUCCAGCUUCUUCUGAGCAUUGAUCUUUUAACCCUUCAGCUUCAGAUUCACUUCCCCCCUCAUGUUCAAAGUGGGUUGUUUCUUCAGCGGCCACUUGAGUAGGCUCUUCACGCCUGCUCUGAUCCUGGGACACGCCAAUACCGAGUUCUUCUAGUAUGUUUCUCAAACUAGCAGCUCUAUCUGAUGGUUGAGAAAGCCCUUCAAUCUCCUCCCAAUUCUUCUCUUCAUAAUACCCUUUAUCUUCCAUGAACUUCACAUCCCUAGACACCAAGACUCUUCUAGCAGUGGGAUCAAAGCACUUGUAUCCACUUUGAGAUGUGGAAUAGCCAAUAAGCAUAGCCUUGGUGCUCUUUGCUUCAAGUUUGUUUCUCAUCUCUCCUGGCACCAGUACAUAGCACACACACCCAAAUGUCCUCAAGUGAACUAGAACUGGUCGACUCUUGUUGAGUACCUCAAAUGGAGACUGAUCCUCUAGGAUUCUGGUUGGUAUCCUGUUGAUUAGAUACCAAGCAGUCAUCACAGCAUCACUCCAAAAUCUCUUAGGGACACUCUUGUGGAACAUCAUUGAACGAGCCACUUCCAUGAGGUGUAUGUUCUUCCUUUCAGCAACUCCAUUCUGUUGUGGAGUGUAAGGACAGCUAGUCUGAUGUAGAAUCCCAUGUUGAGCUAGGUGAUCUUUGAAUGUGUGGCCUAUGUAUUCCCCACCAUUAUCUGACCUGAAAAUCUUAAUCUUGGCAUGAUAAUGGUUAGUAACAUAGCUUUGAAAAUUUUUAAAUGCAUCAAGAACCCUAUCUUUUGUUUUGAUGAGUGUUAACCAGGUGUAUUUGGAUUUUUCAUCAAUGAAUGUGGCAUAAUACUUAUAAUCAUCCCUAGAUAAAUAAGGCGCAGUCCAAACAUCAGAGGGAAUCAAAUCAAAGCAAUUCUCAUAAAUAGUGGAUGAUCUUUGAAACACUGUCCUACAAUGUUUGCCUAAAUCUAUGCCUCACAAUCAUUAUUUUUAAACAUGACACCUGGUAACAUAAUGCUUAAAGCCCUAACAGGUGGAUGUCCAAGUCUAGCAUGCCACAAUGCAUCUUUAAUUAAGGAAGAAACAUAACUAAAAGAGAAACAAGAACUUGAGAUGGGACUAAGAUCUUCAAGCAUAUAAAGGUCUCCUUUGGUUGCUCCUUGCCCAAUCAACUUACUGCUAUUAAUAUCCUGAAACUUAACAUCAUCAGGACUAAAGAUAACCUUGCAUUGAAAAUCAGUGGUGCAUUUUUUGACAGAUAAAAGAUUAGAAGUAAACUCAGGCAUAAAAAAAUGCUUUUGAAUCCUUAUCAAACAGUUUUAGUUUCCCAAUUCCUCUAAUAGGAAUUCUAUCACCAUUAGCAAUCAUAACAUGUCAAUGAGCCGGUUCUAUGUCUCUAAUCAGGUUAUUAUCACUAAUCAUAUGAUGAGAUGCACCAGAAUCAAUAAUCAAAGGUUUAUGCAUGUUUCUAGUAAUCUCAGUCCUUGAUGGUUCAUUUUGUUUUAUCAGGUUUCCUAGUAAUCCUAACAGUUUACUAGUUAUACUAGGCUCACUAGCAGUAGUGUAGGCGCUUUUAAAAAUGUCUAGUAACUUAUCAGUAUUACUAGGAUUACUAGCAGUAGUGUAAGAGCUUUUAAAAAUAUCUAGUAAUUUAUCAGUAUUACUAGGCAAUGUAUGAGCAGCAUAUGAGUAUCCAAGGGUGUUUCCGAGGGUGUUACCAGACUCCUUAAGAGCUUUGAAGAAGGCUUCAAGGUCAGCUCUCUUGAACACCUCCUGAUCCAUACCCUUUCCAAUCAGUUGAUGAGACGUCAAGGCUCUACUUUCACUUUCACCCACCUUAGCGCUUCAGCAAAAAGAUGAGCCUUUGCUUCCCUAUCCCUGUUGACCCCGCGUGGCCUGAGGUGGGGAUGUAGGAUCCAACACUCACUCUUCUUGUGACCGGUCCUCUUGCAAUACUCACAGCUUCCCUCAUACUUUUUAUACUUCCUUCAUGAGCCUCUGUAUGCAGCCUUGUUUGCUUGCAUUCCUUCAGCUUGAUGAGCCAUAGUAAGCUCACCCUUGCCUCCAAACAGGCCAAGAGAUCCCCCCUCCUUCUGAAGUUGCGCGCAUACUUCCUCCAUGGAUGGUAGGUUAGGCGAUCUCAAGAUGUGUUUGAUGACAUCCUUGUAGCAAGGAUCCAAUGUCAUCAACAACCCAAACACGAGACCUUGUGCAUGUACAAGGCUUCUCCUUUAUAUUGUGGUCGUGGCCCCCUUGUAUCAGUAUCCAUCUUUUUAUCAAAAACCUUUGUUUUCUCUUUUCUUCUUGUUUGUCCAGUUGAUUGAGUGUUGGUGUGUAAUAUCCAACUUCUGGUGUGUAAUAUCCACAGACUAAGCGCUCUAGUUCGGUGUGUCACCAUUCGAGCCACAUACCUUGAGAAACUUGAGUCUUUUGAUUCGUUUCAGCAAGGAUUAUCCCAUCUGUUCCAGAGCAUCAUCCUAGGAUCUCAUUACCCUUGUUGGCGACUUGGCUAAGAGUUCAUAGAAGCAAACUGGUUCUCCAAAUCUCUGAUCUUGUUGUUGAGCUCAUUGUAGCUUCCAUCAAUCUUGGAGUGAAUGUUCUUGAACUCAUAGCCCAUUGUUUUCUCAUUCCUUGCCUGAAAAUCCAAGAGUUUCUUGAACAUUACAUCCACACUUGUAUGUGAAGCUGGAGCUUGUGAAGAACUGCCUUGAGCUUGAGUAGACUGAUUGCCGUGAUUGCUGAAACCAGGAGGGAUGUUUUGCCUAGGAUGAUAGCUCCUUUGCUGAGUGUUUUGCUUGGGCUGGUAUCCUCCUUGCUGGUUGUUAGAGUAAGACAUUUGCUGGUAGCUGUUAUACUGAAACUUAGGUUCCUUCCUGUACCGUGUACCAUUGUUGUUGAUGAAGCAUAGCUCUUCUUGGCCUUCCAAACCAUCAACCUCAUUGAAUUUAAGAGGAACCUCUUGACUAGGACCACCCACAAAGUUCACCUGCUCCUGUUUAGCUUGGUUGGAAAGAAGCAAAUCCAUCUUCUCUUGCAAGGACUUGAUCUCUUUAUUUGUCUAUUGAUCAUCACUUAUGUUGACCCUAUCAUGCUCCUCACUGUAGACUCAGUCACUCUUGGCCAUGUUCUCUACCAGUUCCUCUGCCUCUUCCUCAGUUAUUCCCAAGAAAAAACCAUUGCUGGCAGUAUCAAGCCUGUUUCUGCACUGUGGUAGACCUCCUCUAUAGAAUGUGCUAAGCAAACUCUCCUUGUUGAAAGCAUGAUGAGGGCAUUGAGACCAAUAGCCCUUGAAUUUCUCUCAUGCUUCACUUAAGCUCUCAAGAUUCUUCUGUUGAAACCCAGAGAUUUCAUUCCUGAUAUUAGUUGUCCUUGAUGUAGAGAAGAACUUGUGUAGGAAAGCUCUCUUACACUCUUCCCAUGUCACUCACUUGGGAGAGUCUUCUCCCAAUAGUGUGCUUUGUCUCCCAAAGAGAAAGGGAACAACUUUAACUUGAAAACAUCUUCAGAACCACCAUUUGUCUUGGACAAGCCACAAUAUUUAUAAAACUUGUACAAGUUAUCAAAAGGGUCUUCAGCAGCAAGGCCAUGAUACUUGUUUUCUCUAUGGUGUUGAGCCGCCCUGACUUGAUCUCGAAGUUGUUGUUCUCCACUGCUGGUGCUCUGAUUCCCAACCUAUGACCAUUAAUGUGAGGUUGAUCAUAGGCUCCAAUGGCACGAGCUUGGCGCGGUUGAUGUUGUGGCUGGAGAUGUGGUCUAAGAUGAUCAGCUCUUGGACCAUUGCCCCCUAGGGCAUCACCAUCUUGAGGCAGAUUCUCCAUAUCAAAAUCCAACCUUUGCAAGUGAGCCUGGUGCUCUACUGCUCUUCUAUGUCUUCCUAUCUCCCGCUCAAGUGUAGCAAUCUCUUCAACAGUGGGAACCAAGUUGGAUGCACCUCUGCAUCUUGUGAUCAUACACCUGAAAAGCAAAGGGAGAAGAAGGAGAAUCAAUAACACAAUAAAAGAAAAAUGACUUAGUCUCAAGAAAGUGACUAAAUCCCAAUGUCACAAUCAACUUAGAAUUUGGCAACGGCGCCAAUUUGAUGUUAAGAGUUUUCAAGGCUCUUAAUCAAAUGUUAUAGUAUAAAGGAUAUUAAACCAGUUCUAAGUGAUUCUAAAGCAAAGGAAAUGUAAGACCAUGCUUAAUCUAAAUGCUAUCAAUUGGUGAGAUGAUUUUGAGCUAGAAUACUACUAAAAUACAAUAAAGAACAAAGCUUUCUCUUUUAAUGAGAUGGAAGAACUCAUGGGCUAAGAGAAUUGACCUUGGGCGAUCAAGUUUCAAUCUAAAGGUGGCAGCUUUCAAUUGAUCUAUCAACCUUAGGCCUAGUCACUUUGGUUGAAUAUUAUCUAAGCAAUCAUUAAUAUCAAGUCCAAUAGCCAUCUUAACACCUUUAACAACAAAUCUCUUUGGUAAGAAUGAUAAAGCUUAGGAGAGUUGGUUCUGGCUGUUGAGAUGAGAUCAAUAUAUAGGAAGAGAAAUACAUGAGGAGUUGAGUAUGAUGAAGAAGCCGUAGUAAUACUAGUUACCCGAGUAGUUUACAAAGGGUAAACCAAAGUUACCCUAGUAAUACUUGUAUACUAGUUAUACUAGUUACCUGGGUAACUUUGGAAGAAGAAGAGAAGCCAUAUUCCCUUAGCUAAGGCAUCAGUCCGUUGUAAGGGAAGAGGAGGCGUGUGUGACAGGCUGGAGAGGAGCUGGAUAAAGCAAAAGGAGCUUUAUGCACAAGGAAGAAGCUCAUUGGAUAGUUUGAAUUAAAGCAAACCUUAUUUCUUGUAAUAGCAUCACUUUAUGAAACCCUCAUCCUAGUGUUGCCUCCUCAUAUAUAUUGUAAACUCUGAUCAGUUUAAUAAUAAGAAGUAUGAGAUUAUCUCUCUAGUCUCUCUUUCUUGUUCAUGAUUCUUCUUAAAUACUCUUAAACAUAAUUACUACCUAAUCUCUCUACAAAUCUCCCAUUAACCUUCUCUAAUCUACCUUUAAUCUCUCAAUACCUACUCUAUUCUCUAAAAUCAUAUGGUAUCAGAGCCAGGUUGGCUUUGGUAUUGAGAAACCUCGUUCCAUUUCUUUCUUUCUCUAGCUCUUGUGUCCUUGUGUUCUUGCUCUUGUGUUCUUGAGGGUUCCGUGAAGCUGUGUGAUAAAGUUGAGUCCUGUGGUGCUGUGCUUUGAGUUUGUAUGUUCUUGAAGUCUAGUACUGUGUGUUCUUCAGCUGAGUUGCAAGUUUGAAGAUUUCUGGUCAUUUCUGGUUCAAGCAAGAGAAGAUGGAAGGAAACAACUUCAGCAAGCUAGUUAUUGUCCCGGUUGCGUUGAAGGGUGGUUCAAACUACCUCUUGUGGUCUAGAUUGGUGAAGACUGCCAUUUGAAGGCUAGGGCUGUGGAGCCACAUCACUGAUGAUGGACCGAAGCCAGUGGCCAAAGAAACUGAAGAAGGUGAAGAGGAAUAGACUCUCACCAAAGCUGAAUCCAAGAAGUGGGUACAAGAAGACUUGAUGGUGCUCUCUGGGCUGCAAGGAUCUCUUGAUGUUCCUCUUCUUGAAGCUUACAGCUACUGUGAGACUCUCAAACACUUGUGGGAGACCCUCUCAAAGACGUUUGGAAACGUCUCCAUCAUCAGCCGUGUGUUUGAGCUGAAGAGAGUCAUUAACUCCAUGAAGCAAGAUGGAGGAGAGCUCACCAAACACAUGGGAAAGUUUGGAUCAUUAUGGUCUGAACUUGAAAGUCUAAGACCUAACACCACUGAUCAAGCAACUCUUAUGGAAAGAAGAGAACAAGAUCAAGAGUUUUCGAAAACUAAAUAAUAUAAAAGCAUAGCAUAAAAUAUAACAUAAGGUCUUCAUGUGGACAGACCAAGAUCAAUCAUCUAGGAGAUAAGAGAAGUAGACUUGUGGCCUCGUUAAAAACCUUCCUUUGGAAAACUAAGUGGGACAAAACGAAAGGUUAGGAAAAGAACACACACAAGCUACUUGCCUAGAUGAUGAUCAGCUUGAAGGUGGAGUAGUUUGAAUGAUGGUUAAGGUGUCUUGGAUGAUCAAGCUUUGAGCAAGACUAAUGUAUUCUUCUUGCUUCCAAGCAUUCUUCAAUGUUGCAUACUCAGCUACAAUCUCUUCAGGUUCAGGUUUAUACUUCCAUUCCUUGGUGCUUUCCAUGAUCACAUCAAAGGGUCAUUACCUGGAAAGCCAGAGCAAAACCCCAAGGAAACAAUGAAGGCAAUCACCCUAAGGAGUGGUAAAGAGUUUCCUCCAAGAGUUCUCACCAAGGAUGGUGAGAAACAAGGUGGGUAGGUGACCAUCAACAUUGAUGAUGAAGUGGUGAUUGUAGAUGAGAAGGUUGAUGAAGAUAUUCAGGAAAAGAUUGUUGAAGCUAAGGGUAAAGGAAAGGUUGGAGAAGAGAAGAGGACAGUGAAACAUGGUGAAAUUGCUACUCCAACAAAGGAAUCCUCUUUUGUUCCUCCUCCCUAGGAGCCAAGGCUACCAUUCCCUGGAAGAUUCAAGAGACAGCUAUUGGAGAAGUACAAGGCACUCUUUGAGAAAUAAAUGAGUGAAGUUCAGUUCACAAUGCCCAUAAUUGAUGCUUUUAUGUUGGUCCCUCAGUACAGAAAGUUCUUAAAAGAUGUUGUGGCUGCAAAGAAGAAAGAGAUGGAAAGCUUGAUGAUUCUUGCUCAUGAGUGCAGCGCCAUUAUCCAGAGGUUAGAUGUUCCAAGGAAGCUAGAGGAUCCAGGAUGUUUCACCUUACCUUGUGCUCUUGGACCCAUGGUGUUUGAGAGGUGUCUAUGCGAUCUUGGAGCUAGUGUCAGCUUGAUACAUUUGUCUAUUGCAAAGAAGCUUGGAUUUGACCCGUUUUUAUCCAUGGUAUUUAGGUGUUUUAUUAUAUAUAUAUCUAUGUUUUCUACUCUUCUAGGUAUGUUUUCAGGUUAAGGUGCAUUUCAGAGUAAAGCUAUGACUUUGGAGCAUUUUGGAGCUUAAAGGACAUUUCAUCCGAGCUGACCAUGUAGUGGUCGACGAGAGGAAGACCAAUAGAUCGAUGCACAUCCAGUGCUGUCGGUCGACACCAUGAGAUGCCUCGACAAAUGAAAAUUAAUAUCGAUCGGUGUACACAAGUACCAUCGAUCGAUGUCGAGACAUUGGACAUUUUGGAUCCAGCGGACUUGAAGCCCAAGUCCAAGCUAAAUUACGAAAAUGCCCUGACGAUUUUUUUAACCUUGUAGAUUAUAUACUGCCUAAGUGUUUUUGUUACAGUUUUACUUUGAGAGAAAGAGAGAGUUUUGGAGAAAAGAUCACUUGUGAUUGGAACUCCUUGUUUUCAUUUAUUUUCAUCUAUAAUAUGAAUUUCCAUUUCUUCAUUGUCAUGAAUUGCUUUGCUAUGUCUGAGUAGUUCAAUUAUUAGAUCCACGGUUCAGAUAGAUUUGUGGGAUAAGCCCCAAACUAUAGAUCUGCCUUGUUGUGAUAUUCAUGAUAGAUUUAUAUUCAUUGCUUGUUUUAGCCUUGCUAACUAGAACAUGAUCAUAGGAUUGCAUACUCAAGCACCCUUGUUAUCCCAUCCUGACAUCUAUCUAUCAUAUUAGGACUGCUAGAGAGGGCUAACCACCAAUUUAAUAUCUUAAUAGGGCAUGUCAUACUCGCGCAUAGGCCUGGCUAGAACCCGUCGAUCGAUGUCCUCAACUGACUAUCGGUCGACGUAGGUAAAGGUGUAUCGGUCGAUGUUCCUAUAGGACCAUCGAUCGAAACUAUUUCGUUGUCAACAUACUAACCGUUGAGACACGAGAUCUAGUUUGUUAACCAGUGAAACAUGCGAGAGCUGAUCACUGAGUUAAGCGGUUGAGCUCUAACAUAUCAUGCAUGCAACAAAUAUGCAUCUAUAGAUAUUAUAAUCUCCAACACCUGAAUAGUGGCCCUGCGUCUAAUAUCAUUUCCAACCAAGUUACAUUUACUAUUUACUUCGCUUUUUACUAUUGCUAUUUUAUUUAAACAUUUACAACUCUUAGAAUUAAUAAAUACUAGAAUUAAUUCUUCCCUAGCUCCUUUUGGAUUCGAUCCCUAAGUACUACAUCUGAACCUCUUUUGAUGAGAGUAACACUCCUUAGGGUAAUUUGAGUGGUAUCAAAUUUGGCGCCGUUGCCGGGGAGCUUUGAUCGCCAUUAGAUUUAGUUUUAUUAGAACUUUUUAGAUGUGGUUGCAAAUUUUUUGAGGAAAUGAUUUCUGUGCUUUAAAAUCUGUGAGUCCCUAAUAUUUUCAAACCUCUUUCAGAGAGACUGCAUGUAUGUUUUGUUUGAGGACAAGCAAAAGGGUAAGUCUGGGGGAGUUGAUAUACCUUGGAUUUGACCCGUUUUCAUCCAUGGUAUAUAGGUGUUUUACUAUAUAUAUAUAUAUGUGUGUUUUCUACUCUUCUAGGUAUGUUUUCAGGUUAAGGUGCAUUUCAGAGUAAAGCUAUGACUUUGGAGCAUUUUGGAGCUUAAAGGACAUUUCAUCCGAGCUGACCAUGUAGAGGUCGACGAGAGGAAGAACAAUCGAUCGAUGCACAUCCAGUGCUGUCGGUCGACACCAUGAGAUGCCUCGACAAAUGAAAAUUAAUAUCGAUCGGUGUACACAAGUACCAUCGAUCGAUGUCGAGACAUUGGACAUUUUGGAUCCAGCGGACUUGAAGCCCAAGUCCAAACUAAAUUACGAAAAUGCCCUGACGAUUUUUUUAACCUUGUAGAUUAUAUACUGCCUAAGUGUUUUUGUUACAGUUUUACUUUGAGAGAGAGAGAGAGUUUUAGAGAAAAGAUCACUUGUGAUUGGAACUCCUUGUUUUCAUUUCUUUUCAUCUAUAAUAUGAAUUUCCAUUUCUUCAUUGUCAUGAAUUGCUUUGCUAUGUCUGAGUAGUUCAAUUAUUAGAUCCACGGUUCAGAUAGGUUUGUGGGAUUAGCCCCAAACUAUAGAUCUGCCUUGUUGUGAUAUUCAUGAUAGAUUUGUAUUCAUUGCUUGUUUUAGCCUUGCUAACUAGAACAUGAUCAUAGGAUUGCAUACUCAAGCACCCUUGUUAUCCCAUCCUGACAUCUAUCUAUCAUAUUAGGACUGCUAGAGAGGGCUAACCACCAAUUUAAUAUCUUAAUAGGGCAUGUCAUACUCGCCCAUAGGCCUGGCUAGAACCCGUCGAUCGAUGUCCUCAACUGACUAUCGGUCGACGUAGUUAAAGGUGUAUCGGUCGACGUCCCUAUAGGACCAUCGAUCAAAACUCUUUCGUUGUCAACAUACUAACCGUUGAGACACGAGAUCUAGUUUGUUAACCAGUGAAACAUGCGAGAGCUGAUCACUGAGUUAAGCGGUUGAGCUCUAACAUAUCAUGCAUGCAACAAAUAUGCAUCUAUAGAUAUUAUAAUCUCCAACACCUGAAUAGUGGCCCUGCGUCUAAUAUCAUUUCCAAACAAGUUACAUUUACUAUUUACUUCGCUUUUUACUAUUGCUAUUUUAUUUAAACAUUUACAACUCUUAGAAUUAAUAAACACUAGAUUUAAUUCUUCCCUAGCUCCUUCUGGAUUCGAUCCCUAAGUACUACAUCUGAACCUCUUUUGAUGAGAGUAACACUCCUUAGGGUAAUUUGAGUGGUAUCAAAUUUGGCGCCGUUGCCGGGGAGCUUUGAUCGCCAUUAGAUUUAGUUUUAUUAGAACUUUUUAGAUGUGGUUGCAAAAUUUUUGAGGAAAUGAUUUCUGUGCUUUAAAAUCUGUGAGUCCCUAUUAUUUUCAAACCUCUUUCAGAGAGACUGCCUGUAUGUUUUGUUUGAGGACAAGCAAAAGGGUAAGUCUGGGGGAGUUGAUAUACCUUGGAUUUGACCCGUUUUCAUCCAUGGUAUAUAGGUGUUUUACUCUAUAUAUAUCUCUGUUUUCUACUCUUCUAGGUAUGUUUUCAGGUUAAGUUGCAUUUCAGAGUAAAGCUAUGACUUUGGAGCAUUUUGGAGCUUAAAGGACAUUUCAUCUGAGCUGACCAUGUAGAGGUCGACGAGAGGAAGAACAAUCGAUCGAUGCACAUCCAUUGCUUUCGGUCGACACCAUGAGAUGCCUCGACAAAUGAAAAUUAAUAUCGAUCGGUGUACACAAGUACCAUCGAUCGAUGUCGAGACAUUGGACAUUUUGGAUCCAGCGGACUUGAAGCCCAAGUCCAAGCUAAAUUACGAAAAUGCCCUGACGAUUUUUUUAACCUUGUAGAUUAUAUACUGCCUAAGUGUUUUUGUUACAGUUUUACUUUGAGAGAGAGAGAGAGUUUUGGAGAAAAGAUCACUUGUGAUUGGAACUCCUUGUUUUCAUUUCUUUUCAUCUAUAAUAUGAAUUUCCAUUUCUUCAUUGUCAUGAAUUGCUUUGCUAUGUCUGAGUAGUUCAAUUAUUAGAUCCACGGUUCAGAUAGGUUUGUGGGAUUAGCCCCAAACUAUAGAUCUGCCUUGUUGUGAUAUUCAUGAUAGAUUUGUAUUCAUUGCUUGUUUUAGCCUUGCUAACUAGAACAUGAUCAUAGGAUUGCAUACUCAAGCACCCUUGUUAUCCCAUCCUGACAUCUAUCUAUCAUAUUAGGACUGCUAGAGAGGGCUAACCACCAAUUUAAUAUCUUAAUAGGGCAUGUCAUACUCGCGCAUAGGCCUGGCUAGAACCCGUCGAUCGAUGUCCUCAACUGACUAUCGGUCGACGUAGGUAAAGGUGUAUCGGUCGACGUCCCUAUAGGACCAUCGAUUGAAACUCUUUCGUUGUCAACAUACUAACCGUUGAGACACGAGAUCUAGUUUGUUAACCAGUGAAACAUGCGAGAGCUGAUCACUGAGUUAAGCGGUUGAGCUCUAACAUAUCAUGCAUGCAACAAAUAUGCAUCUAUAGAUAUUAUAAUCUCCAACACCUGAAUAGUGGCCCUGCGUCUAAUAUCAUUUCCAACCAAGUUACAUUUACUAUUUACUUCGCUUUUUACUAUUGCUAUUUCAUUUAAACAUUUACAACUCUUAGAAUUAAUAAACACUAGAGUUAAUUCUUCCGUAGCUCCUUCUGGAUUCGAUCCCUAAGUACUACAUCUGAACCUCUUUUGAUGAGAGUAACACUCCUUAGGGUAAUUUGAGUGGUAUCAAAUUUGGCGCCGUUGCCGGGGAGCUUUGAUCGCCAUUAGAUUUAGUUUUAUUAGAACUUUUAAGAUGUGGUUGCAAAAUUUUUGAGGAAAUGAUUUCUGUGCUUUAAAAUCUGUGAGUCCCUAAUAUUUUCAAACCUCUUUCAGAGAGACUGCCUAUAUGUUUUGUUUGAGGACAAGCAAAAGGGUAAGUCUGGGAGAGUUGAUAUACCUUGGAUUUGACCCAUUUUCAUCCAUGGUAUAUAGGUGUUUUACUAUAUAUAUAUCUCUGUUUUCUACUCUUCUAGGUAUGUUUUCAGGUUCAGGUGCAUUUCAAAGUAAAGCUAUGACUUUGGAGCAUUUUGGAGCUUAAAGGACAUUUCAUCCGAGCUGACCAUGUAGAGGUCGACGAGAGGAAGAAUAAUCGAUCGAUGCACAUCCACUGCUGUCGAUCGAAACCAUGAGAUGCCUCGACAAAUGAAGAUUAAUAUCGAUCGAUGUACACAAGUACCAUCAAUCGAUGUCGAGACAUUGGACAUGCGACAUUUUGGAUCCAGCGGACUUGAAGCCCAAUGUUGGGGUCAAAAUCGGUCACGACGAAAUCAAUGUCUGAAAGUCCAUAAAAAUCAGCAUGAACAUUUUUACAAAAAAGUAAUCCUCGUAAAGAUAUCUUUACGAAGAGCCUUGUGGUAAAAUCUUGUUCAAAUCUCAAUCGAACCACUAAAUACGAUUGUCCGAAGGCAACAGACAUGUAUCCAAAUCGGCCGCGGAAAAGCUCGAGUAUGGCGAUCGGACCGCAGACAAGCCAAGCAGGAUCGAUACGCGGCGACCAAGCAUGCACACAGCUACGUAGCGACCGAGCCCGAGCCUAGCUCGGUCGCUACGUAGCGACCGAGCUCGAGCCAAGCUCGUUCGCUACAUAGCGACCGAGCGUCCGUCCCGCUCAGUCGCUACGUAGCGACCGAGCUCUUCUGAAACGUCGAUACGACACCAGUCCAUGCAUUCUCGUCUAUCCUUCGAUGCUAUCUCCCGAAGACCGUUGUGAACUCAGUUCAUGUUUUCCGCCAUUCUAAAUCAUCGAUCAAACUUUGCGGUAAAAACCGCGGAAAGUCCGUUCUUUAUCUAAAGAAGUCGCAAUAAACGUUUCGAGUCAGAAUACUGCCCAAAGGGACCAAAGACACGACUCGAGGCCCAUCUUACGAUUUCUUAACCAAAAGCCCGUAAACCAUAGGACGGUUUACGCUUGGUUCACAAGGGAAGAUAAAUGUCAAGUUUUCGCGGAUAAAUACGGAAUUUUGAAGAUAAUUACGAAGAUCGGAAAAAAUGGAAUAUCUCCAUUUUAUGCUAUGACGGCUUAAGGGCAGAAGAGUAAAAGUGUAAACCGACCUUGGAGCGAGUAUAUAUGGAGUCCUAGGCGAGAGGCAAGGAGAGAGAACUUUUUAGACUCUGAAUUCUCUGCACUUAGAAACUUUAAGCUUUAUUCUCGACAAGUUCGGUUUCUAUGACUGGCACUCAAUUACUGGACGAACUCACCCAGGCAGUUCGAUCUCUUGUCCAGCUCUAUCAAUUGAACUUUUCGGCUUGAUCCUCCAAAGGGGUACGUAGGCAGCCUUUAACAAGGUUCAGUCCGAAAUCAAACAAAAAUAUUUUCUGUAUCUAUUUCGUCUUUUGUUAUCGAGCUGCGACUCAACUAGGUUUGAGCUAUUAGGCCGCUAGAACUAAGUAACUCGCUGACAGCCUUUGCGGCCAAAGCUUUAUGAUCUCUUGUAAUGAUCGCAACGCUCUUACGCAGACUCGAAAUAAGAUCUACUAUUUUCUCUUAACUCGUUUGUUAUCUUUUCAUGAUUUCCGCAUAUAUUUGGUUACUUGUCGUUGGCUCUCGCAGAGAUCCGGCACCUCUGGGAAAUUAGGGUUUUCUUAGUUUUCCAAUUUAAACGGAAAUCGACAGUGCGAAUUUUGGUUCCCACAGUUUGGCGCUAGAGAGAGGGGGGGGGGGGGGGUUACGGAUUACUCAUACUCAUGGCCACAAAACGCUUGAUCAAAACGAUGUCUGGAUAUAUGAAAGACAAACUCGCAGCACUGACUGCUCCUAUGGUUAACGACUCCGCAAACGCCACAGUUCUUGAGAAAAUCGAAAACCUCGCUGCGACUUUUCGCUGCAGGAAGUGCAAUGAAACGAGCUCGCGAUUUCUGUUUCUAAACAUAAAGGGAAACGAUAAAUCUUAUCAAACCCCGUAAGUUUUGCUCAUUUCCGAACAAAAGAAAUCUCAAUGCGUAAGGAUUUUACCAAAACACGUUUUCGGAAAACAUUCCGGAAGGGUAAAACUUGUUCUCCUAAAAACCGCUGAAAAACCCCUAGGUUAAUCGCGGAAAAAAGAAACACAACAAAACGAUUACACAGCUCGGUCGCUACGUAGCAACCGAGCUCAAGCCAACUCUCCACUCGCUACGUAGCGACCUGUAAGUCGUCAGAAAGAUCCUCCUUUGGGUUCUCUUUUGAAUCCUCAUCGAAACGCUUUUCGUUUCGUCUCAAUCGGAGUUUCCGUUGAGAUUUUACGACGAAAACAAGUAGGACUCUUCUUAACUUGCUUCUACUCGCUACAUAGCGACCUGUCAGACCUUCACUCGCUACGUAGCGACCGGUAAGGCCUCAGAAAGGUCCACAUUUUGGUUCUCUUUUGAAUCCUCAUCAAAACGCUUUUCGUUUCGUCUCAAUCGGAGUUUCCGUUGAGAUUUUACGACGAAAACAAGUGGGACUCGUCUUGGCUCCCUUUCACUCGCUAUAGCGACCGAGAUGACAUCCUCACUCGCUAUAGCGACCUGUCAGACCUCAAAAGGAUCCUCCUUUGCGUUCUCCUUUGUAUCCUCAUCAAAACGCUUUUCGUUUCGUCUCAAUCGGAGUUUCCGUUGAGAUUUUACGACGAAAAUAAGUGGGACUCGUCUUGGCUCCCUUUCACUCGCAAUAGCGACCGAGAUAACAUCCUCACUCGCUAUAGCGACCUGUCAGGUCUUAAAGAGGUCCUCCUUUGCGUUCUCCUUUGAAUCCUCAUCGAAACGCUUUUCCUUUCGCCUCAAUCGGAGUUUCCGUUGAGAUCUUACGACGAAAACAAGAUGGACUCGUCUUGGCUCCCUUCCACUCGCUAUAGCGACCGAGAUGACAUCGUCACUCGCUAUAGCGACCUGUCAGGCCUCAAAGGGGUCCUCGUUUGCACUCUCCUUUGAAUCCUCAUCGAAACGCUUUUUGAUUCGUCUCAAUCGGAGUUUCCGUUGAGAUUUUACGACGAAAACAAGUAAAACUCAUCUUAAACUCCUUGGCUUGUUCCUGCUCGCCCUACCUCCAUCUUUGCGUUCACUUUCGAAUCUCGAUCGAAACGUCUCUUGUUUCUCCUCGAUUGAAGUUACCAUUGAGACUUUAUGAUAUAAAAAAAAACCGCAAAGACUUUUUUCCUCGCAUGAAUUCAAACUGAUCGUAUAAAACGGCAAUAGUUAACUUAACACUUUAGCGGCCUCAAUUAUACGAUUACGGUGAACCUUUUUAUAAAAAUUGACGUUGUAUCGAAGGAGAAGAUAACAGUCAAGUUCGGAAGAUAAAUGUCAAGUUUCAAAGGAUAAAAACACCAAUAUCAGAAAUGGCGAACAUACACGAGAAGAGGAAAGGGAAAUGAGCAAGCAAAACUGAGAAGAGACAAAACUGCACCUUCGAGAGAACUAAGGUAUUUCCGAAUAGAAAUUUUUGAAAUCAGACUUGGAAUUUUCAUAGGAAAUUACUUUGAGGCUGCCAUAGAACUUUAGGGAACGUAAAACCUAGGCUGAUAGUCUAGCGAACUAAGUCUUAAGCGAUUUUUCCUGUCUCGAUAUAUUGUUCCAUAAUUGUUUAUCCAGAUCUUGCAAACCGAUCUAAACUCUUUGAAAAUCGAGAAACGAUCGCCACGCAUAUCAAGCUCGCUUCCUAAAGAGAGAAAAACUAGAGACAUGAACGUCGUCUUAAAACCGAUUCGUUUCUGGCAAUUUUCUCGGAACCGACAUAUUCCUAGUCGUCAAAGUGGAAACAACCAAAUCACAGUCCAAGCGUCGUCUAUAAAUCGUCUCAAAUUAUCAAUCAUUCCAAACCUUGAAGAAACGUACACAACCCUUCAAAGUAUCGGUUCAACCGUUUUUUUUUCAUAAAAAAAAAAAGAAAGCGGGGAGUAAGUACGUAUACUAUACACAUAUACUCCCAAACUUCAAAAACUUCUGCAAAUCGUCAAGAAUAGGCAAACGACAAUCUAAUAUUCGUUUAACCGCUUGCAACAUAUCCAGACGAUCAUGAACAUAAAUCUCAAAGACUAUCCAUCAUUUCUUGUCGCAAUCAUGCGUACAGAAAACCUGUACCAAUAUCAAACUGAAACUCGACGGUUAGCCAAAGUAUUGAAGCCCUUUCCGGCUUCAGAAAGCCAGUUUCGUUUAAAACUUCCUACAAGAAAAUCACCAACGAACUUCUUUCAGUUUCCGUUGAACCAAGCAAGUCACAGAAAAGCAUCGAAAACAUUUGCGACGAAGAAAACUCGAGAAUAGAUGUAGCAUCGUGCACAUUAAAAGGAGCACUUUCCUCCCGAUGGUUAGCUAGAUCCACCUCUGGUUGACCAAUUCGUUCAAGAAACGAAUGUGUCAUGAGAAUCCUCUCAAAAAACCUAUGAAAAACGUUCUGCGACUAGAUCGUACUGAAAUAAACUUCGGUAACACUCCAUGAGUAACUCCAAGCAACUUUCGCCUAAGAUCAAAAUCACAGCAGAAACGUUUCUCGUAAAACCGGCAGAAACAACUCUACUUUGACAUAUGUACACAUAUUACUGAUUUACAACCUUCGUAAAACCGGUUAUAUGAUAUGAUAAAUUAUCGUAUAGCCCACAGUCGGAAAUAAUAUGAUAAAUUAUUCAUAACGAAACUAAGUCCUAACAACCAAACGGUUAACGGAAAAUCUAAACUUUUCGAAAAUUGACCAAGUUCAAUACGCUCCACAAUUCACUUUGAGCUUGCAACGUUUUAACCAUAAUACACGGAAUGUAAGGAAAAAUUCGUAACAAAGCUUCUAGAGCUAUACGAAACAUCCUAAAAAAUGCACGAAAUACAUCUCGGAAGUCCAACACUUCAUAAAGCACUAUGAAGGUAAACGCUUGUUCCCAUGGACAAAUUUACCUUUGUGUCUGCUCUGGUGUGUGGAGGUGGUUUCGGGGGUGCAAAACGUUUUAUAUAGGUAUCUAUAAACCUAGUUGGAGAGGGAAUAUUCUCCUGCUCCUGAAUUUUCGCUGUGGCGCGAAUAUCGAUCGAUGUUCCUGUAUAAGUGUCGAUCGAUGUGAGCGUUUGUUUUGCUGGACGAGGGUGGGUAUCGACCAAUGUCGAGUGCACUUUGUCGAUCGAUGUUGGAAACGUGUUGGUGAACUUAUGUGUUUCAAGUCUUUCUUCCUGAAAAGACAUUUCUAUUGCACGUUCUUUUCAAUAAUCCUCAUUGUAUUCCUCUGUAUGUUCCUCGUUAGGUGAAGUAAUUACAGUGUCAACUGCAAAACUUUCAUGGAAACCACUGUCUACCCAACUGCCUAUGGAAUAAUCAUCACGUCCUCUCUUGCUUGGAGGUUGGAAGGAAAAGUGUGGGUAACAAUGAUUAGGUGGAGCGAAAUGGUCAACCGGCUGCUUUACGUCGAGCGACGUGUUGUUGCGGUCAUCGGUCACUGUUGACUCAUUGGAAUCGAUCGAUGGAAAAGUGGGGGUGUCGAUCCAUUCCGAGUACUCUGUUUUGUACUCCGAUUCGUACUAUGCUCUACAAUGGCAUGCGCCAAUGAAGCCAAGUUCUUUCCCGUAAUCCACAAAAUUAAUGACCUUUCUCUUAAAUUGGAUAGGGUCGUAGUGGAUGUUGGGGUCUAUGAGCGUCAGACGCAAUUGUUUUUGUUCAUGUCACAUACAACUCCUACUGUAGCUAGGAAAGAUCUUCCAUGCAGAAGUGAAGAGGUCCAGUUAAGCUCGAUGUCUAGGACAUGAAAAUCUACCAGAACAAGGGCAUUACCAAUCUGUACCUCCAGAUCUCUUAUGAUACCUCCUGAUCGUUUUUCUGAAAGAUCCACGAAGGUGAAGGAUUCUGUUGAAGGUUCGAUGGUCAAACCAAGCUGGUCUGCCAUGAUCCUAGGGAGGAUACUAACUGAUGCUCCUAUGUCACACAUUGAAUGGGGAAAUUCAACACCCUUGACUACGCAUGGUAUUGCAAACUUCCUAGGAUCACUUUUCUUCGUCAAUGUGAUCCUUUGUCUCAUCGUCUCUCUGAUUUGAUGAAACAUUCUCCUAAUGUCCUCCUCAGUUACCUUUGUUUCUCUGAAGAACAUCCACAACCGGUGUGUGAAGUAAGCUUCAUCAAAAGCUUUUUCGAUUGGGAUUCUGAGGACUCUUUUAGUGAAACCAUCCAUCUCCUUAUCGUUAGCUUCCCUCUUAAGGUUCUUAGGAAUUGUCUCCUUUCUUUUCCUUAACCUUCUCCCUUCAGUUUCCUGAUUUUCUUGAACUGGUUCUGGUGAACUAUUUAAAGGGUUGGGUUUUGGUUCGGGUGGGUUAGCUAAUGGUUUAGGUGGUGGUCUGAGUGCGUUGAUAUAAUCAUUAUCGAUUGAGGGUAACCGCACUCGGUAUGUCAGAGGUGCAUGUCGAUCGAUGGGAGGUGGGGUGUGACGAUCAACGUCAGACUCACUCUGUCAAUCGAUGGUUGGGUCAACCGAUCGAUCGAUUUUAUCAUAGAAAGGGGAGGGUGGGUGAGGAUGCUUAGCUGCGAAUUCUUCAUGAGUUAGAAUUUGAACCGCAUUGCAUUCAGUCGAUUCAGCGGACGACGUCGAUUGAUGACUGAAGUAAUCCAUUCAUCGAUCUUCGUCAUGGUCUGUCGAUCGAUGCGAGUUCGUCGACAUCGGUCGACACCAUUGGGAUCCGCCGAGACUCAUGGAGCUUUCGAUUUCGAAGUCUCCUUCCUCAAGCUUUUCAUGUCUCACCACUUGCCAGAAAUCAUCAUCUAUGAUGGCAUUUACGUGGUGUUUUCCUUUAUCAGCUCCUGCCUCUCUAGCGAAAACUUAUUGCCCCUUUAUAGUCUCUUCAGUCUGAAUUACUUGCGUUUCAAGUUUUUUCACCUGAGUCGCUAAGGUCUCGAUUUUGGUGUUCAGAUUGUUGUAGGCGGAAUCUAUUUUACCGUUGAAUCCACGGUUAUUUGUUGUUGUCCCAACAGUACUCGAUCAAGCAUUUCUUCGAUCUUGCUUUCCUGAGUCAGGGGUGGUGGAUUCUGGUAGUAAGAGUUCGAGUAGCUUUUGCUGUUGUUGAAGGGUUUUUGAAAUUGUGAACUCUGGUUACUUCUUUGACCAUUUCCAAAGAAGUUUCUGUUUCCGCCCUGGUUUCCAAAUUUCUAGAAUCCGGUACCUCCGAUGUAGUUCACAUUUUCUUCUCCUUCCGUAUCUGCUACUACUCCUUCGGCUGAACAGACUUGCUUCCUAAGAAGCUCGUGCACCACAUCUAACUUAGCUCUUACUUCGUCCAUCUGUUCCUUCCCGAUAGAGGCUACAAACUUCUUCCGUUCAGAGUCAAUGUUUUUGGUGCUGCUGAUGUUAGCGAGGUUUUCGAUAAGUCUCACAGCUUCCAACGGAUUCCGCGUAGUGAAGUUUCCUUCACUCACCGUAUCAAGAGCCAUUUGAUACAUUAAGGCGAGACCUCGGAAGAAAGUGCUUAGCAGCUGCACUUUGUUAAAUCCGUGGUGUGGACAGUCUCGCUGGAAGAACCUAAAUCUCAUCCUUGCAUCUUUGAAGGACUCUCCAGCGUCCUGAGAAAAUGUGAAAAUUUUGUUCCGAAGUUCUUCAGUGAGCGCCUCAUCGAAGAAGUUUCGUAAGAAAGCAUUCUUAAUGUCGGCCCAGGAUGUUAAGGAUCCUGUGGGUUGCUGCCUAAGCCAGUGCAUCGCUUCUCCAUUUAGCGUGUAUCUGAAGAGCUUGCACAGCAGGUAAUCUUCGGGGACUCCUUCCAUCCGAAUAGCAGCGAUUAGAUCCUCGAACCGUUUCAGAUGGUCCAUAGGAUGCUCGUGCGGUAACCCAGAGUAGGGUAUCUGCGACACGAGAGUGUAGUAUUGAGGCUUCAGCUCGAAAUUCUGCUUCUGGAUCUCCGGAAGUCGAAUAGAUGAUCUGUUGGAAUAGUACUCAUCUGGGCGAUUGUAGUCGGCCAGUGGUUUCGAUCUAGCUUCCUCGUCUACAGGUUGUGCAGCUCCUGUAGCAUCAGCAUCAGGGAUUACAGUCCCCUGAGCGUCUAUUUUCUGACCUGUUGCAUUACGCAGAUGACCGUUCUGAUCAUACAGGUUUCCGUUAUCGUCCUGUUUUAGAAUAAUAAUGUUUACCAUUUUUGACGACACAGUAUCGAUCGACGUACGCGGUGUAGUAUCGAUCGUUGUCGAACGAUUGGGAUCGAUCGACGAUGAAGGUCUGGUGUCAGUCGACGGUUGGUUGUGCAUAUCGAUCGACGAUGAAGUCGUUGUGUCGAGCGAUGUGGAACGUUGACCUCUACGGAUGGUGCGUUCCAAGUGAGCAGGAUCGUCUGAGAACAGCAAGUCUUUCUCCUUGUUGCUUCUGGUACCGUUGGGCAUGCACCUAAAAAGACAAGAAAAAAAAAUUAUGUUAGAAAGGGGGUAGAGAAAAGAAUAAGAAUCAAUAAAACUAAAUCUAAUGGCGAUCAAAGCUCCCCGGCAACGGCGCCAAAUUUGAUACCACUCAAAUUACCCUAAGGAGUGUUACUCUCAUCAAAAGAGGUUCAGAUGUAGUAUUCAGGGAUCGAAUCCACAAGGAGCUAGGGAACAAUUAAAUCUAGUGUUUAUUAAUUCUAAGAGUUGUAAAUGUUUAAAUGAAAUAGCAAUAAACAAGCGAAGUAAAUAGUAAAUGUAACUUGGUUGGAAAUGAUAUUAGAUGCAGGGCCACUAUUCAGGUGUUGGAAAUUAUAAUAUCUAUAGAUGCCUAUUUGUUGCAUGCAUGAUAUGUUUCACUGGUUAACAGGCUAGAUCUCGUGUCUCAACGGUUAGUAUGUUGACAACGAGAGAGUGUCGAUCGAUGGUCCUAUUGGGACAUCGACCGAUACACCUUUGCCUACGUCGACCGAUAGUCAGUUGAGGACAUUGAUCGACGGGUUCUAGCCAGGCAUAUGCGCGAGUAUGAUAUGCCCUAUUAAGAUACUAAAUUGGCGGUUAGCCCUCUCUAGUAGUCCUAAUAUGGCAGAUAUAUGUAAGGAUGGGAUAACAUGGGUGCUUGAGUAUGCAAUCCUAUGAUCAAGUUCUAGUUAGCAAGGCUAAAACAAGCAAUGAAUACAAAUCUAUCAUGAAUAUCACAACAAGGGAGAUCUAUAGUUUGGGGCUAAUCCCACACACCUAUCUGAACCCUGGAUCUAAUAAUUGAACUACUCAGACAUAGUAAAGCAAUUCAUAAUAAUGAAGAAAUGGGAAUUCAUAGAAUAGAUGAAAAGAAAUGAAAACAAGGAGUUCCAAUCACAAGUGAUCUUCUCUCCAAAACUCUCUCUUCUCUCUCAAAAUAAAACUGUAACUCCAAAGGCUCUCCUGCCGUCAAAACAGUUAGAGUAUAUAAUCUACUAGGUUAAAAACUCGUCAGGGCAUUUUUGUAAUUUGGCUUGGCCUUGGGUUUUAAGUCCGCUGGAUCCAAAAUGUCGCGUGUCUGAUGUCUCGACAUCGAUCGAUGUAGACAAACAUCGAUCGAUGGUACUUGUCUACAUCGAUCGAUAUUAAUCAUCAUCUGUCGAGGCAUCUCUUGGUAUCGAUCGUCAGCACUGAUGCGCAUCGAUCGAUUGUUCUUCCUCUCGUCGACCUCUACAUGGUCAGCUCGGGUGAAACGUCCUUUAAGCUCCAAAAUGCUCCAAAGUCAUAGCUUUACUCCGAAAUACACCUGAACUUGAAAACAUACCUAGAAGAGUAGAAAACAUAGAUAUAUAUAUAGUAAAACACUUAUAUACCAUGGAUGAAAACGGGUCAAAUCCAAGGUAUAUCAGACGUCGACAGACAUCCAAGAAGACUCAGAAGCCGAUCUGCUCGGGAUAGCUCUCCGUUCGACAAACCGAUGACGGAAGAGGAGGAAAUCCUCUAUUGGAACGAACAAGAAGCGCUGGCUGAAAAGCAAACCGAGCUCACUCGCAGUAAACGCCGAUAGGCUCGGAAAUCUGCUGGCGAGACGUCGGAUAUCCGCGAUCUUCGCAACUACAUCACCAAAACUGCGGCAGAAGUAAGAGCCGUGAAAUCCCGAAUCCAUUAUGCUACCAGCGCUAGGCUGCUGGAAGGGGCUCGGAAGACCUCCUUCAGCACUCGUAUUUCAGAUAUGAGGGUAUCCGAUCCGGGAAAAAUCAAAGUACCAAAGUAUGAUGGUACGACCGAUUCGAAAGCGCACCUUCAAGCUUUCCACAUCAUGAUGGGAAGAGCGAGACUGAAGGACAGCGAAAAAGAUGCCAGCUACUGCCGCCUGUUCGUCGAGAAUCUGGAAGGAGCGGCACUCGAAUGGUUCGCACGGCUUAAGCGCAACUCUAUCGGGAGUUUCUGACAGCUCACGUCGGAAUUUCUCAAACAAUACUCUAUGUUCAUAGAUUGAGAAACUUCCGAUGUCGAUCUCUGGAGUCUGUCCCAGAGGGAAGACAAACCCCUCCGCGAGUUCAUCAGCCGGUUCAAGCUGGUAAUGUCCAGGGUCAGCGGGAUAAGCGACAAAGUGGCCAUUGACGCGCUCAGAAAGACGCUCUGGUAAAAGUCGAAAUUCAGAAAAUGGAUAACCCUCGACAAACUGCGGACGAUCCAGGACGCCCUCCACAAGGCAACAGACUACAUCAUAAUCGAGGAAGAAACAAAAGUUUUAUCGCAAAAACAUAAGUCGGCAAGACCAUCCUCGAAAGACGUAGAUCCGAAAGCAAAGAAGAAGAACUCUCGUAACAACAAGUAUGUCCAUCACGAGAGGGGAGAUCUCCAAGGAGCGCACAAUAACGCAAUCGGUUUGGACCAAGGCCGAACCACAGGUAAUACAUGGACUCGCAAUCAAUGAUAUGACGAAAACACCUUCUGCGAGUUCCACCAGUCCCGAGGACACUCCACGACUAACUCCAAAGUCUUGGGAGCAUGGCUGGCCGCGAAGCUACUAUCUGGGGAACUCUCGGAAGUGACCAGCGUGAAAGAUUUCAUCCUCGAUUCCGAUCGCCCCCCGAAGGCGGAUAGAAAUCCUACCGCGGAAAAAUCCCCUCAAAGAAAACAAUCCGGGGAUAAACGCGGCAGAAGGCCAGAUGACAAGGGAAACGACAACAAUCGUCGCAGGAUCAACAUGAUCAUCGGAGGAUCGCAAUAUUGCAACGAUACGGUUUCGGCCAUCAAGGCUUACCAGCGGAAGGCCAAGUCGAGUGCAAACUGGCCCACAUGGUCUCCUCCCCGAGACGGUCAAAAUUGCUCAAUCACCUUCACCAAGGAGGAAGCUGGCGGGAUCGAUCAACCUCACUGCGAUCCGCUCGCUAUAGAUCUCGUCAUACGAGAUCUGGAAGUCGGAAGAGUACUCAUUGACAUGGGAAGCACGGUCAAUGUUAUCUUCCGCGACACUCUCAAUCAAAUGAGCAUUGAACUCGGAGAAGUAACUCCAACGCCGAAACCACUCACGGGUUUUUCAGGCGAAGUGUCGAUGACCCUCGGGUCAAUCCAGCUGCCAGUCAUGGCCCAGGAGAUCACGAAAAUCGUCGAGUUCGCGGUGGUCGAUCAUCCUGCCAUCUACAACGUGAUCAUGGGAACCCCAUGGCUCAAUGCCAUGCAAGCCGUCCCAUCGACAUACCACCUGGGUGUCAAAUUCCCGACCCCAAGCGGAGUCGCAGCUAUCUGGGGAUGUCAGAAACAGUCGCGGCUAUGCUUCCUCGCAGAGCACAAGUUAAGGCAAAUCGCGACUUCUGCGACGACAAAUCGCAAGCGCAUGAAGAUAGAUCAAUCUUCGGCCAAAAACACUUCAAGGAAAGACGAUUUAACAUCGUCCGCCAACGCAAAUGCCUCGGACGUCGAAACUCAACACGAGUCCGAACCCGACACUACAACUCAAUCUGAACAUCCAAAAAGGAGCACUGACCCGGCCACGGUCGUCACGAUCAAGGCGGUCAGCACGGCGACAACCGCCGAGUAAAAAACGCUCGCGGCAUAAGACAGAACUACGAGAUGGCUUGAUCCUCGAAAGGGGUACGUAGGCAGCUCGUCGAAAGACGAGUUCAGCCAUCCCCCCUCUCUAAAAGGGGGGGGAGUGGGUGCGUAUACUCGUAUACUCCCACAUAGGAAAAGAUGCGUUAUUGUAAUCAAGUUUUUUUUGGUUUAGCACUUCCACUUGGCUUAAAAAUUGUCUCUGGGAAGAUGCUCGAUUCAUACCAUACAAGUCGUAUAAGCCGAGAACCUAUCGCGGACUUUAAAUCGGUACGAAUCAGGAAGAAAUUGCAACAGGAAAAACGAUAGCCGGCUAGUCACCGCACAAACCUUAAACCGAAAGUAAACCUAGGUCUUGCCCUAAACCCAUCGCAUUGGUCUCAGACAUCUUAAGACAUGAUAUCUAAACGAUACGAGAUCCUAAAUCAUGUCUCUCCGUUCACAUCUCAACAUUCCCGAAAGUCGUAAGAGUAAGUAAUUUUUUAUGAAAAGUCACGGACGAACCGACAGAUUGAACGUCUCAACGGAAUUGAAUAUGAGAUGACAACUCAUAUUUAAUUCGAACCUACUCAGAAAAAUUCAUAAAAACAUACCCAUCAUAUAUAUAAAAGUCGCAUAAAGCGGUAGGGAUUCAAAGCCACCAACGGCCAGUCCCGGUAAAACGAUAAAACAGCCAAAACAGGUCCAUACAAUCUCUCGAAAUAAAGACCACACUCGGCCACAAACGCAAGACAAAGAAACAAACUCCUCCCUCUGAAUGAUCACUUCACCUCUCAAGGUUCAAAGUAAAAGUCUCUGGACAGCGAAGCUCCAAACGCAUCCGAAGGACGAUCUACUUCCUCGCCAUCACCGGGAAACUCGGUCGCGAUCAGGAGAAAAUGGGAUGGGAUCCCAGAAUCCCUGGAUCUUCCUGGCGAUCAGAGGAAUCAGCGCCUCAGCAUGAGCAUGUUCCUUCAUGCCGCCCUCCAUCAACAUCAUCUCCUUCUCAAAAACGUAGUCAUCCGCCUGCGUUUUCCAAAGACUCCCGACCGAACCGCGACAUUUGCGGAAAUCGCCCACCAAGGUGAAAGCAUUCUUGAGAUUCCCGUACUCAGUCUGGAAUUGAGAGGCACGAGUCUUCAUCACCUCGAUGAUCUCCCUCUUACCCUUAUGUUCCGCUUUACGAACGGCCCUUGCAUGAUCACGAGCGAGUUGCGCAUCUCGCUCCAACAUCUCGCCUUGCAUGCGAGCAAGUUCCCUUUCCGCUUUCUCCUCUUUAAAGUGAUAGACCAUGGCUUCUCUAUGGCUCGCCUCAAUGGCCGAGCCCAGCAAGCUCAGGCCCUGAAAAACCGAUUGGAAUGUUAUAAGCGGAAAAAAUAAAUACUUAAGGCAAUCACCAAAAAAUUCUUGAAAACUAACCCCAUUGAUGAUGAGAGACCCUUCUGCGACGACUGUCGGCCUCACCGUUUUGUUCGUAGGCGGAGGAGCAGCGAAGCCCGAGGGUAGACCAGCAAAGAAAUCGUCAAAGUCCAGAAUAGGGACCUUGCUCGUACCACGUCCAUCGCCAUAAGCAAGGUCUGGAUCCCAUCCUGGAAGCAUAGAGUCGUCCACCAAAAACUCUAUGUCACCAAGGUCGAUAUCUCUCCCUUUCCAAGAGUUCAACUCCGUCGCAACUGCUGGAGCUGCAACGGGACUCUGGUCGUCGGGUUCGGAGUCGCUUCCCAUUUCCGCGACCGAAGUAGAACCAGGAUGUACAAACCUCAACGCCUUUCGAACUCUCUCCGACUGUGGGCUAUACGAUAAUUAUUCUCUUAAUAGUCACACGAUGUUUUUAGACAAAUCGUAGAUUGUCGUUUAGCCGUUAAGCGAUGGAGCGAUGGUUUCUCAAAUAGUUUGGCUUGGGGAGAAGGAUGUGUUCACUCAGAUAGCCAAGGAUGUUGUAGGUCAAAGAUUAGACCAUGGUACUUUAACAUUUAAGGUCAUGUUAGUUUACAAUCGUCCAUUAAAGGUGAUGGCAAAUAUUGGUUUGGACCUUUAGUGGAAGGCAUAAUUGACUGAUGGCUAAAAAGUGCUUGUCGAGAUUGAUAGGCCAAGUUUGUCGUGGUUAUCCGUGCUAAUAUGACCGAUAGUCGUAGAAAACGAUUCUCCGCUCUAGGUUUCAGUUAUACGACGAAUAUUUCGUAUAAUGUGACCUAUAGUCUUAUGACAAUCGAGUCUUUUUGUCUUAGGAAGACGAAGCCCAAGAGGUUUGCUAUACAAGACAUACUUCUUCAUAAGGCCUGUUAUGUUAACUUUAGAAAGUUUCUUCGUAAGACUUCGUCUGAUUGUACGAAGGAUUUUUCGCGGAAGUAAUGGGGACCGGUUUUACGAUGGUUGUAAAUCGGUGAUAUGUAUACAUAUGUCAAAGUAGUGUUGUUUCUGCGGGUUUUACAAGAAACGUUUCUGCUGUGAUUUCGAUCUUAGGUGAAAGUUGCUUGGAGUUACUCAUGGAGUGUUACCGAAGUUUAUUUCAUUACGAUCUAGUCGCAGAACGUUUUUCAUAGGUUUUUUGAGCGGAUUCUCAUGACACAUUCAUUUCUGGAACGAAUUGGUCAACCAGAGGGGGAUCUAGCUAACCAUCGGGAGGAAAGUGUUCCUUUUAAUGUGCACGAUGCUACAUCUAUUCUCGAGUUUUCUUCGUCGCAAAUGUUUUCGAUGCUUUUCCGUGACUCACUUAGUACAACGGAAACUGAAAGAAAUGCUUUGGUGAUUGAAGAUUUCUCGUAAAAAAUUUUAAACGAAAAUGGCUUUCUAAAGCUGGAAAAGGGUUCAAUACUUUGGCUAAUCGUCGAGUUUCAGAUUGAUAUUGAUACAUGUUUUCUGUACGCAUGAUUGCGACAAGAAAUGAUGUUUAGUUUUUGAGAUUAUGUUUGUGAUCGUCUGGAUAUGUUGCUAGCAUUUAGACGAAUUUAAGAUUUUUGUUUGCCUAUUUGGGACUAUUUGCUUUGACAAAAUCGUUUUCUUGACGAUUUGCAAAAAAAAAUUGAAGUUUGGGAGUAUACAUGUAUAGUAUACGUACCUACUCCUUUUUUUUACGGAAGAAAACGGCUGAACCGAAUACUUUGAAAGGUUGUGUACGUUUCUUCUUCUGAGGUUUGGAAUGAUCGAUAAUCCGAGACGAUUUAAAGACGACGCUUGGACUUUGAUUUGGUUGUUUCCAUGUUGAUGACUUAGAAUAUGUCGGUUCCGAGAAAAUUGCCAAAAACGAAUCAGUUUUAAGACGACUUCGAUGUCUCUUGUUUUUUCUACCCUUAGGAAGUGAGCUUGAUAUGCGUGGCGAUCGUUUCUCGAUUUUGGAGAGUUUAGAUCGGUUUGCAAGAUCUGGAUGAACAGUUAUGGAACGAUAUAUCAAGACAGGAAAAAUUGCCUAAGAUUUAGUUCGCUAGACUAUCCACCUAGGGUUUACGUUCCCUAAAGUUCUAUGGCAGUCUGAAAGGCGUUUUUAUUUCUUAGUAAUUUCCUACAGAAAUUCCAAGUCUGAUUUCAAAAAUUUCAAGUCGGAAUACCUUAUUCUCUCGAAGAUGCAGUUUUGUCUCUUCUCAGUUUUGCUUGCUCAUUUCCCCUUCCUCUUCUCGUGUAUGUUCGCCAUUUUUGAUAUGGGUGUUUAUCCUUUGAAACUUUGCAUUUAUUUUCCGAACUUGACUGUUAUCUUCUCCUUAGAUAUGAUGUCAAUUUUAAUAAAGAGGUUCAACGUAAUCGUAUAGUUGAGGCAGCUAAGGUGUUAAGUUAACAGUUGCCGUUUUAUACGAUUAAUCUGAAUCCAUGCGAGAAAACAAGUGUUUGCGGUUUUUUUUUAUCGUAAAGUUUCAAUAGUAACUCUAAUCGAGACGAAACAAGGGAUGUUUCUUUAACACUCUAGAACAAUUUUAGACAUCGGUCAGUCAGCCGGGCAACAAUCAAACAAGAACAUGCCCGAACGACCUUCCUCUGCCAAGUCCAGAAGUGUCACGAUGGGUUGAGAAUAGACUUCCCAAGUCACAAAACAUAAUUCUGUAACCUAGAAAAUCCAUUCAAAACUUGUUUCCUCUAAUCUUCGGCCUGAGGCUUUGCAACCCGUACCGAAUCAUAGAGUUGUGUUAGGUUGGACUAACCUAAUAUCAGAUUCAACCCGACACGAAUAUAAAAUAUACUUUAUUUCAUAUAUAUAAAACAUGAAGUUCACAUACCCAAAAUAUUAUACAUAGGGUCCAUGGACGAAGUCGAAAGUAAAACAUACAUUCAUAUAUCUUGAAAACGAGUCUUUAGCAAAAUAUGUCCAAUCUAUACCCGAUCCUACAGUUAAGCGAGUGCUACGGUCUUUUCUACUGGUCAACUGCAAAAGGAUGUGAGGAGUGACUGAACUAGUUUCACUCAGUGAGCCAGGGUUCCCUAUCUAACAUAUACAACUACCCGUCAUUCUAAACCCAACCCCAAACACAAGCAAGACGGAUAGUUUAACAAUCAAUAAAGCAUGACCGAUUUACGCAAAAAACCAUUAAACCCUAAUAAAUCAAAACACUCUUUAUGAGUGUCGCGUCAAUCAACCAUAUAUAUAGACUCCUAGGGCCCAACAGAAUCAUUCUUCCUCCACAUAAGGGACACCGGCAAUCCCUUCAUGAUAUCACUCAAAUUACCCUAAAGAGUGUUACUCUCAUCAAAAGAGGUCGAGUUAUAGUACUAAGGGAUCGAAUCCACAAGGAGCUAGGGAACCGAUUAGAUCUAAACAAUUUAUAAUAAACUAGGCUAAUAGAUUAUAAAGCAGUAAAAUAGCAAUUAAAUAAACAAAGCAGUAAACAAGUUGAACAAGUCAAUUGUUCAGCUUGGCAAGGGUUGUUCGAUGGAAGGAUGGUUGCUAGAUCUAGGGUUUCUAUUCAGGUGUUGGAGAUUAUAAUUACUAUAGGUACCUAUUUGUUGCAUGCAUCAUAUGUUAGAGCUCAACCGCUUAACUCAGUGAUCAGCUAUCGCAUGUUUCACUGGUUAACUCGCUAGAUCUCGUGUCUCAACGGUUAGUAUGUUGACAACGAAAGAGUGUCGAUCGAUGGUCCUAUAGGGACGUCGACCGAUAUACCUUUACCUACGUCGACCGAUAGUCAGUUGAGGACAUCGAUCGACGGGUUCUAGCCAGGCCUAUGCGCGAGAUGAUUUGCCCUAUUAGGAUGCUAAAUUGGCGGUUAGCCCUCUCUAGCAAUCCUAAUAUGAUAGAUAGAGGUCAGGAUGGGAUAACAAGGAUGCUUGUGUAUGCAAUCCUAUGAUCAAUAUUCUAGUUAAUUACUCUAGAACAAGCAAUAAGUAUAGAUCUAUCAUGAAUAUCACAACAAGGCAGAUCUAUAGUUUGAAGCUAAUCCCACAAACCUAUCUGAACCCUGGAUCUAACAGGUGGAUCUACUCAGACAUGAAAACAUAAAUCAUAGAUGAAUAUAUAGAAAAACUGAAAUGAAAUAGAUGAAUAAAACCAAAGGAGUUUGAGGAGGACUCUGAUAGGAGUUCCUCCCUUCUCUCCUAACAAAACUAUGAAUCAAAGAAAGUGUGUAAAAAGCGUAGCCGUCAACAAUGGCUUAGAAAUAACAUAAAUAGGGUUUCUGGUCGUCCAAGGGUAUUCUGGUAAUUUGUGGUUACUUCUGGGCUUCACGCAGUCAUAAAAUAUACAAGGCCCACGAUCUGGGAUCUCCAUCGAUCGACGUGCAGAGUGCUGCAUCGAUUGACGUGGCUUCCUCUUCUCGGCAGCUUCCUCUCGCGAGGCAGACUGACCACUCUUCAGUAAAACGGGCAUGCUGAUUGACCUGAGACCGGUGGCAUUGGAAAGCUAACUCAAAGCUCUAUCUUGUGUCAAAAUAUGGGCUCAAUCUAACGGUCGGAAGGUCUCCAUCCAUAGAUAAACAUCUGACGCGUCUGUGCAACUCUGCACUUCCAAAGGCUCCAAAAGACUCCAAAAUCACCAUAUUUCUCCUAAACGUCCUUGAGCCUGUAAAUACUCUAAAUAGACUCCAAAACAUAAUAAUUGUAUCUUAAAACACUUUAAAACACUUAUAGACCAUGAUUAAAAAUAGGUAAAAUAUAUGGUCUAUCAACUCCCCCAGACUUACCCUUUUGUUUGUCCUCAAGCAAAACAGACGGGUAGUCUCUCUGAAAGAGGUUUUGAAAACAGCAGGGACUCACAUGAUUUAAAACUUAGAAUCAUCACCUCUACAAUAUUGCAAUCCACAUCUAAAAAGUCCUAAUCACAGAAGCACAUUAUACAAUAUCCUAGCUUAGCAAUCAAAUUCACCUAGCCAACAUCUUAGCAAAUCACGUCUGACAUUCCCCUCUACCAACCUCAUUUCUUAACAUAAAUAAAUGUGUAUGCUUUACAUUGAGAGUAUCGAUCACAAGACACAUGGACUCUUACCCCAACAGGUAUCUGAGUAAACAGGUAAGUCUUGUUCUGGUUUCUUUUACUCUAUAUCUCCCUUCUCUGAAUCUUUUUUUAUCUCAAUUCCAAUGAACAAAGAUGCUGAUGCAGUCCAUCUUAUUCACCUUCUUUUCGAUUUUUUAUUAUUAUUAUUUUUUUUCUUUUUCUUUUCUUGACAAAGUGUAGGCGAAUAGUGGGGUCAUCGGUAAUGUACCUACCCCUCGCUUCCAAUAAUGUGUGAUCAUUCUAUUAGAGUAGAAUAAUGGGGUCAUCGGUAAUGUACCUACCCCUCUAAACCGCAAGAAAUCAUCUCAAUCUUUUAUUUUAUUUUAUUAGGAUGCCAAAGGGAGGAGAUAAGGAAACCAAAAUCACUCAUAUUUUUAUGUUUCCGACCUGAAGGAGGAAUCCGAUCCAGUGUAUACCAAGCCCCAAGACAAGCAGUUAAGUCAAAUUAGGUUGGAGGUCAGCUUCGGUUCCUUCAAACAAUCUCAGCAAGUGUGAACAUAGUUGACAGGUUGAUCCACUUAAGUAUCUUUAGUACUAUCUGCAAUCAGUAAGUCUAGAAUGGUGCUAAAGAGUGGUUAGAUAACAAGCAUGAAUCUAAUAAGUUCAUUAUCCCCUUC